rnacentral:lncRNA from 1 species
AGUUCUAAGAACUACAAUUUGUGGCAGAAAUGAGAACCUCAGGACAGCUGAGGCAUUGCCCUACAAUGUUUUAUGCCUUGGCAUUGUGCCUCUUGGCCACAAGUGUGCUUGCCACUACGCCUUAUACUUAUUCUUCACCACCUCCACCAAAGCACUUGGAGACCCCUCCAACCCAUUACAAGUCCCCCCCACCACCGAAGUAUGUAAAACAUCCACCACCUCCAUCACCAUCACCCCCGCCACCCUAUUAUAAGUCUCCACCACCGCCUUCUCAUUCGCCGCCUCCUCCUUAUGUGCACAAAUCUCCUCCACCACCCACUCACUCACCACCUCCACCAUAUGCUUACAAGUCACCACCUCCCCCUUCUAAAUCACCACCUCCUCCUUAUGUCCACAAAUCUCCUCCUUAUGUCCACAAGUCACCACCUCCACCAUCAUAUUCUCCUCCACCUCCUUACCACUACAAGUCACCACCACCACCAUCUCCAUCACCUCCCCCUCCAUACCACUACAACUCUCCUCCUCCUCCAGUGAAGUCACCUCCACCUCCCCAAUAUCACUACAAAUCACCUCCACCUCCAAAACACUACUAAGCUUUAUGGGAUUUUAGCGACUUGAACCAGUCCAAAUAAGGUCUUCGUUUCGAUGUUCCAGCGGUAUCACUUCUUUUUCUAGCUUUGUUCUAUUCGCAGACAAGUGUGUUUGUGAAUAAUAAAGGUCUGACAGAACCCUUCGUGUAUUCUGUCGUAAGAACUCACUGUAUCAAUUAGUUUUUUUUUCCUUCUCCUUUUAAAGAAAUGAAAGCAAAGAGUAUUUCAUAUACGUACUUGUUUUUAUGUAGUUCCUAUGCUAUUACAUAAGCCUUUUGGAUCAAUAAAAUUAUGUGUUUCUUCGUGGAAAAGUUAAAGUGCGAUAAUGUAUCACUUCAUCAAACAUCAUAGAUAGUUUGGAUCUACACGAAAAUCCAUGAGAUUCUAUUUUGGGUGACACUUUAUAGAGUCCAUUUCGCAUUUUAGGUUGACAAUCAGAAUCGUGUAUUUCCGAAAUCCCAUGAAAGGAUCAUCAUUGCAAAAGAUAGUCAAAUUCGAAAUUAGUAAAACAUCUAACAUUUAGCUAAUAUUUUGCAAGGAUAAAUGAAUAGUGGGGAGUGCUCGCACAAAGUCUCCAUAAAUAGUAUUAUUUGAGAAAAACCUCCAAUUGAAAGGGACGUUAAAAUAAAAGGAAAAAAAAGAAUUUGUCAAUCAAAACGCAAAAAAGUGCUUAUUUAUUACCCAUUGAGUUAGCUAGAGUACUAAGUCCGUUCUCUUACACUCAAGUUGGACCUCAUUCCCUAUAAAUUAGAUUAAUUUAAGGUAAUUUAGACUAUUCGCUUAUAUAAAAAAGAUAAAGAUGAUUAUUGAAGGUUUGAGGAAGAUUUUUGUACUUGUAAUAUUGUAAAACAAUCAGUGUUUUAAAUAAUUAAAUAAAAGUGACCAUUUUGUAAAAGAUUUAAUUAAAGCUCUCAUGUAGCAAUUUGAGUCCUCCGAGCUAAAAUAUAUUACAAUCUUAUCCUUAUUUGUGCAUGCUCUAGGCACUUUGCUGCCGUGUAGUCGAAAACAGAGCAGAAGCAUUCUUACAUGAAUUUUGUGCACAUAGUUUUAAUGAGAUUAUACUUAACACACGAGAAUAUUAAAGAGACCCUAGAUAAGUUGUACUUUCAACUAUCUGACUUCAUAUGUUUGUAAAGUUGAAAAGAUGAUUUGAAUUAUUGCUUGGUUCCGUGUCUUACAUCGAAAAAGCCUAAUUACUACACCUAAUUAAAAAUUGAUGGGUAAAGAGUCGCACUAAAGUUGCCCGCCUCUUUGUUUUUCGGUCAAAAAAAUGUCUUAUGUAUCGAUAAUUUGUAGCUCAAAUGAUUAUCAAUUAUUUUAUAUGAAGCCCGAAAAAGGCACGUACCCACCUCAGUCCGAAACAUUUUUUAGUUUAAUUUUAGACCAAACACUUACUACCUCACGUACCCGCCUCAGUUAGAAAUUGUAUACUACAUUUUUAUGAAAGCGCAAGAAUUAUAUAAUGCAGAAUGUAACUGGGGAUGUAAUAGACAGACUAUCAUGAGCUCAAAGUUUUGGAUUUCUGGUUUGACUAGUCCAAUAAUGAGUAUGAAAACGAUUUCAUUUUCUUCUCUGCACAUAGCUGUAAAACAAUAACUGUUUGUAUUACGUAUACUGACUAUGGAAAAUAUUAUUCUAUUUAUAUAAAUAUGUUUAUGUGUAUAUAUAUAUAUAUAUAUAUAUAUUAAGGGAUAAGAAUCCCAAUCCCAUACACGACAAUGCACGUCAACUUAGGCGGUGAACUCUCAAAUAAAAUCAAAGUCUAUAGCUGUAUAAGUUUAUAAACUCCCUUUUUUUCCUUUGGUUUCAUUUUCUUCCUCACCUACUAAAACAAACACAUGCAUAAAACUUGAAUAUAUAUUUAACUCAUCUACAAGUAUCUUUCAGAGCCACCACUUGCUUGACAAGUCAGUCGAGAGACAAAUACAGGUGAUUUAAUCUCUCUAUAUAGUAAGGCUCCUUUUACUUCAUGAAAAAGGAGAUUUGGAGAUGGGAAAUUAAUUGCUUUUUCAUAUUUAGUAAGUUCAGGUAUGAGAAAUUAUUUCAUAACCCAUGAGAAAGUAGGGGGGAAAGUGAAAUCAUCCUCUCAACUUGGGUUUUGUUUUCCCUCCUUAUGGAAAAGUUUGGGUGGAAACUCAAAUUUUGAGUUUUGAGUCCAAAAAGUUCUCCAACUCAUAUAAUUUAGAAGGUGAAAAUUUGAGAAAUCUCAUAUUUGGGGUGGAAUCCAGUCACAAUAUUGCCUGGACUCAUAUUUUUUGUGGGCCCAAAAUCUGUUUUUUAUUCUUUUUUUCUUGGCUGGAAGCCCACUUGCUGACCAAUCAAAUCUGAUUUGCUGUUGGGCAAUGGCUAUAUUUUGGACUCGUGUAUGGGCAUGCAAAUAAAGCUGGCGCACAUUUCAAUCUUAUUGGGCAAUGGCUAUAUUUUUAAAAUAAAUCUGAUUUGCAGUUUGUUUUUUUUUUAAAUGUGAAAUUCUAUUAAGUUUUGGAAUUUUAAUUUAUUUAAGUAAAAAUGUUUAGAAAAUUAAAUCACGAGUAUUGAAAUAAAAAUAAUGUCAAGAAAAAAAAAUUUAGAGUUAAUCAUUCUUAAACAAUUUAAUAAAGUUGCAGACUUAAAUUAUGAGUUUGUAAGGUUGGAAGAAAAAAAAAAUUUAGUCCUGAAAAUACAUGAAUAGUUGUAUUUUUUAGGGUGAAAAUUUGAGUUUAACCCCAACAUGGUUGGAGAUGGCCUUAUAUGACCCAAAUUACACUUUGCGCCAUCAACUACAAAAUCUUGCAAUGUCAAAUUUAAUUUUUACAAAUGUAUUCUUUUUGUCCGUUUCAUCUAAUAAAUUUCUAUAGCUUUUUUUUUAUUUUUAUCAAAAUGAUAAUAAUAAUUAGUUAUAGUUAAUCCAAUGGGCCAUGCAUAUGAAUAUGAAUGCUUGGAAAAUGCAAAAGUUUCUUGGUCACGUAUGCUAUUAUUAUAAUAUUAAUAUGUAUAUGUAUAUUAUAUACAGAUAUAUGUGUAUACAUAUAUACAGUCCCCUUUUAUUGAUGGAUUCUUCAAAUAAUUUUAUUUGAGGGACGCCCUUUAGGGUACCCUAUAAUUUUUUUCUCAAUGAUCCAAACUAUCUAUUUUUUAGGUCUUCAUUCAUAGAUCAUCCUUACAAAAAAUUAGACAAAUCAGAAACCGUUUCGACAUGCAAUUGUGUCUUACAAAAUCAAUGAACACGGUGCUUCAAGAAAAUGCUAAAAUUUCAAUAACUUAAUUGAGUGGUCAAAUGAUAUCGGAUUCAAGUGAUUUUUUGUAGAGAUGAUCUUUGAAUGAGUAUCUACAAAAUAGACGGUUUGGAUUAGUGAAAUACAAUCCGGAGUGGGGCCUACAAGGAGUGUCCCUCAAAUAAGCUUAUUUGAGGAAUCCCUCAAUGGAAGCUCUCUGUACAUAUAUAUACAUAUACAUAUGCAUAUAUAUAAAAACUAUCAAGUCAUAGAAAGACGAACACGAGGAAGGUCACCGUUCCAAAGAGAAAGAAAAGGAUACAGGAAGGAGCCAGCAACCAACUAUCUAACUCCACCGUAGAGCGCAUCACCCUCCAGCUACUACGUCAAUGAAGAACCCAAGACUUUAUAGUUUGAACAAGCUAAAUAUGCUUAGGUAGAAAUUGACUCCCGAUUUAGAUGCUUCUCUACUGUUAUCAAACACAAGGGUCUGGAUCCCGCUCUACCAUAUCUGGAGCGGUAUAUUUAUAACAUUUCACCAUUCAUAUCGAAGUGAAUAUUAUACAACAUGCAUGAUUCAUAUGGAGAACAUGGCGACAUUCAUAUUGACAAAAUAUCAAUAAUAUGGAUGACACAUAUCGAGCAUCCCACUCCAACUACAGUGGAGCGGCAUACCCUUAUGAAGGGCCAUAUAACAUUUAUAUUUUAUACGGUUUAUUGAAAAAAAAAUUGCCAACAUAUCGUUAAAGGCAUUCCUAAAACAAAUUAUUUGAAGGAUUCUUCAAUAGAGGAAUAUAUAUAUAUAUAUAUAUAUAUAGUGGCGGACUCAAUCAAAGACAAUUGUGGCCAGCUGCCAUCUCAAUUAUGUCAAGAUAUAUAUAUAUAUAUAUCUUGAUGAAAAAUAAUAUAAACUAUAUUUAUGACAAUUAUGAAAAAAUAUUUUAAAAGAAAUCUGAGUUGGAAUUGUCAAGACCUAUUGGGAGAAGUGAUGAUUGUUCAAAACAAAGUCGCAUAAAAAUCAAUAUGUCAUAUCUUCAUUAUGAUCAUGGCUUACAAAUUCGGAUUUUAGAUUAGAAUUCGAACGUUUGUUUCAAUGAGACCAACACUGAGUUGUUACUUUGCUUGGCAUGCUUGAGUCCAAAUGAUUCAUUUUCUUCUUUUGACAAGCAAAAGCUCAUUUGGCUUGCUCAACUUUACCCGAAUGAUUUUUCUACAGAAGAACUUAAGGUACUUAAAGAUCAACUUCAAACUUAUAUUGAUGAUAUGCAUUCCAACACCAACUUUUUAGGAUUACAAGGUAUUGCUACUCUUGCAAAAAAACUAGUUGAGACAAAAAAGGACAAGCCAUAUCCACUAGUUUAUCUUCUCAUAAAAUUGGCGUUAACACUUCCAGUUUCAACAGCUUCAGUAGAAAGGGAAUUCUCUGCUAUGAACGUCGUGAAGAACAGAAUGCGUAAUUGAAUGAGAGACCAAUGGAUGAAUGAUUGCUUGGUAGUAUAUCUUGAAAAAGACAUAUUUAAUAAUACUAAUAAUGAUCUUAUUAUGCAACAUUUUCAUAAUAUGAAAAGUCGUCGAGGACAAUUGUAAAUUUACUUAUUAGACAUUGCUAUUAAUAUUCAAAGUUUGAAAUCUAUUUUGUUUGAUUAUAUAUUGGUUGAAUUUUUUUUUAAGCCCCUAGAUGAACGAAAGUCUGGAUCCGCCACUGUAUAUAUAAAUGGAGAGAGAGAGAGCUGAAAUGAACAUAUGUUUAUUCAAUGCUCCAAUUUAUCAAUUUCAGGAUCUUCAAGGCUUUAAUAAAUUAUACUGAAUGAACAGAUUUAUUCAAUUGAUACAACAAAUUUCAGGGUAUGUAACCAAAAAUGGCCCACAUAAAGAAAUCACAAGUAACAUAUCUCGUGUAUGAGUAUGACAACAAAAUUAAAUAAUUAAACCAUAUAAUGAGUUGCAUGAAAGCUGCAAAGACAACGUCCAUGCUAAGCCUCUUAUUCUCAAGCAGUUUUCAGGGCGCGCAUUUUGAUCAGAUGCAUAGAAGCCACCAGGGUAAAACUCUCUCUUGCAGCAAUGAUUUGUUUUACCAAUCUAUAACCUGCAAUGCGAAACAAUAUUCACAAUUAAAAAAAAAUUAAGAACAGUUAAAAGUUCAAUAAACAUGAUUUCUAGGAAUAGGAGUUAGAGAAAUGUAUGCAUAAACUUCUAAUUAGGUCACACCCUUACAUGAAGAGAAGAGAAAUUCAACUUGUUUAGUAAUGAGUGGGUGGUGGAGGAGACGCGUAAUCAUAUGGUUUACGAGGUGAAGGAGAUGGUGGCGGCGUGACUUGUAAGAUAAGAGGAGUGGGGAUGGGGAUGGUGGUGNNNNNNNNNNNNNNNNNNNNNNNNNNNNNNNNNNNNNNNNNNNNNNNNNNNNNNNNNNNNNNNNNNNNNNNNNNNNNNNNNNNNNNNNNNNNNNNNNNNNNNNNNNNNNNNNNNNNNNNNNNNNNNNNNNNNNNNNNNNNNNNNNNNNNNNNNNNNNNNNNNNNNNNNNNNNNNNNNNNNNNNNNNNNNNNNNNNNNNNNNNNNNNNNNNNNNNNNNNNNNNNNNNNNNNNNNNNNNNNNNNNNNNNNNNNNNNNNNNNNNNNNNNNNNNNNNNNNNNNNNNNNNNNNNNNNNNNNNNNNNNNNNNNNNNNNNNNNNNNNNNNNNNNNNNNNNNNNNNNNNNNNNNNNNNNNNNNNNNNNNNNNNNNNNNNNNNNNNNNNNNNNNNNNNNNNNNNNNNNNNNNNNNNNNNNNNNNNNNNNNNNNNNNNNNNNNNNNNNNNNNNNNNNNNNNNNNNNNNNNNNNNNNNNNNNNNNNNNNNNNNNUAAGGAGGGGGUUGUGGAUGAGAGGGAGUUGAAGUGACUGUAAAAAUAACGAGGGGUAUUGGAUUUAGAUGGUGGUGGUGGUGAUUGUAAACAUAUGGAGGAGGAGGUGAUGGUGAAGGUGGUGGUGGUGAUUUGUAGUAUAGGGUGGAGUUUCUUGGUGGUGAUACCAUGGCGGGGAUGACUUGUAGUAAACUGGUGGUGGAGGAGAUGAAUAAGCGUAAGGCUUGUCAUCACUAGCUGCUACAUUGGUGGCUAUGAAGCAUAUAGCCAAGGCAAAAACCAGGCUUGGCCAAAGAUUGGCCAUUUUGAGCAAACUCUUAAUCACUGAGAUCAAAGGGUUAUUUGUGAAUGAUUACUGAGGAGAAGUUCGCAGCUUAUAUAGUGAUCCCUUCAAAAACAGAAGCAUUUGUUUAAUGUUGUUUGAAGUUUCCAACCUCAUAACAAAGCAUAUGUAUUUUACAAAUUAUCACAAACUCAACUUAUUAACUUAUAUAAGUUAAAAUCUAACCAAUAACACAAAAUCCUACAGAUAUUCUCAUUUUUUUGUCCAAAUAUUAAACAAUUCGAUAAUGGUAUACCACUUGCCUUCUAGCCUUGCACAAUAGUCUUCAAGCAUAUGCACCUUGAAACGGUCUAGAUCAAAUAAUGCAAAACGAGUUGCAGUACUGAGAAACUUAUAAAAUACAUAAAACAAUCACACUGUUUGACAAAUAAAUCGUGAAUAUAUAUAUAAUUCUGAAUUUAUAUGAGGAAGUAGUUGAGAUUAGGUUCAUUUUAGGAACCUUCGGACGGAAUUUAGAACGUAUCAACGUUCGUUGGUGUUAAAAUAUAAAUCAAUUUCAUCAGCAAUCUGAUUCUGAAGUAGUCUUGCAAAUUUACUUAUACAUUCCUGCACUGCAUAUUUUAUAGCAAAUCAUUGUCACUGAAGUCUAACAGCCAAUAAGCUCAUUGGCAAAAAAUAACAAAUGCCUGCAUAUUUUCUCACCAGAAUUUUCCAGCCAGCACUAAUAUGAUGAAGGCUUCCCUGCAAAUUGCCAAUAAAGUUUCAGUUUAACGUUUUCCUGUUUGUUUAAUGGUUUGUGUAGAAAUAACCGAGUGAUUAGGUUCAGCUUUCCCUGUCACAGAUGCAUAAAGUCAAUUGCUUCCUUUUCUUUUUUUUAAUAUGACUUGUGUUUUUCUAGAGAGAGGUCUUAGCAAAUUAAUCAUGUUACAAUGGCAUAAUAUGAAAUGCAUUAUUAGAAAAAAGUACUAACGUGUAAGGAAUUUGUACUAAACUAUUAAAAAUAGCUUUCUUGAGUCAUAAUGUAUGAACACAUUACUCAUGAAACUGUCCAACCUAAAAUCUUAUAUAAUCUACAAAAGGCCGAGUCCAAGCAUUUUUAUGGAGCUAAAAUCCGAUAACAAUUUUCUACUUUAAGCCUUCCCAAAUGCAUGUAUUUCUUUUUCUUUUGGUCAGGCAACAUGCAUGUAUUUAUUUAUAUUGAAAGGAUAAAGUCAAUCUGAAUUUUUAUUUUCUUUAUUUUCUGGAUUGCUACUCAAGUUUUUUUAGUAGUAUGAAGUUAACAUGUAGCAUAACUCUAUUAUGCCAUAUGGCUAGCUACAGGGCCAGAAGCAGAGCUUGCAUUGUGUAUCAAAACAAAACAGCUUGCUUUUUAUUUAAUUUUUUAGUACAAGUCAUAGUCUAAACUAUAAGGAGGGAGGUUUUUCACACACACUACAAAUGUGUCACAGGGAAUCGAAUUGGAGACCACUCGUCUGUAAAAUAAGGCCUUUUUCCACUAUGCUAAACCCUGUUGGCAAGCUUGCAUCUUUUGGCACACUAUCGAAGCUAUGUGUUUCCAAAUUAUAAAACUAAAUUUGUUGUUUCUUUAUUCAAGUUUAUGGAAUUUUUUUCCCCAAAAGUUUAUUGAUUGAGUAAACAUUGUUUUACAUUUGCAUCUAGAAGGUAAUAUAUGCAAUAUGAGGAAAACACUCUUAAUAUUGAUGAAGGCAAAAAAAGCAUGAACUUUGGAUUCAAACGAAAACAAAUUUAUGUUUUUCCAAUGACAAAAGAAAAAUUACUACAAUUGGGCCCUCUCCUAAUAUAGGGAGCUAAAAGAAUUAGUUAAAGAGAGAACAGAAAUGAAAAUAGAAGUAGGAAAUUACUUAAAGCUUCUGAGAGAAAAGAAAUAAACUAAAAAGGUUUGUAAAUCGUUGUUUUACACACACAUUAUAAGUCUUGACAAACUGAAUAAUUAUUUUUUCUGUAGAACCAUCGUGCUAAAUUCACAAAGAAUGAAAUCAAUUAGCAAUUGAAGUUUUUGUUUUUGUUGGUGAAGAAGAUAAGGUCAUGUAUUGGUUAUAUAUUAAAGAAAUAAUUAAAAUAUAAGUUCAACUGCAAAUGUAAUGUCAUGCCAUGUUCAUUAGGAAAUGUCAUGCAUGAUAUGAUAACUCAGUUUAUUACUCGCUUAUGAUUAUUGUUUUUAAAUUACCCCGCAGUUGCAGCCUGCACUGCAUCUGGGACUUGUUCAUCACCACAGCUCUCUUGCUUGGUUGUGAUAUGGAUAAUGGAGUGCACAAAGAGAAAUGUAGAAGAAGCAAAGUAAUGGGUUUUAUGACCAAAUAUAUGCUACGGUCAGUCGUCUAUAUGUACAUACAUGGAAACCGUUUAAGCAUGUAAAGUGUCUAUGCACACGUGGGCAAUUUAUAACUCUUAAUGAAUGGAAAUCGAUCUGAUCAACAAUAAAAAACCACCACAUGAGCGACUGAUCCUAACAAAAUUUUACACAAUAUGAAAAGACUUUUCAUUACAUUCACACUCUAAAGAUCCAAAAAGACAGAAUUUCUCACUUCCUAAUGCUUCAGAAGGAAAACAAAAACAAACAAAAGAACCGCCACUGGCGACUAAUUUGAAAAAUUCAUGCAUUCCAAAUUAUGUUAUGUCAAUUACCUACUAGAUACUUAAAUACUGUCUCCUCCUCAUUCUCAAUAAAAUAAAAUAAAAAUAUUGACUCCUUGGAAAAUAGCGAAUGAAAACGACCAAGUGUAUUAAAGAGACGGUGAUGAUAAUAAUAACAAUGAGAGAAGGAUAGUAAACUGAAGGUUUCCUGAUACCAAAUAAUGUCACCAUAAUACAAAACUAUUCACAAUUAUUGCUUUUUAUUAUAAUCAUUUAAUCAUCAUAAUACUUCUGAUUUACACAUAUUACAUGCAUAUCUUGUAAUUGGUUGGUUAGUAGAAACAUGAGAAAGAAUAUAGAGUCUGGUAGUCUGUACAGUAGUAUAUACCCGUGGGGUAUGCUAAAUACAGGAAAACAGAAAAGUAGUAUAUACCAGUGGUGUAUGCUAAAUACAGGAAAAGAGAAACUAACAAUCAAAUACUAAGCUUGGCGCGGAAGUCUGAGCUAAUAAUUCCUGCAGUAAUUUCAUCCAAACAAGCCAUCCGUAUUCGUUCAGGCGUCGCUGGAUUAUCUAGUGGAAACCACUCCUUAGACCCUACUUCCGCUCUCGCAGCUAUGAUUGCAUCUUUGAUGGCAAAAAAGACAGCUGAAGCCAAGAAAAAUGGUGGCUCACCAACUGCUUUGGAUGAGUGGAUCGCCUUCACAUUUGGAUGUCCCUGCAAUUAGCAAAGAAAACAUCAAACAAGUCAAGACGGUUGCUUUAGGUUGAAAUCAAUCAUUAAAGCCAAGUAAAUUCAAUUUCUAUAAUUACAAAUGUAAAUUAAAGAAUUACAGCAUAACUUAGCCCUCGAAAAAAUGUUGGGUAACCUGUUUUUAAACUGUAUGGCAUAACGUAGCAUCGAAAAAAUAAAAACAGAUAGGGAGGGGGAGGGAGGUUUGAUGUUCUAAUAAAUGAAAUCCUAAACAGCUUCCAUCCAGGUUUGAUAAUUUUUAAUUUUUAAUUUUGGGAUAGGAUACACAAUGGAUAUAUUAAAAUUGGGAAGUACAAUCAAAGUGGAUCGGGAGUCUUCACCCUCUUAACUACAAGAAACAUAAUAUCGAGAGCACAACAAAUAACAUAACAGCAGCUAUCCUAACAGAAAACAGAAAAGUAAUCAGCCAAUCUGAAUAGAAGCUUUUGAGAGAGCUAAAUAAUUUCCCUAAAUUCAUGUGUUCUCUUUUCUUUCUCCUUCAUUUUCCUUAUUUUUUUGCCGCCCUGCAUAAUUAUGCACUUCUAUUUGGUUCAAGGAUUUCUACACAAUAAUUAAUCAACCAACCACAUUAAGCCCCAUUUUGUCACAAUAUAUUUAAUCAACCCCAAACCAUUUCUUUACAGACACCACAGACAAAAAUUCCCGACACCAUCUUCUAUCAAGCACAUAGUCUGGUAAAUUACAAGUUGCCUUUAGUUUUAAUUAAUGCUUUUCAGUAGAAAAGAAGUUGUCAGAUGACAUGUUAAGACAGAUACACUGAAUCCCACCCAUAACUUGAUCAGACAAAUUAACUUUCAGAAGUAAUUUAUAAUUUAUAAAUGCCCUUACAGGGUAAUGAGCAUACCUUCAGAAGUGAAACGCUAAAUUUGAAGGGGACAUCAUUUAUGGAAGGAAUUUUGUAAUUUCCAGGUCCACAGGUGUAGAGGCAACCUGGUGAGAUCCACUGAUGAGCAGAAUCACCCCACUUAAGUUCUUCUAGAGCUACCCAUCCCAAACCUUGUAUAAAGGCUCCUUCGAUCUGCAUUAGAAGCAUAGCAUAAUUGAUAAGAACAUUAAAUAUAUCACCUUAUUCAACCAUCCCAACUACUCUAGAUUAUUAGUUAUUGCAACCGAAAUGAAAUAUAUCACCUCAUUCAACCAUCCCUUCCCCAAUUUUAUAAAACAACACUGAACAACAGCAAGCUUGACAUUCACAAACUAGAUCAGGAAUUUGUUAGCAUGUUCAUUAGUUUAGAUGACAACAGCAAUAUCAUGAAUAGUUUACCAACUAAUACUUAACAUCAGUAGCAGCUCAUACAAGCAUGUUGCGUGGACAUUUCAUCAUUCGGCCAAAAAUAAAAAUUAAAUCUCCUUUAGGUUCUUAAAUUAUCUCCAUUUUCUCACAAGAAAUGGGAUCAUUGUGGGCCCCACUAGAAGUUCUAACCCUAUUUAGGUCAAUGCUUGAGUCUGUUUCUGUAGUAUAUCUUACUUUCUAGGAAAGUUAUUCCUAUAAUCCUGUUGCAACAAACAUUCCAAAAAAUGGGCUUACUAUUAACUUGAGAGUGAAUGUAGUUUUCUUUUUAUAAAAAUGAUUCUGUUGCAAGUUACAACAAAAAAUCCUCAAGAAUGGUUCACUACAUGUAGCUUGAGAUAGGGUUAAAAUUCCCAUAUUUUUCAUGGAUGUUUAUUGAUAAGUAAAAGAUUUUGACAUUUUAACGAAACUGAUAAGGAAAAGCGGAGAAAAGCACCUGGCCAACAUCGAUUGCUGGGUUGAGAGAGUAUCCAAGAUCCAAAAAUAUGUUUGCCACCCUAGUGUGAAAAUCUCCAGUCAAUGUGUCAACUUCAACCUCAGCAAAAGCAGCCCCAUAGGUGAAGUAUCUGAACGGGUUCCCUUUACCAGUUGUCCAAUCAAAAUCAAUUUCAGGUGUAAUGUAAAACCCAUGUGCAGAAAGAUCUAUCCGCGCCACAUAGCAUGCACUUGCAAGCUGACAAUAAUUGUGAAAAACGAAGAUAACAUAAAUUUCGUAUUGUCAAAAAUUCUCAGUGCAAGAUUGCUUGCACAAAAGAUCCCAUGUACUGUCCUUUGGAACUAACACAUGAACAACAAAUUUCAACAGACUAUCUAUAAGAUUCAAAACUUCAAAAGCAGUUCUUUUAUCACUUAUUCACUUUUUCAAUUCCCGUGUGAUACAACUAGGUUAGCCACGCAUCUUCGAUGUUUGACAAAGAAUUUAAAACAAAUGAAAGAGAGAGGACACCAUGUUUAAGCAUUUGGUUGGUUUUAUACAGUACACAAUCAAGAAAUCAUCAUACUGUGAAUGAUACUCUUAGGUAAAGCUUCAAAAUUGAUUCCAAAGCGAGACAAACAAAAUCCAGCAUUAAAUGGUGAAAUCAGAGAUGUCAAAUGGAGAAUCAGAUUACUCAACACCCGCCUCUUACAUGAAUGAUAUGGUUGGAAUUUGGACCAAGGUGUUUCCAGUAUUCAGAUUCAAUAUAAGUGCCUAAACAUGUAAAAACUUGGUAGAACAUGACAAAAGACAACAACAAUAACAAUUAUCAACUACGCCAUCAGAAAUCACCUUUUUAUAAAGUUAAUCAAGACUUAUGCAAAUAACCCAAAAGGGAAGGAAUGUUCACUGAAGUUCGUGGCUGAUAAACUACUAAGACCAAAAAUUCAGGUUUAACAAUUGAUAAGCUCAUACAACAAGAAAUUUACGUUGAACAUUUAAAUCUUUCUAACAAACAUUUUCAGUCUCUUUCAUGGCAUUAAAUUGAUUGCCAACAUCACAACAAUCUGAAAAUGCUUAUUUUACUAUUCUCCUGACAGUUUUAUAUUUAUUGAAAUACUUGUAAUACAUUAAAGCUGUUUUCCUCUCCUCUUUUUUAGUUGUAAUUAACACUUCAGAUAAGUAACUUCUACACCAUCCAAAAUUGUUACAGUCACUACUCCUCAAGGGAAAGAAGGACAUGUACUCUUCUUUGAAAGAAAAGAACCACAAAAUAUACCAUGCUGUAUGAUGUGAGCAGAAACUAGGACAACAUGAGUACCUCAGCAAAAGAGCUGAAAUUUUGUUGUGAAGCAAUAGGCUCCAUGCGUGCCUUAAUUUGCUCACAUGCAUCCAGAACUGCAGCUCCAUACAUAUCAGAACUCGCGGAAGCUGCUGUUGGUGAUGAAUUAGGAACCUAAUUUGGCAGCAAACAUGAAGACAACAAAAUAUGAGCAUGGGCAUCAGGUGUUUAGGCAUAUACAAAUAAUAAAGCAAUAGAAAUGGAAAGGGAAUCUAAAUCAGUUACUCCUACCAGAAAACCUUUCGAAUAUUAAUUGACUAGCAAUCUAGCCAUAGCCACGGAUAAUUACAGGCUCAACUUUGUUAGAUACAUUCUCUUAAAUUUUAAUACUAUCAAAAGUUAUUCCAACAUAAUUGCAGCAACAACACUUCAGCAAUACCCCUGACAUGCUCAUGCAAUAAACUUCUUGGAGAAUCUAGAAUCUCAUAUCGGGAAAUCUAAGCCUCACAAAGUCAUCCACAGAUAUUGGACCCCUUCGCUUGUUGCCAAUUAGUUUUGGGUUGGAUGCCCUAAUUCUAAAAUGGUAUGGGAGCAUGUUCCAUUCACGUGUUGGGCCCGACUUGUGCCCAACUUAUGUGUUGGGCCUAUUGAAUUACAUGUUGGAUAAUGUAAAAUCCCACAUUAGGAAUCUUAAGCCUUGCAUAGCAAUUAUAAGAACUUGGGCCUCUCCACUCAUUACCAGUUGGUUUUAGGGUUGGUUCUCUAAUCCUAACAAAGCUUAAGAAUCACUUGAGAAAGGCUUCUCCCCUAUUAUCCCCAUCUUACAUGUUUAAAAUGUUGAUACAUCAAAUCUUUUUACUUUAGCUUUAGCUGAUUAGAUGAACCCCCGUGCAUUUUACUGUACUUUAUUUCACAUUAAUCCAUGGUGAUUUCAAAAUACAUAUCUGAUGGUUGACCUUUCUAAGAAUGAGAGAACUAGACCUUUCUAAUAUCUGAUUAGCAGAAACAAUAUGCAAAAUCAAAGCAAUAUACCAAAGUGACCCUUUUUUAUUUCAAGAUAAUGAAACACUGUCAGCUACCUUGUCAGUACUUGUCUCUGAUAUAAAGACAGAACUGAGAGGGAUAUUGAAGGCAGAAGCAGCGACCUGAGCAACUUUUGUAUGCAAACCUUGCCCCAUCUCAACACCUCCAUGUGUGACUAAAACAGUUCCAUCUGUGUAGACAUGAACAAGAGCACCUGCCUAAGGCACAUUUAGCAUACCUGAUCAGGAUUCUGAUUGCAUGAUUAUGUAGUAUAUAAGAAAUUAAAAUAAUGGAAUCAAUUUUGAUAAAAGAAAAUAUAAAUGCACAUUAAAAUGGAACACAAAUUAACUUACUUAUGUAACAGCAGUUCGAUUUCUAUAAUCACACUGAGAGAGGAAGGGGUAAAUUCAUCUCUUAAAUUUCGAACACUGAUAACAUGAUGUAAAAUUAUCCAAACUAUAAAUCUGACAAAGGCUUGUCACAAUACUGAGGCUUCCAAAUCUAUAAGAUCCACUUGGAUGGCUUUCGCACCCAAGUGGAAACUCUUCGGCUUCAAAUCGGAUGGAGUUCAUUGUUUUAGGUAAGAGAGAGUUAAGGUGGAAUAUAUAUGUAGCAUCCUAUAGGCUAUAGCCAGUUGAUAUACUUGAAAAAGAAAAAAUACUGACAUCAUAGGGAGACAUUUUAAGUAGGAUGCCUAUGACAGAAAGUUCAUAUCCUUUUCAGUAACGCAAAACUCAGAAUCAAGAGGGAGUGUUAUGUCCAGCCAUACAUCUUAUACUAGAAUAAACCAUUAAAAAAUCCUGUACUUGAAAACUCUAUGUUCUUAGCGUGUUUUAGACAAAAGAUAGUUAAGUCCGAAUAAAAUCCUGUAUUUGUCAAAGCUCUAGUUUUCUAAGAGGUAAAAGAGAGAGAAAUCAAUUAAAUCUGAAACCAAAUAACAUUUUGUGAAUAUUACCUGGUUCAUAAGCUUUAAUGUAAAUGAUAUGCCAAACUUCGUUGGAACCAUGGCAACACCACGCUUCCUCCACCGAUUUUGAAUAUUAAAUUGGUCAACUUCGUAGCGAGCUUUUAAAAAUUCACAAGAUAACUUUAGUUCACUCCAUAGCGGACCCAGUGUACAGUGUUGAAGUUGUUGACCAUAAUGCAAUAUUGACCCUUCACCUUGAAAAUUAAUUUCCUGAAGGAAAGUGAUAUUACAGGCUCGUAUCAGAAGGAAUAUGAUGGUUAUGGAGUAAAGGUGCAAGUGCAACAUAAGAACUACAACCUGAUAAGAUUUCUUAACUUACUCUUAUCUCUUCGGGGCUUUUUUUGAGUUCUGCAGCAAUCCUUUGAAUCCAAUUUUCAGUAAUAAGCAUACCUUGAGGACCACCAAAUCCUCGAAAAGCAGUGUUACUUGGAAUGUUUGUGAAGCAAACCCUUCCCACAAUCCUCACAUUUGGAAUCUCAUAGACAUUAUCUGAGUGAAACAUAGCACGUUCAAGCACAGGAAGGGACAAAUCUAGUGAGUUUCCACCAUUAUUGUAGAUUUCAAGAUCUAGUGCCAACACCUUUCCCUCAUUUGUAAAUCCAACCUAUGUCAAAUUACAUAUUCCAUCAAUACCUUUUUUUUACAUCACAUGUUAUGUAAAUUUAACAAAGCAAAAAAAUUAAAAGCCACCAAAACAACAACAGCAUAAUUAUUGACAAUAAAAUUCAAUAAAAGGAAGUAAGGCCCUUCUCCUUCUCCAUCUUCAUCUCCAAUUUUUUCCUUUUAAAAAAACAAAAUAAGGGAGCUUUUCAUACUACUCCACAACCCCUCCAACGAAAUACUCUGAGCAAACAAGAAUAAAAUCAGGUUACAGAAGUUCUGUUACCACAAGGUAAAGGAACCAUAGAAGAGCCCAAAUUGUUUACUAGAUACCAAAGUCCCACUAUAUGGCAUGAGAACUCUUUUCUUGAUUUAUUUUAUAUAGCUUAGCUUUUAUCUGAAAAGAUAUAUGAAUAAGAAAAAAAAAAGUGCAAAAACAGAAAAAGUUUCUGCCAACAUCAGAUUGUAAAACAUACAAGUAGGACAUAAAUGUUGAUGUCCAACAGAAAAAUCAAAAUAUAGCAAAACAAGUAAACCUUGUACUUUCCAAGAAAGCUAUGGCGUUGCCCAGUUAUCAUCAUGUCUGUAUCACGGUCUAAUGUAAUUUUAACUGGACGAUUUAAGAGAUAUGAUGGUACAGAGGCUGCAGCAGCAACAAAAGCUGAUCUAGUCUCCUUGCCACCAAAACCACCACCAAUCCGUUUAGUUUUACAAACUACUUUUGACAUUGGAAGACCAAGAACAUGAGAAACGUAUUUCUGAUGCUUCUGAGGGGCCUGCACAUUGACGUAAUCCCGUUACAUUUCUGUUAAAAUAAACAUCAUAGACAUUUGAUUGACACUAGUCCCUAACAAACUUUUGGACAAAACACUCUGCAAUCACAUAAAUACUUGUAAUACAUACAACCAGUAUUUAAGGUGCAAGAAUUAACAUGAAGAAAGGGUGAGGGGGAGAGAGAGAAAGAUUACGGUGUCUAUGCACAAAUAUUAGAAAGAAGUUGGAAAGCUAUACAAAAGGCAAGCCCAAGCCGAAAAGGAAAGGGUGAGUGAACCCUACCAAAGCAUCUGGUCCAAAUGAAAGGAUGAGUGAAUUUUUCAUGGUUUUGGGAGAUGGUUAAGGUGGCUAGGUGUAAAAGCUUCUUCCACCAGGGUAGACUACUUAAAAGCUGAAUCACACUAACAUCUUUAUGGUCUCCAAGGGUCUUUGCCUCAAUGAAUAUGAUGCAAUUUCACCAAAUAUGUCGCUGCAGUGUUCCAAACAAAGUCAUCUUCAACGUAUUGACCAAUACAUUGAAAGGGACAUCAGUGAUAGGUUAGCUUCUUUGUGCAUGUGGGUGUGCCAGUUUGCCAAAUAAUAGAUAAUGUCAUGAUUUUCAGUGAGCUUCCACAUGUGAUGAAGGGGAAGGAUGGUUUCUUAUAUGUUUAAGGGUGCAUGAAUUGUUUCUUAUAUGUCAUUUUCUUUACUGUCAAACUGACAGGGCAGAAAUUGCAAAACAGAGCAACAUUAUGGUGGACAUAGUAGAGUUUUGAAGGUCAGGGUGCAAAGAAGAAAAACAACUCAAACCACAGGGGUGUAAAGUGUAACUAACCCUUUCAUUUUCCUAUAUAUCCAAUAAACACAAGCUAGCUGCUUACAAGACCUGCUGGCUAAAUAUGGUUGUCUCAAAAACCAGACUCCUUCCUACACAGGCUGCUUAAAAGCAAAUACUUCCCUAAGUGUUCCACUUAAUUGGACGAUGGCUUCUGAAUAGAGUAGAGUCUUACAAGCAUGGCUUCAUGUUACUGGGCACAUAUAAGGGUAAGAGAUAACCCAUGCUUAUGUAAACCGCAUAGGUUUUAUUAGUUGCUAUUACCAAGGAGGGAGGAUGUCCGACAUGUAGCUAAUUUAGUUGAUCAUUAAAUAUUCAUUGGAAUACAAGGAUAUUUUUUAGCAAUACUUUGUACCUAAUGGACCCCAACCCAUUUUAGAAGUGCCCUUGAGCAAACUGGAUGUCUCUUUUUUCAUUAAAAAAAAACUCAUCAAGAAAGGAAAAAGGUACAACCAAAUACGGGCACUUGGGUCAUAUCUAAACUGAUUCAAGCAGUAAUCUUUCGAGGGAUUUAUAAAAAACCUGAGUGGAUGAGAUCAUAUGAACUUCGUUGCCACCAUCCAUUGUCCAUACCACACUGCUUUGUGGCUCCAAAUAGAAGUGUUCCUGUCCUCCCACUCGAACUUCCCCCACUAUGACAUUCUCACAUUGACGUGAUUGAAAGCAAAGAUCCACAUCCCCUUUCCUAAAACACCUCUCUGUAUUAGGAUGGUAACUAUUGGCAUUGACGGCAUCCAGUAUUGAUAAGAUGGGUGGGAGCUCUUCAUACUCAACAAGAACCUUCCUUGCUGCUAGUUUUGCAUUUUCAUGUGUAUCAGCAACUACCACUCCGAUAACCUGCAUAAAAAAAACCAUGGAUAAAAACAUAAAAGAGGAGAAUCGGUUAACACAGCACUAAAUACACCAUACAAGGAAUAAUUUUAUCAUGCCUAUAUAGCAUUUGAUAAAUGCUCAAUAUAUUUUCCAUGUCAUUUCUUGUAAUGAGUCAACAUUCUGAAUUGUAGAAAUAUCUUUAGAAUACUGCAAACCAUCAAGUGAUGUUUAUUAUGGGUCCAUUUUACACCACACAUCAUUCUCAAAAGUUAAGGAUUCCAUUACAUUGUGGGCUAGAAAGAGAGAGAGAUUUAUUAACCAUCAUACCUGACCAACACAAGUGACAAAUUCUGAAGCAAAUAGUUCCUCGUCGUAAACAACUGGUCCAAUUUUAUUAUCAGCUGGAACAUCGUUAGAAAAAAACACUCCUGCAAACCCAGGUGAUAACUUUGCUCCAGAACCAUCAAUUGCAAGUAUACGAGCAUGAGGCUUUCUGCUGAGUAUUAAAGCAGCAUGCAAACCAUUCUGAGGCAAUGGUGUGUCAUCAGAAUAUUCUGCCUCUCCUGUAACCUGGUAGAAAUUAUCAAAUCAGUACAAACUUCAUAAUGCUGCUCUACAAGAAAAAAAAUCAUGCACUGUGCACAAAAUUAAACUGAUUGACAGGGCAAAAAACCCUUGAUGCCAUUUAGUAUCACAUUCAAUAUUAGCCUGGCAGUAGAGAAGAUUUAUCCUGUCCAAAUCUUGAAUGUCAUUGUCAACGAUCUUCAUCCUUGUGCACUUUGAUUUUCUUCCUCUGAGUUCAGGGACUGGUCUUUUCAUCCUAUUUAUUCGGAUUGGAAUGCUGUUGUUAUGUAAUGCUGUUUUGUUGUUUUGCUCUUAGUCAUGUUUUUACUUGUUUUAGAAAUAGAGUAAAUGGAUUUUUUUUUCCGGGAACACCCUGUUCCCUGUGUUGUGAAUAUCUUUUAUUAAUGAAAGCUGUGUUUCUCAUAUAAAGAAGAAGAAAAAAAAUCAUAAUAGCCCAUUCCUUAAGGCUGAAGGUUGAACUCACAAUUUUUUUCAUUGGUUGUCUCAUUACAGUAGGAACUAAGAAGUAGACUUUAACAAGAUGACAACCACAGACAUCAUGUAACAUUAGCUCACAUUCAAAUAUAAAUGAAUGUGAGAGUGGUUCACGCCUGGAACCUGGAAUUGCUUGAAUUUUUUUAUCUUUUUACAAUUGGAAUCUCACAAGAAUGGUAAGUCUGACACUAGUUUUUGAUAGGCAUUAAAGGGUUAUGGCAGUCUGUUCUCAAGGAAGAAUAUUGUUAGAUGUACCUAAGGCACAGCAGCGAGAGAGAAGUUGUUUUCUUUUCUUUUUCAUUCCUUAUUUAUUACUUCUGCAGAAAGAAAGGAGAGGUCUCAGUAACAUAUUGCACCGAUACCAUGUUGAAAAAGACACUUUAGGAAUGGAAAAGAUCUUUGUAUUUCAUAUUCAAAUGAAAUGAGAACCCUGAAUUAUAUAGGAUUCCAGUACAUAAAAUUUUUGGUAAUCAGCUCUUUGACUUAGACCUUAACUGAAGCUAACAACCGUGGACUAAGCUCGGCCUCACGCAUAUGACAGUAACUUUAUUUGACCCGAGUUUGCUCCCUUUCCUGCUCCUUUGUUGAUUGAAAAAAGAAAAUAUUUUACAAAUCUUUUGGGAAAAAUGGUUAACAAAAAGGGGCCUACGCCAACAGAGUUUCAAACUUGUUGCAAGCAUUUACAAACCCAUCAAACUUUAUCUGCAUAGACAUGAUCCAGUAAGUCUCUUCUUCUAGCCCAUUAUACAACAUACUUGAUAGCAAAAGAAUUAGGUAAAAGAAAAAAAAAACGAAAAAGAUAAUGCAUACAAAUAUCAAGGUUCUCAAUAUCAAAUUCUGUUAAUCUGGGCUCGAGAAAAAAAAAUAAUAAUUGGUAUAUCGGAAAAGAUAAAAGUAUUAUUUCCAGUACAACUAAGUACAUACCUGAAGUCUUGCUGAUAAAUGAACCUCAGGAGACCCAACAGCUGUCCCAUGUUUUGUAAUUUCAUAGUCUUGAGUUCCUAUAACAGGUGGCCGGAGAAAUGAUUGUACAGCAGAGAGAUGGGAUAAUGGUACUCUCUCCUUAAUGCAAUGAUCCCCUUCCAUCUGAUGAGAAACCCAAAGAAAAAAUUUGAAGAAAAAGCUAAGGGUCAAAGAUUUACGAAACUCCACCAUCCCACCAGGAGCAUCAUCCUUGAUCAAUACAUCUUUUUGCAGGACUUUCAAAGCACCCUGCAACAGCUCCUUGUUCCAACUCUUUCCAAUGAGAAAAUCUUUUGUUCUUGUUGCAGAAAGAGAGAGUGGAGCAACUCCACCAUAAACAAUAGAUGCAUCAGACACAACCCUACUGUCACCUCUUUCCUCAAGAUGAACACGAAUUCCAGCAUUCACUAUCGCUAUAUCAUCAUCCCUUCUGUGAGCUUGCUUAAAUUCUUUCACAUACUCAAAAGGCCUAGUCCAAGGCAAAAAUACAGAGAGCAAAAUUUCACCACUUGCCAGAUCCACCUUACGAUAACCCAGGAAAAACUUUUCUGCCAGCGUCGUUCUAAUGUUCCCUUUGCAAUCAAUAAUUCGAAACUUUGCUCUAGAGGCCAUCCAAAGAGGGUUCAAGUCUGAUAUUGGACUGGCUGUACAUAUAUUUCCACCCACACAUGCAACAUUUCUUAUUUGCAUCCCAGCAAACCAUUUUAAUUGUUCAACGAAGGCCGUACAAGAUGAAGUUUCAUGAACUGCACGUUCUGUUAUGACCUUUCUUAAAACCUUAAGUAGUUCAGAAAGUCUUACUGCAGAACCUAUCUCUACGCCAUCAUCCUUGACAUUCAAUAUACUGAGUUCAGAUACAUGAGUAACAGAAAUCAAUACCCGAUACUCAAUUUUCUUAAACCUCAUUUCAAUUCCUACCUCAGUAUUACCUACCAAUAAUUUUGCAUCAGGGAAUUUUUGUUUCAACUCUAGCACUUGUUUAAGUCUCAAAGGUCUAAACCACUUUAACCCACCAAAACCAGUUAAACUUAAAUACGUCGAUUUUCUCAAUAGUAGCUCAGGAGGAAAAAUAAACUCCUUGUCUGUGUAUGAGCUUCCAUCAAUUUCACUGUAUGAGACAGGUUCAUACCUCUUGUCGUCACAAGUACCACUUUCAGGAGUGGUGCAUGAACUCUCACUUUUCAAACCACACGAACAGGGCUUUCCAGUUGAAGGGCACACAAACGCACCUCCUUCACGGCUUAGCGAAGAUAUAUCAAUGUAUGGUGUAUCAUUUGUUUUGGCAAAGACACGAAAAGCCUCAACAAUUGGUCUGUAACCUGUGCAUCGACACAAAUUUCCUGCAAGGCAUUCUUCAAUCUGCUCCUCACUAGGUGGUUUCUGACUAGACCUUAACAAUGCAUACAUCGACAUGAUAAAACCAGGGGUGCAAAAUCCACAUUGUGAGCCAUGAGAUCUUGCCAAUGAUUCCUUGAGAACAUGAAAGAAAAUAGAAAUAGGUGAGACUCUCUAUAAGGCAAAUUUGGAACUGCGUAAUUUGGUUACUAUAUGAUACCCCAAAAGAAAACAAAAAUUCAGAUAUAUUUUAGAAGCUCAUCUUGUAAUUUCCAAAUAAUAUUGAUCAAACAUAACACUAUUACUGGGCUCAUUUAACAACACUAUUGAUGAGAAGAGGAUGAGAAAAUGGUUCGGGUAACUCCGUCCCCCAGUUUCUUUCCUCUCCAUUUCUGAAAAUACAUGUUUAAUUCCUAAUUAAAUCAUGAACUAAAUAUUAAGUUUGUGCGCAUUCUUAUGGAAAUUCUUCACUUUGAGAUAUGUUCAAGUGAAUUCUAGCCUAAAUUUAACGAGAGAGAGAGUAUGAAUGAGAGAGUUCUAGCCUAAAUUUAGAGGAUUUUCAAUUCUUGGAGCACAGCCACUCCCUAAUAUUCCAUGAAUGGAGAUUCCAUAAUCGAGAAUCCCCCUCCAGGACCUAAUCCAAUCUCAAAAAGCAAUUCAGCAUAAAGUGAUUUGUCAGAUAUAUUGUGUCAUAGGCUCAUAGUCACAUAUGAUGUUUCUCUGAUCAAGAUAUCCCUUCAUUCACCCAAGAAAUAUCAACUGAAUUAUCAUAAUUGGAAGCAUGAAGUGGCAAAUCAACUUCUUUGUCUUAUGGUAUAUCUCACCAUAAAGGAUGCUACCAAAGACCUGUAUUUGCAGUCAAAAAAUUCCUUUCUUACACAACGCAAUUAGAGCUGGAACGCUUUAAGCGCAUAUUGAUACAACAGGAGCAGGUUACCAGAAUUAUUUGCUUUCUUUUCUGUUCUAUAAAAUUUUUCAAAAUUGUACAGCACUCUAACUUCACAUCUUUUGUGACUUUUACAAAGGUUGCAAACCAUGGUGAGUGUGAGCUAAGUGAUUUUUAAUCCUGGAAAUACCUUCACUGCAUUGUAGAUUACAUAAUAUGGCUAAGUGAUGUUUAAGCCUACAAAAAACCGUCACCUAAUUGUUGGUGAGUGUGAGCUAAGUGAUGUCUUUCCCUCUUCAAUUUCGUUUGAAUACUUCCUAUAAAAAUCAUUCCUACUCAUGGUUGCUUACAGAAAUACUCCCAAACAGAAGUUCUUAAGAGUUCUUUUACCAAAAAUAAAAUGCUUAAGAGUUGUUGACCAAAUAAACAAACGCACCUGACAGUGGAAUGCACAAAGAAAAAAAAACUAGACAGAUACAGAGAAAAGAAAUGCAGGUCAAUAGGGGAAUGUACCUUACAGCUACUGGGUUGUGGGAUGCACCUUGGAGCUACUGGGUUGUGGGAUGUACCUUGGAGCUACUGAUCAUCCCAGCUAUGGGGGUUGUGGAUUAGGGGCUGCUGAAGAAAGGCUGGGAAUUUGUUAGGUUUAGAGUAAAUAUCUGGAGGGAUAUAGGCUUAACAGCAGCUGGGCAUUUUGAUUUUGUUAAAAGAAAAAUCAAAAACCAAGGAGAAAUGUUGUUGUUUGACCUAAGUAAUUCAGAAAUAAAUGUGCCCAACAAGCAUGCUUCAAUUGUGCAUAAUUAGCAAGAGCCAUACGCUUCUUUAAAGAGGCGUAAUUCUCUUGGCAUUUUACUUAAAAGGUAGACAGUAAAAGGCAGCUUUCUCUUCCUAAACUUAUUUUUCUAAACUAGGUAAUCCUUUACAAUAGCAUUAGUAUAAGAAAAAAGUAAUAAUGGAUACAAACAGAAAAGAACAAAAAAAAAGAAAAAGAAAGGCAGCAUAGAUUACUUGAAUCGGAUGCAAGCCCUGUUUGUGGCUCCCUAGUCCUUCCACCGUAAUUACGUGCAUCCCUUCUACAGAAUACAAAGGAGCCAAGCAUGCAUUGACAGCAUAGUGCCUGAAAGAAGAUUGUCAAAACAACAAUAAUUUCAGUGUGAUCCUAAUGUAUGGACUCCAAUAACAAGUAUGACACAUGCACGCACUUGGGUGUACGCGUGCACAUGUGCAUGUGCAUGUUUAUUCAAGAGAAAGAGAUACUCACAAACAUUUCUUCCGUUCUUGGUCAUAAUGGGAAACCAUAACAGUGCAAGCACCGCAACCGCCUUCACCACAACCAAGCUUUGUCCCCGUCAAACCUAUAUCUUUAUUGCCACAAAGGCAAUAGAAAUUCUAAUUAGGUUUUUUCAACAUAGAGAACCCAAAGUUUGUAUCACUUACAUAAAGGACAUUAUAAAAGAAAAUGGACAAUAAAAUCUUGCAGUUAUCAGCAAUUAAGAAUGUACAAGAUAGAUAUGCAGAGCAAAUAUUAACCGUUCUGAAAUUUAUUGAGAACAAUCAGCUCCAUAGGUCAAGAUUACUCUUGUUUUUAAGAAACAAACAUGUUCAUUGAACACAGUGGACGAGGCGUUCCCUAAACUACACCCCACUAAAGAACAACAAAACAGAAAACCAAUGAAAACAAAACAAAAGAAUAAACUAAUAUAAAAUAGCACUCCAAUCAAAAAAAUAAUAAUUAACAUGAAAGAACCAACCCUUAAAAUCUGAGCAAACUGAAGCUCAUAAGUAUGGGCCAUAAACACAUUCUGAACUACAAACGAUCAGCAUCCUCCCCCUCUAGCAACCUCAAAAUUUCACUCAUUUUUUGCCAUCACAGCACAUUUUCCUAGCACCAUGCCCCUUUUUCUCCCUCCAAAAACAUAGGCUUCUCACAAAAUAAUGCAUUACAAGUAUCUGGGAUUGUCGAAGCCUCACCCAAGUAUCUGGUAUUUCACCUUCAAAAUUGCAUGAUACGGACGGAAAAGAGAACCACAAGAGUAUCCAUUAGUUGCCAUAAAUAGGACACUCCUGAGGUUCCAGCUCCUAAAUUCUCCUAUCCUAGCUAGAUGGGACCAGCAUAACAUUUUCUAGAACUUAAAGUAUCUCAGUUAGCUCUCCCAACUCCAAGUCGUUUAAGUUUCUUCGAAACCCGAAACCCCAAGACAAAGGAAAAGAAGAAAAGCUAGAACAAAACUAGCAAUAGAAGCAUUAUGAGAUCUUGUAAGAACCAAACAAACUUGACAGAAUACAAGUAAAGAAACCCGUAAAAAAAAUUAAGCCUGAAAAACAAACCAAACUAAUCUGAGCUCAAAAUUGUCUCUUCCCAUACUUCCUGAGCAGCCAAACAAACAAACUGGGCAAAACCAAUUGCAAUUCCAAUUUUAUAAAUUUAAAAAAAAAAAAAACAGAAUAGAAAAUAGAAACAAUCAGAAUCAAACCUCUGAGGUACUCAAGAAGGGUGAAGUGAGCCAACCCAUCAGGCAAAACUUUACGAAUUCCAUUGACAUACAAUAUGGCCUCUUUUGACUCCUCCCCGAUUUGUUCCAGCUCCUCUUCGUUCUUCAACGAUCCCAUAAUUUUAUUUUCUGUCUUUUGCUUAAUUCCUUCAAACCCAACAACUUAGAAUUGUGAUAAAUAUUAAGAUUCAAAAGAAAUCAAGUUUUUUUUCUUCUGUAUGUGAGAGAGAAGUGAGCGAGAAGAAGAUGGAACGGAACAGUAGGGGACUGGGACACGGAAGAUCCGUACUCAGAUUUUGGGGGAAAAGGACAAUAACAAAAAAACAAAAACAAAAAACAAAAAGUGUUAUAAAAUGAACUGGGAUAUGUGCGAAUAUUGAGCUGCACGUAAACCUACGUCCCCGGAGAGCAGCAGUAGUAACUUUUCCACUAUGUAAAAUAAUAGGGCUACAACUUUAGUGUUUACAAUAUGUAUGGCUCACUCAAUUUUCUCUCUUGGAGAAUUUCUCUCUUGCUCUCUUUCCUCUCAACUCACUCACCCUCUUUCUUCCUUCUCUUCCUAUUAUCUAUGUGUAAACUUCUCUUGAUGGAGGUAUCUAUUUAUAGGCCUAAGACAUUGGUUGUUCACCUCACAAUAUAAUUGGUAGACAACAUCAUUAAUAUUCUUCAAUCAACAACAUCAUUAAUAUUCUUCAAUCAAUUGGGUAGUGGUUUGGUUUGGUGGGUGUGUGGUUAGGUUUGGUGGGUGUUAGUUGGCUAUGUGGGCUUCACCUAUUCUUCUUUACUUAUUCUUCUUUACAACAAUGUUCAAAAAAGUAAGAAGAGAAGUAAGAAUGGAGGAAUUGAAUUCUUAGGUAAAAUGUUCAAAAAAGUUCUCAAAAUACACUUAUGUCCUGAACCAACUUGUCUAAGCUUAUAUCUUCUAUUUUUUUAAAGAUAAAAUUAAUUUAAUAUAUGACACUUAUAUUCUCAAACAUUAAAAGAAUGAGAUUUUCACACACACUAGCAAAGUGUCAUAGGACUUCAAACAUGUGACCAUUAAUCUGUAAGUAAAGACCCUUUUUUCACGAGACUAGACUAUAUUGGCGAAUAUUUUGUUUUUAUGUGUGCAUGUGAAGUGGUGUGUUGUGUGCACAUCAUUAGGGUAUUUGCCCCCUUAAAGGAAGCAUUCUAGCUCGCCCACUGUUUACUUUCCCAUCACAUUGUCAUAACCAUUACUUUCCACAAUUUUCUCUAUCUUUAAAAAGAUAGGUGAAUUUCACUCCAUCUACUAAUUGCAAUAAUUAUGUAUAAAAAUAAGUGUGUUUCGACAUAAACAUAUUAACUACUAAAUAAUAAUAUGCAUUAGCCUACGAAAAGAGGCUUACAAAACACCCCCGAUUUAUUAUGAACUGUCUAGUUCACAAAAUAAAGUACUUUAAACUUAUCAUCUCUCACAAUGAAAAUGAUUCAGUUGAAUUUGAAAUCUGUAGCUUUGCCUCUUGUUGAUUGAGUAGUUUGAACUCCUUUUUGUUUGGGCAACUUUGUGUAUUCGAUGAAAAUAUGCAUGAGGAGCACAGUGGCGGCGAAGGAAGUUACUAAAACGCCCACCCCUCUCCAUGUCGAUAGAAGGGAGAACUUUUGGCACAGUUUCAUCAUCGCAAAAUAAAUUAGAUAGCAGCUGCUGCUAUGAGCCUGUUAGAGAGAGAGAGAGAGAAGGCAGAGAGAGAAUUUUUUAAGAAAAUAUGUACAAAAAAAAUAUAUUUAUUUUGUAGGAAAGAAAAAGACUAGAAUAACUUACAAGCAAUGCCAUAAUAGAUCGACCAGUGUCAUGAAUUUCUUGGUCACCGAAGGUACCCUCAGCCCGAAACUUGUCCAACAUGGAAUCCUUUGUGUAUUCAUAUAAGAGGAAGAAUCGAAAAUCACAAAGGUUAUUAUUUUUAACAAUGAGAAAAAUGAAAAUAAAAAUAUUCAGUCUCUCUUUUUACUGAUACAAUGACAAAAUAUAUGAACAAUUUUUUUUUUUUAAGGAAAAUACUUCUUUGGAAGUAGGAACUCCUACUUUCUUGCCAAUCACAGUUUGACAUGUGUGCAUAUAGAUUUUUCUUUUUGUAUUUUUGAUGAAUUAUUUUUGUAUUUAUGUCGAGUUGUGACUUGCAUGAAAUAAAGAAUGCCUCCUUUCCGGGAAGUAUGAAUUAUUACAUUUUGUAUGGAUGGUUUCACUACUAAUAGUACAUGAAACAAGCAAAGUACAUCGAAAAUUUGACAAAAUAAAAUGUAUUAUAUAAUAAAUUAUUCUACUACUAAUAGCACGACUGAAACCCUUUUGUGAUAUCGGUGUUCAAGGGUUCAAGCGUACCUUGGCCACAAACCUGUCUCUGCACCACUGAGCAAUGGCCUCAUCUGAUUGUGGCAAAUCCUUCAUUGGGUAUCGUUUUAUAUGUAUUUUUACCUAUCACAAGUCACAAUUUGUAUGCCAUCAGAAAAGGGCUUAAAUAUUAAGUUUUGGAGUGAUGUCUAAUUUUUUAAUUUUUUUUUUAUGUUUAGAUUCAUCACUUUGUAAAUAUGAGUAUCGAUCGAGUUGCCACAAUCAACUUAAAAUUUGCUUAAUACUUGAAUGUCAAACUAUAAAGCAAAUUGCUUGCUAAUUAUUUGUAAUUGGAACUCGAUGGUUUACCAUAGUACUUUUCCUUUCCAUCAUGGUAUGCAGGGAAGGAGUUGAAUGACCUUCUGGAACAGCAAGAGUAACAUCAUACACUGCAGGGACAAAUGAUCUCAAAUUCUUCACUGCUGUAACAAAACCCUGAGAGAUUAACAAAAUGACAAUCAAUUUUCAAAUUCAAAAACUCGUAAAAGCAAAAAAAUUAAUUAAUUAAUUUCUAUUUUUAGUAGAAGUUUUAACAUAAAAUUUGACCUUGGUACGAGGAAUCAAGACAUUCUUAGGGAUAGGCAGUUUCCUAGAAGCAGCAAACUUUUGAGCUUCUGAAAGCUUGUCAGGGGUCAUGCGUGUUCCUUCCGCAAAUAUGGUAAGCCAAAAUGGCAUGGGAAAAUCCUUUAACCCUUGUAAACUUCUCUGCACCAUCACCCAAUUAAUAUCAACACAAGGAGGGACCCAAACAAAUUAAACCAAACUGCAUGGUGAAACUGUUUUCAACAACGUAAUAAUAAUGUUACAACUUACAAAGCACCAUAUCAGAAUCACAUUACUAAUCAUAUCUCUCACAUAAGUAUAGUAAAUCAUACUACAGUAUGACCGGAGAAAUCGAUUCGUGUCAUAUAAAUAAUUUCAUCCGAAAGUUGUACCUUUAGGUUACUUUCAUCUUUUUCCCAGCUUCUGUUGAGGAAAACAAACCCUAGAAACCAAGAUGUCCACCCAAAAAUCUGCACCAUGUAUAUUUAAAUGCGUUAUAUUAAUCUUGAUGGAGUUUGGUUUCAAAAUUCACACUGCCGUACUAAUUAAAGUGAAUAAGAACUUAACUCCAUUUUGGAACUUGUACCAGUUUGACAUUGCUUAUUUAGAGUAAUUAGUGAUUUUUUAAAAAUUUUGGAAAGCCCAGCCUGUUUAGUAAACUAUGAAAAAAUCACUUAUUGUUAAAAAUUGUUGUGAGAGAAAGCAAUAAGAGAAAUCAGCUAAUGAGGUGCUUUCAUUUUCUGAUUAUGUAAGAAUCAGUUUUGAAGAGGUGCUAUGUUUAAUGAUUAUCCAGCAAUCAUUUUCUGAUUAUGCGAGGAAUCAGUACCAACAACACUUUUAACAAAAAGUUUACCAAAUGCCAAACUGUUUUCUCUCACAGCUGAUUUCUAUCACAGCAAAUCUGACAGCAAUUAAUUUCACAGCACAGCAAUACCAAACUUAUGUAACUAAUGCCAUUGAAUAAGAUGAUGAUUAUAUAGUUUUUGCCCUAGAAACUCACAGGAAGGAAUUUUGCAGAUUUCUUCAUAACCAUAAGAGCACUACGGAGGCAACCCAAUCGCUGCAGGAAGCAACAUAUAUAUCCAUAUCAAAUUAGGUUCCAUAGGAGAAAAUUUUAGCAUGUUAUAAUAGCUAGACAUUCUGGCUAUAUAUUUGCAGUUAAUAAGGGUGCAAUAUUAGUACCUGAGCUAAAAGAAACCCAAUAAGAAUAUCAGCAUCACACAUGUGGUUGGGCAUGAGAAGCGCAUGCUCUUCGCCUGUAAUUUUCCCAAACAUAAUAAUUUUUCUAGAGCCGAAAAUUAUUCUUUUGAGGGGUCUUUCAAAUAUCCUUAUGGGGCCAUUCCGUGUUAUAUUUUAAUGAUCCGAACUGUCUAUCUUUUAGGUAUUUCUUUAAAGAUAAAAAUCACAUGAGUUCGAAUUGAGCACUCAAUUAAUGAUUAUUGUUUUAGUGUUUUUGUGAAGCAUCAUGUUCAUCUAUUUUGUUGAUCACAAACUAAAUGUCUUAAUGCGUUUCAAUUUUUCUAAUUUUUUACAAGGAUAUAAAAACUUGAAAAAUAGAUAGUUCGAAUUGUUGAAAUAAAAUUCGUACUUGGCCCCACAACAUGUCUCUCAAUUAAAAUUAUUUGAGAGACCCCUCAAUAAAAUUGUAGAAGAACAUCACGAUAGAAAAAAAAAAUAUUUAUAGUUACCCAUUAGUCGAUAAGUUUCCAAAUCUGUGUACAGUUUAACCUGUAAUCAAAAGUAAAGUAGUCAACACUUCUGCAUAUGUGUGGUGCCAUAAAGAGAUAUUUAGUCAUAUACCCAUUCUUAGCACUAAAACUAUAAAUAAACCCUACACUAUUUAAUUUUUAUAAACAAACCCAAAAAUGACAACUGGCCCUAUUUAAUUUAAUUUUGAUUAUUAAAUUACUUUGAUGCCUUAUUUAGUGUUUUGGGCUUUUUUAUGAGGUUUUUGAGUUGAGUUUAUUUUAAGAAAUCAAUGACAAUUUUGUAAUUUAAAAGAAGUUAAAAGCCUAUUUGUUAUGUUGUAAAUGAGCUUUGAGUGUGUUUCUAAAGUCCAUUUCAUAUAGAGUUUUUUUUUAAUAAUUUGGGCUCCUAUAUUGGGUAUAAUAAUGAAUCUCCCAUAAAGGUGGAAGUUGCUAACAAUUGCUGGAGAUUGCUCGGGCAAUAAUUUUUUGCUACAUAAUUAGGAUUAGUAAUCAAUUAGGAUGAUAAAGUGGAAUCGUGUUCAAGAGCAUCCACAAUUAUACUCUCUAUUUCUUAGCUAAAAUUUCGUGAAAAAUAAAAGAAAUCUAUUUUAGGAGCUCUCUAAAAAAUUUCAACUCCAACCAUACUCACUAAUUUGGAGAGUCAUAAAUGCUAUAACUCUUUUUUGAUUGGUCCAUCUCUAUUAAAAAAUAAAAUAAAAAUAGUUAGUAUUAAUUAAAGGUUUGAAAUACUCAUUAAAUAAAACAGCAUUAAAUUAUAGGGAGCCAUUAGGAGUCCUUUCUCUCUCCUCAGAUUUAGGAGCUUCUAGAGAACUCCCUAUUUUAGGAGGUGGAUAGGGAGCAUGGUUGGAGUUGCAUUUUUACGACUCCUCCAUAAAAUUUGUCUAAGAAGGUAGUUUAAGGAGCCCGUUGUGGAUGCUCUAAAUGUUGUAUUUCUUCCAUUGUUAAUCCGAUAAUUUAUACAUAUGAGACUUUUUGACUAGAAAACAUUACCUUUAUUAUCAUAAUCCAUCAACAAAUAAUUAAAGCGACACUAAACUCAUCAUGGACUGAAUUUUCUCCAAUGAGUCGAACAUAUAUAGAGGAUCGUUUCGGUAUUAAUAUGAAAAUAAAAAAUAUGAUCCUACAAUAUUUCUUUUUUGCUACUUCCGGACGUUAUUAUCAUGCGGAUAUCAUGUAUUUUCUACUACCCCUUCAUGUUUUCAUUCAUGUUUACAAUGACAUCCGUAUAAUAAUAAUGUGCGGACAUCCGAAUGAGAGUAUAUAUAUAUAUAUAUAUAUAUAUAUUACAUAAAAGAAAAUUAACUAUAUAAUGCAAAUUAAUUAGAGCACCUUAAGGCCUGCCCACCACUCCAAGAGCCAAAUGUGAUCCAACCAUAAAAGUGAUGCAAUUGUUCCAUUGAUCUUUCUAUAUGUACUCUUGGACAAAGGUCGAAUAGUAAGAAAGCAAAUGGCCUACAAAAGUAAAACCAUUAGCUAUGCCACCUUCCAUCGCAAAUUCAAAUCUACUCACAUCAUCUAUAUUUGCUGCUGCUUAAGUAUUUGAAAGUGAGUUUGACCAACAACAAAAAGUUAAAUGUCUUUUCGGACAACAAUUAACAAUAUAAACUCUUCAAUAUGAAGUUAUCAUAAGCUUAUAUGUGAAAAGCACACGAAGUUUAUUCAGGAUAUAGAAAGUACCUGGAGAAGGUUGACAAAGAGACCAAGGACAACAAAGAUUACACCAAAAGGAAUUGAGAAAACUACAGCUUUAAGCUCCAUGGCCAAAACACACACAAUCCCUACAAUUACACACCGAGAGAGAGAGAGAGAGAGAGAGAGAGAGAGAGAGAGAGAGAGAGAGAGAGAGAGAGAGAGGGUGGGAGGGAGAUGAAGGGGGUGUUAUAAAAUAGAGAGGGAUACUUGUAGUUAUAUGUUAGACGUGUUAAUUAAUCUAUGUUGCUUUUUGGACUUGUUGCAUGAACUAAUGAUUCAUUUUCUUUUAAGAUAGCAUGGUUGGCGGGAUAACUUAUGGGCCCAUUCUAUUGGCGUACCAACUUAAUUAACUCAAAUUUAUGCAACGACAAUUAGGGUUUAUUUUCAGAGUUGGGCAUUUUCAUUGGCCGAACCAAACUGGUCUAGUCUACUGUCUUGAGUGUUAAAUUUAACAGUUUCGAAAUUAGCAGUUUGUAACCCUAGCAAUUUAGAACAUUGACUUUUUACACCCGAGGUCUUGUACUUGAUUUCCCCUCCUCUUCUUUCUCUCUCGGGCUUGUAACCCACGUAAUAUUGCUUUGUAUGAGAGAAACUUUGGCGAUUAUUUAUUUUUGGGUAAGAUUAGGCGAGCAUUAAUAUGAUGUCAUUGGAUGAGUGUGAUUUAAUUUACUUCUUAUACGAAUCUCAAAAUUUCAUCUCAUUCAAUGGCCAUUAAUAUGAUGGUGAUGCUCAUCACUACUAAUUCAAGGUGGUGAGCAAAAAAGUGUUGACUAUCGCUUGUAUUUAAAUAUAAAUAAAAAAAAUCUUAUUUUUCAUCAUUAAGCUUAAUCAAUCUAGAAAGAGUUAAAAACAAAACAAAAUAAUAGAAAAUCAGGGGAGUGAGGAGUGUCUUUGGAAGUGGGGUAAAUGGGGCUGGUGUGACGGAGCCAUAAAUUUAAGUAAGAGAAGGCACUCUUAAAAAUUCAAAUACUUUCUUUUAUGACAAAUCAACCUAGUUCUUAAUUUUAUCACUUUUCUCUAUUUUUUUCUUUAUUUUUUGUAUGAAUAACCUAUCACUCUUUUAUGAUAACAAAAUACAUGCAAUUCAAAAGAAAUUUAGACAUGAGAAUGAAAGAGAAGCAAAAAAAAAUAGUGGGCAUUUAAGAAUUUGUGAGGAAGUGCAAGAGAGAGACGAGAGAUUGGGGAAGAAAAGGGCAGAGAGAGAGAGACGAUGCGCCCCACUUUCUACGUCCUACCAUCAUAGUAGCUCUACUGCCGUACACACAAUCCUGUUAAAAUUCGGCGUAUCAUGUACACAGCAGCAAAAAUUUAAUCUUUGUAUGCUGGCUUUACCUGUACAUUAGGGAAGCAUUUAUAAGUGUAAUUUUCAAACUUCCCAUUGAUUGUAAAUUGUAAUUGCUUGGGAACAUGUUGCUUUAAUUCUUUGUCCGCUGAAAUUUAUCCUUAUUCUAUAUUCUAUAUUUUAACAGGAUUUUAUUUCUGAUGUCCUUUUUAAGGAUUGUUUAUUCCCUUGGGUCUUUGGUUGUUGGGGGACAGGGUUUGCUAUAUUAGGAGUUGUGGUUUCCUCUAAUCGCCCUAGGUGGGAUGAGGGUAGGCUACCCGUUUAGCUCUCGACGACCAAACCCUUAUAUGUAGAGAUGCUCACUUAAUCUUCUUAACCAUUAUCGUAUGAACCGCUUGUUUUGUUUUCCCUUUGCAUUAAUAUAAUUCCGCGUUUUUUUUUUAUAUUGAUAACCAAAUCCCAAGUCAUUGUAUAUUUCCAUCAAAAGUCCUUCCAAUUAGCUCAAGUGAUGAGGAUGAGUGGGAAAAUGGAUUAGGAUUAGAUUAUAUUCUCUCCAUUGUAGAAAAGAAAAAUAUAUAAAUCAAUGAAUCAAUAAAUAAAUAAAUACAGAGCUGUCUUGCUAGAACAAUACACAAGCAUAUUGCCUAAAAUUUUGUGUGUGUGUGUGUAUCCACAUAUAUAUAUAUAUAUAGUUGUAUAUUCCAUUUCCAAGCUACAACAAGAGAACAAUAAGCUUGGCAAUUUCAAAUGAAGAAACCCAAAAACAAAACAAAAAAAAAAAAAAAAAAAAAAUUAUAAUCACAUUUGAAGACACUGUCAUGCCUAAUUGUUAGCACUAAUACUUAAAUAAGAAGAUCAUUUCUGAACGAGUCUCUCCUUGGUUUGGUCUUGUGGGGUUAUAUUGAGCGGUGUCGAACGCUCUGAUUCAGAUGAAUGGAUGAGGAUUUGCAUAACAAUUACAACAAGGACCAAGAAAGUAGCUGAAAAUGCAAUGCCUUUCCAUGAGGAUAGGAGGGAAGACCAUGGAACGAAUUUGAAAAUUCCAUAGCCAAUUAGGCAGGACCAGAGUAACACAACCUAUAUAUUGUGACAAGAAAAAUGGAAUUAGAAUGAGAAAAAGAGGUAAGAAGGAUUAGAUGGUCAAUUGUGAAAUCCUACAAUUAAGGACUUCAUAGGUCUGCCAAUGUUUUGAAGUUGCUGGUCACUGAAUGUGCCUUUAGCAAAGUACUUCUCCAGUAAAGCAUCCUGGUAGUUGAAAAGUUGGAAAAAAGAAAGAAAAAAGGGCAUCAAACAUACAUAUGCAGUUACUAGGGGGCUAUAAAGUGAGCAGUGUCAAAUGAUGAUGAAGAUCUGUUUAUGUCUGUAGGCACGAUUGCAAUUUACUGCGCCCUAUGAGCCAAUUAAAAAGGAAAUGCAUUAGCAGGCGGUUGUGUCCCAAGCAGUUAAGAGCAUUCACCCUUGCACUCGAGGUCAUGCAUUUGAUUUCCCCUUUCCCCAAUAUCACUUGUAUUAUGAAAAAAAAAGAGAAAAAAGAAGGGAAAGGAAAUGCAUGAGAACCAAAGCAAAAGCAGCUAUACCCGGAAGGAUAAAUACUUUAAAGCCAAAUAUGAGAGUUAUGGGACUUCUAUGUCUUGGCUGCACACAAUUUUAUUGAUCUUUCUCAGAUCAGCUGAGCUGUAUCAGUUCAGAAACCUCCAAAUAUCGAUCAUUCUUACUUAUUGCAUUUUUCUUGGGUUAACCUGGGCUAUGUGUCCAGACAACCCCUUAAAAGUUUCAAGCAUAAGAGAAUUUAAUAUAAAAAUAGAAAGGAAAAGAAAGAAUGUAUUAAUGAGUAUACCUUGGUAACAAAUACAUCUUUACACCACUGUCCAAUUCCGUCAGCCGUUUCGGGCAAUUCCUGCAUUGAAUGUCUCCUGAUUUGUAAUUUUACCUGUAAGAAUCAGAAACUCCUUAUACUUAGUAACAUAUUUUUCUGACCUUUUUCCCACGACUAUUGGCACCAUUUCAUUUUUCAAGACAAGUUUGUGUUCAGUUUUCUGAGAGAAGCCUCAGUCCCAUACUGUGUAGAAGGAUGCAAGGGCACAUCCAGCUCAUCUAGCACGAAAUGUCCCCUUCUACAGAAUGGCUGUCCUGUUUAGUUUUCCCAUAUAUAAUUUGAAAUGAUAUUGCUUUGUUUUUAUUUAGCAUUCAAAUGAGCGUAAGUCUAUCCAGAAUGGACACUUAGACGGACACAGGACACCCAAGAUAGAAACUUCUAAUUAAGUAACAAAGGAACACUGCAGGAACAGCCCUUUCUCAUAAGCAUGUCCAUGCUUUUCGUGCAUAAAAUUUGCUAGGUCUCAAUUUGUCAGUUCAGUAUAUAGAAUCUCACGUAAUUAUUCAUCCAUGAGUACUUUGUAUAUUCCUUUUAAAAAAAAAAAAUUCUGGUAGCAUCUUUGGUUAUGAUAGUUAUAUGCUAAAGAUCCAUUUCCACAUGUCAUGUAUGUGCACGGUUGGUAAUUAGGUUGAGUGCAUUGAAAAGAAGCUGGUUUAUUGCUAAACCAGCCAGUAAAUAUAUCCCUGAACCUCGUCCGGGUCACAUUUUCUAUGGUCUUCGCUAUUUUACUCGUGGAUUCAAACUUUCUGACUUAAAUGCUAUCUUAAAAAUUUGCAUUAUUUUUACAAACAGAUUACUCAUUACUAGGACAUUAGUAAAACAAAAGUAGUAAAGAAAUACAAACCAUAUUUAAGAAACCCUGUUGAUUCCAUGCAAGAUGAUUUAAAGGUUCCUAAGUAAAACAGUUCACUAUUUAAGAGAAAAACAAUCAAGCAAUUCCAAUGCACCACACCAAUUGAGAUAUACAGCUAAAAACUGAUCAAUGACAGUAAGAAUGUGUAAUGUUCCCUACAAGAAACUAAUGAUGCACUAAAAAAAAAAAGUUAGCUAUCUAAUAACAAGUAACUUUAUCAGCAUAUGCAGAAAGAGUUUUGUUGUCCUACCACAGAAGAUUGCCCUCGAAAUAUUCUCAACAAUGUAGGCGGUGGCUGAUUUUUGGGAACAGCUACUGUACAAUCAUAAAUUGCUGGAACAAAUGAGCGCAUCUGGCUUACUGAUGAAACAAAACCCUGAAAGUAUGAAAGAAGUACUACAAUUUUAAAUAAAGGGGAUACACAAAACUGUGGAAAUUAUGUUGAUGAGUCACAUUAUGAAAUUAUGGGAAAAAGGAAAUAAUGGCAAUGUACAAGGAACAUCUAGUUUAAAAAAUUCAAAUAGGAUGCAGACACCAAUUUGACUCAAAAGGAAGGAAAAAUGAUAUGAAAAAAAAUUGUAAAUAGACUAUUACCUUUGUACGUGGAAGCAAGACAUUCCUAGGAAUAGGCAACCCUCUUGAAGCAGCAAACUCUUGAGCUACCAUUAGCUUUGCCUGAGUAAAUCGCGUUCCUUCUACAAAGAGAGCCAACCAAAAAGGCAUGGGGAAAUCCUCUAGUUGUUGAAAACCUGACUGUAGUGGGAAACCCCAUGAGUUAUAAAAUGACAAAGAAGAAAGACUGUGUCAAACAUAUGCGUAUAAACACAUUUACAGAUACCUUCAAUGUAAUUUCAUCUUUAGUCCAUCUUCUUUCCAAGAAGAAAUAUUCAGAAAACCACAUUGACCAACCUAUGACCUGCGUGCAUGAAUCACAUUAUUAACCCUUACUGAAAGAUUAUCACAAUACAAAACUAAAUAAAUGAGUAAAUUAAAGGACAAUACAUAAGUUAAAACAUACCAAAAAAAACAUCAUUAAUUUCAAUACGAAUAGAAAGAUACAUGUUGAGUGAAAACUCACUGGGAGGAACAUUACUUCUUUCUUCAUGAUGGCUAGUGCACUACCAAGGCAACCUGAGCGCUGUUAUUAAUAGAUUCAUUUCAAUCAGUUAAUUAGAAAGAACAAAGAUUAAAACAUGAUUUUCAAGAAACACAAUGGUUAACAGGUAUAAUCAAAUUGUUGACUCUGCCAACUCUAACUGUAAUCCUAUUUUCAUGACAUAGAGGGUGAGGGGUUUGGAAUAAAGAAUAAAGAAAAGAUACAGUGGGCAGGAUGGUUUUCUGGAACUUGGACCAGUUAUUCGGAAAAUAUUGAUGAGGUCAACAGAUGAAAGACAACAAAGGAAGAAGAGAUUAUGGUAACUUGUUUUUCAUGAAGUCAGACAAUUAUAUGGCAAUUAUAUGCUUUUAAAACACAGACAACGAUUAGUGUGCAUGUUUAACUUCAUACAAGUGACACUGCUAGAAAUAAAUUCACAAAGAUAAGCACCUGAGCUACGAGCCAUCCAACAAGCCAAUCAAUGUCACUUCUGUGAUUGCAAAUGACAAGUGCAUGUUCUUUACCUGUAAAUUCCACAAACAAGACAACAGUCAGUCAACACGAGAGAUUUGUAAACGUAAAAAAAACUCAAUUCCUCUUCUUUCUUUUUUCCAUCAAACUCUUAAUUCCUCUCUAUGACUGAAAGAUUAUGGAACACAACCCAUUAAUAAUAGUCACCUCACCCAUUAACUGAAAGGUGUCUGAAUCUACAUACAACUCAACCUGCAGCAGAAGUUCCAACUAGUUAGACCGUGAUUAGGAUCUAAAACCCAAGUACACCCAUCCAAAACAGGAAUGCCUAUAAGUUCACAAGGUAAAUAUGGUGGUGAUAUAGCAACAGUUUUGUUUCCACUGCAUAUUUGGCAAUCUAAUGCAAUUCACAGUGUGUAAAAAAAAAAUGGUUCUAUAAAUUAGAGUAUAGAACUUAAAUGACAUUGACAUAUUGGCAAAUUAUAUGAGAGGAGGAUUUUUUAUCCUGAAGGUGCAUGCCACUUUCCUCCUUUGCUGCUCACUUUUAAGCUUCAAUAUUUCUUGAAAGAUUUAGCUUUUUGCACAACCCCAAAGAUUUAGCUUUUCAUGUUUGCUGAUAUUUAAUUUAUUCUUACCAUCAAACUCUCGCCAAUAAGCCAACCCAAAUUGUAAGCCCCCUAAAAGUUUGGGAUUAUCAAUUUGGCUAAAGAUGUGUAUAUAUUGGUUUCAUCAUAUCUUACCACGGUGCAUUUCUCUAGAAAAGGUAACAAAUACUAUAAAUGUGUGCUAUGGAAAAUUUCCCAAUGAAGACGUAAGGGAAUAAACAAUUUAUUUUUAGUACAAAGAAAUAAACAAUUUUCAGAAAGAAUCACACCUUGAUGCCUGCCCACCAAUCAAUAAGCCAUAUGAGUUCCAACCAAAGCAACUCUGCAACUACUUUGUUGAUCUUUCUAUACAACUUCUUUGAUAUAGGACGAAGAAGGAUGAAAGAAACUACCUGAAAGUGUGUAUAUGAAUAAACUCAAGAUAUGUGCACUAAGUUAAACAAAACUAGAAAACUUGGGCAAGAAAUGCUUUAUGAAGGUAAUUGAGAGAUUUGAUAACAUUCAUUAGAUGAUAUAGAAAACCAGUGGCAGGUCCAUUCUAAUGUCGUAGCUUUACUAGAGAGAAAAAUGUAUUCCAAGUUUUGGCAUGCAAGUCCAGUUGUAUGGAGAGUUUGAUGCACGUUAUUGUAAGGAAGAUAUGAAAUGUGAGUAAAUGAGGAGUGUUAAGGCACAUACACCAUAUUCUAAUAAGACAAUUGGUUAAAAAAAGACAAAGGUUUAGAGCAUAUAAGUAAAUGGCAUAUUUCUUAUUAACCAUUCGAUACUCAUCCAAGAACUUAGAACAUGGUAUAUGUCUCUUAUUAAAUUACUUAACAGUAUGUCCUUGAACAUUCUUGUAUGUGCAAUAUGGUGUCAAGGUUUGGUAGCGAUAUACAGAACAAGGAUGCCAUUUAUUGAGCCAAAAGUUAUGUCAUUCAUCUUGGGAGUAAGCACCUAUUAAAGGCAUUACUUUACUGAUGAUUCAACUUUGCAGCUCUUCCCUGUUUCUCCCUUCAAUUAAAACAUUGUUAACAACUAAUGAGGAGUCCUGUAAAUUUAAAGUUGUACCGUUGUGUUUGAAAUUUACUAUUUGAUUACAAUACUCGAAGAAACAGAGGCAUUACAGAAAACCAUGGCCCAAAUUGUAGUCGAUUUUGAAGACCGGCAUCAAUAAAUCAGCAUUGCUAAUUUCCCUGCCUAUAAGUUGUUAUAAAUUGUUAAGAAACCACUCUAAAGAAUAGGUUAGAAAAAUAUCUACUUGCUGUUUAAAAUGCAAUUGGGUCCUUCAAUUUACAUGCCCUACCGUCAGGAAAAGAAGCACAUAACCACAUAGCAAAAGGCCACAACUGGUAAUAAUAUCAAAUGGGAUUUCUUCCAAAACACCAAAUUGAAAAAAUGGAAGCAAAAGGCAUUGAGAGAGAGAGAGAGAGAGAGAGAGAGAGAGAGAGAGAGAGAGAAAUUAAUCAUUAAUGCAAGACAUACCUGCAUGAGAUUAACAAUGAGGCCUGAGAGAAUGAAAACAACGCCAAUGGGAACGAUGGCAAGUACAGCAGGGAUGGCCAUGGCUGCUAAUGCUAUUCUGGCUUUGGGUUUGGAGAGGAAGAGGAGACAGAGAUUCGAUGGGAGACAGAAAGAGCGUUUGGGGAUCAUAACGAACGAACACUGUCUGCGUGCGUGUGUUUGUUUUGCUGAGACGCGAACUGGAAGCCGCUUCAAACGCUUGACGUCGUUACAAAAUUUUAUUAUUCUUCAGCAUUUACAUGAAGCGGUAUCACGUGAUUCGUCAUGUGGUGUGGGCUAUUGAAUAAGUUCAUUAGGGAUUUCUUUUACAAUGCAAGUAUGUUUGUACUCGUUAGAUUGAUAGAUUUAUUUCUACUAAGUUAUAGGUCAUGAUUUAUUGGACUUUCUUCCCAAGAUUUUGUACUAAGAACCUUCUCAUUACAGAGUGUAAAUUCGAAGUAUGCCCAAAUAACGUCUUUUGCUUAGGGUUAUAAUCCGCAACUUCAGAAAAAAUAAGGAUGAUUUUGAAAAUUAAUUUUCACUUUUUCAAAAAAAUUGAAAUUUGACAUAGUUAUCAAACGGUCUUAAGUUGCAAAACAUCAAAUUUGAGAUUACCUAUCCCAAAACUUAAAUCAAACAUUGUCCCUAAUAUUCAAAAUUAAAUAGCUUGUAAUGUUCUUAAAAGUAAGAAGGGAAAAGUGGGAAAGAUAUUACCAUGAUGAAGAUGGAUAGUAAGAAUCCUUGCACACACACACACAAAAAAAAAAAAAAAAAACAUUAUCAACCAAGCAAAUAGUCAACAACAAAGUCUAGUGCAGUGGAAAAGAGCCUUAAUUUGCUAAUAAGUGGUGUCAAAUUCGAACUCCUAUGAUACCUUGACAGCAUGUAGAGGUGUCAAACGGAUCAUAUAGGCCCGGUCCGUUUAGAAUCGGCCCAUUUAAUAAAUGGGUUGUGUGGACCCGUCCAUUUAUGAAAAUCAUCAAUCACGCCCGAGCCCAUAUGGGAUAUGGGCCCACGCCUAUGCAUUGCAUUUUUUUUGUAAUUCUUUUUACAAUUUCAUUUAAAUCUUUUUUUCAAUUAUGUAUAUACUAAUAGAUUUAUUAUUUGUUGGAAAAAGAGGCCAAUAACUUUAUUAAAAUUACAUUUAAAUAGAAAAUGACUAAUAGUGUGGGUGAGAAAACCUUUCCCUUACUUAAUCGGACGGUGUCGUGUCGAACCUUACUUAAUCGAGUUGUGCUCAGACUCGACCCGAUCCGUUUGACACCUCUAACAGUGUGAGUGAGAAAACCCUUCCCUUCUCUCCUUUUGAAGUUUGGCCGAAAAGAAGAUAAAAGAAAGAAAAUACCAAAGAAAAUAAAAAUAUAGAAUAAUCCAGCAAAGGAAAGAAAUGCAUGAGCAUGGAAACAAUUCCCAUCGCUCCUUUGCUUUGACCAAAGUUUCCAUGGCUCCCAAUGUAAUCUUCUUUUCUCUAACUUCACUGUAGAUUAUCUUCAGUACAUGCAACCCAUUAGAAUUAGGAUUCUCAGUCAGAAGCAAGUAUAUUCUUUUUGGGUUUCCUUGUUUUUUCCAGAUUCUCUUAUCAAAUAGGAGUCGGAAAGGAAAAGAACUAGUUGAGGCACCUAUAAAUACACAAUGUAAGACGAGAAAGAAAAACAGAGACACAAGCGUGCACACACUUGAUGUUUCUUAAGGAAUCGUUGUGGCUUUGGAGUCUUUGUCGUUGAAGUAGGCCGGAAAGACUUUACCUUUCAGAUUCCAAUUCCAUUUCAGGUCAGUCAGGUAAUCGAUCCUACUGAUCUUACAUAUUUAAAUUGUUAAGAGAAAGUAUGAUUAUGAAGGAGGUUGCAGAGAUUUUGAGGCAUGCAGAGAUAAAGAAGGGUAGAGGGUUGAUAAGGAGGUUAACGGAGAGUAACCCUAAGCAGCCACUUUAUUGGAUUGUGUCAACGAGGUUGGAGGAGGAGGCUGGGGAAACGGAGGCCUCAAGGUAAUUGAUUGAGAAGGGGUGUAAGGAGUGCCUCAAUAGUGAGGAUGUAUGGUUGGAGGCCUGCAGGAUUAUUGCGAUUUCGAAUGAAGAAGAAGCUAAGGCGGUGAUUACUAAUGGGUUGUUUUCAAUACCCCAUUCGGUGAAGUUGUGGAUGCGGGCUGCAAAUUUGGAACAUGAUGACUCAAAUAAGAGCAGGGUUUUGAGGAAAGGGUUGGAACGCAUUACUAAUUUCAUUGUGCUGUGCAAUGCGGUGGUUGAGCUCACCACGAAAUCGAAUGAGAAAGAUCUCAUCUUGUUGCUUUAGAGGGCUGUGGAGUGUUAUCCACAGCUCAUGGAAUUGUGGCUUGCACAGGCAAAGUUAGAAACUUGUGAACCCAAGAGUCCUAGAAUGAUUCUUGCGAAAGCCGGAGAAAGUGGGGGAGGCACAGAGGGAGUAUGGAUGAAGUCAGCAACUGUUGAGAGAGGGUUAGGUAAUGUUGAGAAUGAGAGCAAAUUGCUUGAUGAAGGGUUGAAGAGAUUCCUUUCAUUCUUUAAGUUGUGGUUGAUGCUUGGACAGCUAGAGGAACAGCUUGAUCAUUUGGAAAGAGCUAAGGCAUAUGACUUGGGCCUCAAGCAUUGCCCCAAUUCUAUACCGCUCUAGCUUUCUCUUGCUAAUCUUGAAGAGAAGUUAAAUAGGGUGGCUAGUGCCCGCAGUGUCCUCACGCUAGCCGAGAACAAAAAUCCUCAGAUCCCUCAACUGUGGGUUGCUGCUGUUCGAGCUGAAAUAAGGCAUGGUAAUAACAAGGAAGUUGAUAUUUUGAUGGCCAUGGCUUUGGACGAGUGUCCCAAUAGUGGUAUUUUGUGGGUAGCAUAUAUUGAGAGUAUGGCACCCCUACCACGUUUUCAAUGGAAGAACAAGAUUAUGGAUGCCCUCAGGAAAUGUGAUCAUUAUCCCCAUGUCAGCGCUGCUGUGGCCAAGUUAUUCUAGCAUCAUAGUGAGGUUGUAAGAGCUAGGACUUGGCUCAAUAGAGCUAUCACAAUUGCCCUAGAUAUUGGGGACUUCUAGGCUUUAUACUUCAAAUUUGAACUUCAACAUGGGAUUGAUGAAAACCAUAAGGAUGUUUUGAGAAGAUGCAUUGCUGCACAACCAAAGCAUGGUGAAAAAUGGCAACCUAUUUCCAAGGCCUUGCACAACUCUCACCAAUCAACUGAAGGUAUCUUGCACCAGGUGGUGGUUGAGCUCCGCAAGGAAGAAAGCUUGCAACAGGCAAGGCAACUGGCAGCUCAAAUUGAUAAACUCUAGUGGUCUCAAAUGUUAGAGUGGUUUCUUCCAAACUGCAUUUGAAUAGCAGAUUAGUACUCUUGGUAUUAAUUUAUUAGAGUUGUUGGAAUUGAUAAAAUUAUUCCAUAAUAUAUUUUCCUUUACAAUCUUCCUAUCUCUCAAAUUUGCAAAAGCAGACAUACACAUGCCUGUUUAAGGAUAUUGUAACGAAACGACUCCAAAACUAUGACAAUCACCAUUUUCUGUAGGUUGGCCUGUACAGAUAUACCUAGGAUCUAGAUAACCAAGUGUCCUAUGUCUGAACCAAUGUGCUUAUUAUCUAGGACUUGUUAAUAGGGACCAACCUUGAAGGUCCAAACCAGAGACUUUGGCCAUGAAACAGUAGUUAAAGUAUGUUGGAUGACUUGACAUUGCCAUGAAUGAUCAUUGGUUUUGAUAAGUCUGCUGUAGAAUGAAGAUAAGCAAGAGCUGCUGCAAAUUUUGAGGCUAUCUUCAAAAGGUAUCCCAAAUUUUUCCCAUUCUUAUGAUGAAUAUAGUAGAAACAAGGUCCCAUUGCAGGCGAGUUCAUAGACCAAUAUGGGAGCUUUAGUCUUUAAACAGCAACCUAAGAACUUCACCACAUUUUGAUGGUUUACUUUUUUUGUAAGAGUGACCACAAUUUCACUUAUAAAAUGCUCAAUUUGCUCUUCCUCCAUUGCUUUGUCUGGCAAAAGUCCUCAAUGAGACGUUUCAGUUCCACCGUCUUCUGAACAAAAAAUGUGAGCCUUCUUAUAAUAGUCAGCAGUCAUCUCUAGCUCCUCGGCUGUAAAAAUUCUUGUGCCUUAAUUCCAGUGAAAAAAUUUGCUGCUCUAACAAUAACCCUCUUUUUUUCUGGAAGAGCUUGGGUUUUAGCUUAAUAAACUUAUGCAUCUUCACACUGAUAUAAAUUCUGGAGAUCACAAACAAAAGCUGAGACUUGCAAGGUUACAUUUAAUUAAAUCUAAAUGUUAAAAGGAGCAUAGCACUUAUCAAAUUACAAUGCAUGUAGGGAGAAAAAGAGAAUCCCAUGACAAGGAUAAGAGUGGCUAGCUUUGGUUAAGUAUCCUCAAGUAUUUAUGUAUCCAUUGCUCUUGUGGCCUCAUCUAAAGCCUAAGAUAAACCAUAAUGAUCGACAACUUGUGGUUGGAGGAGAUUGAGCAGUUCAUAGGAAUAGUCCUCCCUCUAAUCAUGAUGAUAUAAAUUCAAAAGAUGAAGAAGAAAUCCCUGUCCAACAUGAUAAUAUCGGGGAGGAAACUAAGAAAAUAGAGAUUCCUAUUUUCAAUGGUACUUCGUCAAUCGAAGACUUCCUUGAUUAGCUUUAUGAAUGUGAGAAAUUCUUUGCUUCUGCUGAAAUCUCAGAGGCUCGACAAGUGAAGGUCGUGCUUGGAAGUUGAAGGGGAGUGUCGUUGUCUGGUGGGAUGAGCAGCAAGCCGCACGCUUAAGACAAGGGAAACGACCUAUGCAGUCUUAGCACAAGAUGCAGAGCAUGUUGCGAGAACUUUUCCUAUCUUGCAAUUAUGAACGGGUGCUGUUUGAGAAAUACCACAGUUGUGUACAAGGAAGCUGCACCGUUCGGGAGUAUUCCCAGAAGUUUUUCAACCUUGCUGCUAGAAACCGAUUAGCUAAAUCACAGGCGCAACAAACAACGCGUUAUCUUCAUGAGUUGAAGGCUAAUAUCCAAGAUUGAAUAAGUCUGCAAUGAGUAAAUACCCCUACGAAGGCUGAAGAGUUAGUCGUAGCUGCAGAAUUACUGGAGAAAACUCAGAGUAAUCAGUCCACUAGCUACUGAAGAAAUUUGGGAGACCCGUCCAAUAUGGGCAGCUCAAGCAAAGGUAGAGACUAGGCGCAACAAGAUAAUACCAAUGCAACAGAUAAAUCAACAGAAAUCACCACUCGAACCUCCAAUCAUUUUCAGAACCUUAAAUGUGGCAAGAACAACACCAACAGUCCGUUUGCCAAGUUUCGGGGUGACAAGUGUUUCAAGUGCAGCAGCAACGAACACCACACUGGUGCUUGUCAAGGCCGCAAACCAUUAAAUUUGGUAGAAGGAGAACUCGAGGAUAUCGAAGAUGGUGUGAUAGAUGAAGAAUAUGCGGAGGAGGAAGGUGAGGAAUUGACCUUGGUACUGCAGCGAGUCCUAUAUUCCAAGCCUAGUGACGACAAUCAAAGGCAUCAGAGUUUUCACUCCAAGUGUAUUGUUAAUGAUAAAGUAUGCCAAUUAGUGUUGGAUGGAGGAAGUUGUUAGAACGUUGUAAAUCGGAAAUUACUGGACCACUUUCAGUUGCCCACAGAAAAGAAUCCACACCCAUACCUAGUGAGAUGAAUUAAAAAGGGACCGAGUGAGAAGGUGCCUGAAACUUGUAAAAUUUCCAUCUCCAUUGAAAAAUAUUACAACGACGAAGUAGUUUGUGAUGUAGUCGACAUGGACGUCACACAUGUAGUUUUGGGCAGGCCUUGGAUGUGGGAUAGAGAUGUUGCGCACCGAGGACAGAACAAUAUCUAAAAAUUUACAUGUGGAGCACAUUUGAUCACUAUGUCCCCCAAGGGCAGGUCUUCGGGUUUAGAAACAACAAAAACAAGCUCGAAAUUAAUUACUAUAAUUAAUUCAUAACGGGAAGUUGCAGCAGAAGCCAAAGAAACCAAACAGAUUUGCGUUGUUGUCAUGAAGGGAUUACUAGCGGUUGAAGCUGACUCCUCAAUGGUACAGAUUCCUCAACAAGUGCAAACAAUACUAUACGAUUUCGAGGAAUUGAUUUUGGAUGAGCUACCAGAUGUUCUACCUCCCAUGCGGAACAUCUAACAUCAGAUUGACCUCAUCCCUAGAGCUGGUUUGCCUAAUUUACCCCACUAUUGGAUGAGCCCGAAGGAGAAUGAGAUCCUAAGAGAGAAAAAUGAACUUCUACAGAAGGGGUUUAUUCGAGGAAGCUUUAGCCCCAGUGCUAUACUUGUUCUUCUUAUUCCAAACAAAGACAAGACAUGGAGGAUGUGUGUAGAUAGCAAAGCCAUCAAUAAGAUAACCGUAAAGUAUUGUUUCCCUAUUCCUCGUUUGGACUACAUGUUAGAUGAGCUGUAUAGAGGGAAAAUGUUAUCCAAACUCGAUUUGCGAAGCGGUUAUCACCAUAUUCAAAUUAAGCCUUGGAAUGAAUGGAAAAUAACAUUCAAGAGCAAGGAUGGAUUGUAUGAGUGGCUGGUCAUGCCAUUCGGGCUAUCCAACGCACUUAGCACGUUUAUGCGGCUCAUGAAUCAAGUUCUACGCCCUUUUAUCGGUUCUUUUGUUGUUGUUUACUUUGAUGUUAUUCACUUUUAUAGUAAAUCAGAAUAUGAGUAUUUGGAGUAAUUAAGGAUGGUGCUGGAAGUGUUGUAGAACAAUAAGCUCUUCCUAAAUAUCAAGAGGGGCAGUUUUUUCACCAACAAAUUAAUUUUUCUUGGCUAUGUUGUGAGCUCUAAAAGUAUUCUUGUUGACAACGACAAGGUGAAAGCCAUCCAGGACUAGCCUGCACCCAAAAUCAUUUCCGAAUUACUUAGCUUUCAUCAGUGGUGGAGCCAGGAAUCUUACCACAAGAGGUCUUAAUGUAAAAGCCCCAAUAAAAAUUUAGGAUGGAAAAAAAUAUUGAAAAUGAAAUCAGAGUACUUUCAUUCAUAAUUCAUAUUAAAAACAACAUUACAAGCUACAAUUGUCCAUGAAGAGGUUUCAUAUUUUGAAAAUGUAGCAUUAUAGCUUCAUUUUCAAUACAAACAAAAAUAUCUCUCAAUAUAAACAAUCAAGCUAUCACUCAACCAUUGAUCUCCCAUUUUGUUCUGAAGUGGACCCUUAAUAAUAUUCAUGAUUGAAAAUGCCCUCUCCACUGAAGCAGUUGCAACUGGUAAAACUAAAGACAAUGUAAUAAGCAAAUGCACAUAAUUGAAUACUUGACGCAUCCUUGUCUCCACCAUUUUUUCUUGCAAGAUCACCAAUCCCUUCCAGUUGAGAGAAAUCACAACUCGAACGCACAUAAUGAAUAUAAAUCUCAAGUAGAUCUUCAAGUGCUAAACGAUCCUCAUCCGAAAAGUCUUGAGGAUAAAAUUGAGCAAGACAAAGUAGCUUUAGUUUAUCAAAAGCUAUAAAUGAAUCUUUCGGACUCAAACAUGCCAAACAAAUAAGCAACUUAGUAUUUACCUCAUUAAAGCGAUCAUCUAACUCCAUAAUUUGCUCAUCAAUGACAUAAAUAAAGAGCUCCACAAGAUAAUGAUGACGAUUUAUCUUUAUUCGAGUAUUAUGCCUUGACCUCCUUGGAAGUAUAAAUGCCUCUUGCAUGUUAGGAACAUCAAUAUGAUGUUUCUCACAAAAAGAAGAUACUUCAUUAACCAAUGCAUUGAACUCAUUAUUCCUCAUCCAAUGUAGUUUUUCCUUGCAUGAUUUCAUUAAAGCCAUUGCAUUCACAAUUUCUUGAUCUUUCCUUUGCAAUGCUUGUGACACACUAUUUGUGAGUCCCAAUAUGACUUUCAUCAAGAAAAGGUGAAACACAAACUCAAAAGUACGUAUUUCUCUCAUUAACUUAUUUGCUUCACCCGCACUAUUAUUGGGAUUAUCAUCAAUAACCAUUUAAAGCACAUGAACCAUGGAUGAAAACAUAGAAGUGAUGCUAAUCAAGGUACCAUAGUGUGAGUUCCAUUGUGUGUCACCGUCACGUUUGAGACUUGUUUCUUGAUUUAAGCCUCGCCUCGUUAUAAGACAAUCAUUUUCAAAAGCUACCACAAGCUUUGCUUGGAGUUGCCCUCUAAGUAAAUCACGUUGCUUACCAGAUGCUCCAACAUAAUUAACCAUACUAUUAGCCGUUGCAAAAAAAGAGGCAAUGUCUAUAUUUUUCUUUGUCACGGCAACAAGAGCUAGUUGAAGUUGAUGAGCAAAGCAAUGAACAUAAUAUGCACAAGGUUGUUCUCUUAAUAUCUUUGUUUUAAGGCCAUUCAACUCACCUUUCAUAUUGCUAGCAUCAUCAUAACCUUGUCCUCGUAGCUUGGAAAGGCUCAUACCGUUGCAAGAAAAUAAUAUGUUAAUAGCAUCCUUUAGUGAACUUGAAAUAGUGUCGGUAACAUCUUGGAUACCCAUAAAUCCUUCAAUUACAUAUGCCCUUUGUCAUCCACAUAAUUCAACACCAUAGCCAUUUGCUCUUUCACUAACACAUCACGUGCUUCAUCCACCAAUAUUGAAAAGAAUCUAUCUUUUAGACCAUCCAUGAUAGCAUCAAGUGUUUCAAUGGCACAUGAAUUCACAAGAUCUUUUUGAAUGCAAGGAGCUACUAAUUUGAGAUUCCCCGGAGCAUUUUCCAUUACAACUUCUCUAACUUUAUCAUCACUAUCUGUAAGGAAUUGCAAUAGCUCUAAGUAAUUUUCCCUAUUGCUUGAAGUGACACUUUCAUCAUGGCCACGAAAAUCAAGACCUUGUCGCAAUAAAAAUUUAGUGCACUUGAUUGAUGCAAUCAAGCAUGUGUGAUAAGCCUUACGAGCUUGGUCGGAGUGUUUGCUCACUGCCGUUUCCAAAUGUGUAUUUUGAUUCAUCAAAUUUGUAGUAGCUUCUCUAGCUUUAUUAUGAACACUCCUAAACGGUCCAACAUGCAUCUUAAAUCUUUCUCUCCCUUUCUUUCAAUUUUUAAAUCCAUCUCUAGUGAAAGCUUCACUAACCACUUGUUCAAAAUUGGUUUUAAAGAGAUAGCAAUAAAGACAAAAUGCCAUAUCUUUAGAUAUACUAUACUCCAACCAAUCAAACUUAUCAAACCAUUAAGGAAUGAAGCGUCGAUUAAUUCCUAACAUAUUAGUUUGUGGGAAACUUUGACCUCUUAGGUUGACAAGGUCCUUUUUGUAAAUAUGAUCUUCAGACCUCAUCUCACAUAUUAGCAUCUUAAUCUAUCAUUCGAAUUCUUAAUCCAGGGUACACUUGAAGAUUACCCAAAACACUAUCUAACUAACUUCGAAUUCUUAUUUGAAAUAUCAACAUUAUCCGAACUACUUGAGCCCGAUGAUGACUUUCUCUUAAAAAAUCGUUCCAUAAUAAUUCUACAUAUAUAAAAUAAUCAAAAUAAAUGCUCACAAUAUAAACAAAUCAUCAAUAUAAUCAAAAUAAAUAUGAAUUGGAUUUCAAUUAAAUUAAAUAUAUUCUACAUAUACAAAAUAAUAAAAAUUAAAAAAUCCACAAUAUAAUCAAAAUAAAUAUGAAUUGCGUUUCAAUUAAAUAAAAUAUAUCAUACAUUGAAUUGUAAAAUUUCACAAUAACAAUGAGUAAAAACAAUGCGAGUAGCUGGCGACACCACCACACGGUGACGACGACGACGGCAAUAGCAGCACCACAACGGCUGCAGCAAGGGAGGAGAUGGAGUUGAGGGUUUGGGGGAGGGGGGGGGGGGGGGCGGGCGCCGGGGGAGGAGAUUGAGUUGGGUUGGAGGAGAACACAAAAAAAUUUGGGGGUCUUAGAAUGAAGGUAACGGUGCUGUUAGAGAGGAAGGAUACGUUGGGCAUUUUCAUAUAUAUAUAUUUUUGGAAAAUAGCUUAAAAUGCCACCCUUUUCAUAAUUUUAACUGAAAAUACCAUCCCUUCCCAAUUUUUUUACAACUACUACAUAUAAAUACGUCUUUAUUAUGGACUGAUUGUACCCAUAUCAGUUUUUCAGAAAUUGGCUUCUCUCUUAACUCUCUUGGCUCUAUCUCUUCAGCCCGUAUCUCUUCCUCGUGUACCUCUCUCUCUUCGAUGCAAUCGUCUUUCUCCCUCAGCGGUGGCUAUUCAUCCAAGCUUAACUCCACCAUUGACAUCCACGAGGUACUGUUCAUAUACCUUUUCUUUGAAAUUUGGGGUUUUUGUGAAUUUGGUUUAUGGUGUAUGGAUUUGUAAGAAAUUGGUUUAGGGUUUUAGUGUUUAGGGGUUGCUCAAAAAUUGGGUUUUGGGUUUAUGGGUUUCUAUGAACUGGACAAUAACUCACACCCACUCUCACUCGCUCACAGGCACUAUUCACAUAAAUUAAACUCUUCAUUUUGUCACAGAACAUUUGGGCUUCGUUCACCUUUGUUUGGGUAAGUCCCAACUAUCUAUAUUGUUUGAUGCGAGUUUAAGCUCUGGGCUCUGUGAUUUCUACAAGACUUAAUUCCACAAUAUUCUGAUUUUACUUGUUCAAAUCAAAGCAAAGGAAGGGACGUUGUUUAUGGAUGGGUAAUUGUCAAAAACGACUUCUGGAAUCUACAUGCUUAUAAUCAAAUUUUGCAGAUUGUUAGUGGUCCACAGUCCACAUUUGAGACCGGAACGCCUCAGUCACCACUGCCAUCACUCUCCAUAGCUUGUUUCUUCAGAAGACAAAUCAUUCUCUCAAACUCUUCAGAAUUCGAUCAUCUGGUCAGUUGAUUCAGUUCUCUUAUGACAAUUUAUUUGAAGUCUUAUACAUAGUUUUUGCUCUAAUUUUUCGUUUUGAAUUAUUCGUUAAAGUUUAUUUAUUUAUUCAUUUAUAAUUUUGGAAUUGAUGAGAUAUCUGGUCUGGGCUUCAUAUUACCCUAAUUUAUUGUUCUUUAUUGUGAUUGUGAUUUUAGCUAAAGAUUGGGUGAUGUGUUUUUGUUUUGGGUCAUUUGAUAUGGUUUUGAGAUUGGUUCGUAUCUAUGAUUUUGGUUAGUGUUAAAGUAAAUAAAUGGGUAUUUCAUUCCUGCGGUUUUUGUGGAGGUACACCAUUGUAUCAUGCUUAUUUUCUCUUCUAAUGAUAUGGUUCUAUAAUGUAUUUGUUUGAUCAGGCUGGUUUGAUAAGCGCAUGAGCUGUGCUGAAAAGUGGCAAAAAAAAAACUUAAAAUGUAGAGCAAUAGGCUCCUUAAAUACACAUUUUCGCACUCAGCAAAAUAUGCUUUUAGAUAUAAAAAAUGCCCGUUUGAAUACAAUAGUGGGGUAAUAGGCUCUUUGAAUACAAUGAUAUAAUAAUAGGCUCUUGAUAAGUGCUGAGUUUGUUUUUUUUUUUUGUUUUUUUUUUUUUACAAAUAUGUGAGCUUAAUUAUGAAUUUGAAUGCAAUAUUUUUGAACAAUGAUUUAUAAUAGAAAAACGACAUACAUACAUUUUGAACAACGACUCUUUGAUCAUAGGAUAUUGGUAUUGCUAGCAACUAGUUAUGAGUAUUUGUGUCCAAGAGGACCCCAUUGUGAGCACAACUUUGACAAAGUGGUUAUCGAGAUAAGAGGUGCUAAGAAAUUUGAUAUUCUGAUUUGUUCAAUUACAUUGCACCAUCUUAUUAUAGUUAUAGCUAACCUCAACUGGCUUACUGAACAGUUGUAACUGAUAAAAGAGUUAUAACCAACACUAUUUAUUUGGAUAUGACAAUUUUUUAACUGGCUUUCAGCAGUUGAAUUAGUAGGUUAGUUGUAAAUAGCUAGGGUUUUGUUUAUGCUCUGUAUUUUUUGUUUAUUUUUCACUUAAUAUCCUAUAAUAGGCUGUUGAUAAGUGCUGAUUGUUUAUUGCUUGUUAUUAUCUAGAUUGCAACGGACUGAAAUUAUUUUUAUAAUACUGGCGUGUAGGGAAAUAUGGUUUCUCCAAUUAAGUUGAUGAUUGCAGAGGAAGAAAAGUUCCAAGGAAAAGCAUUCUCCCUAUCCCAUACAAAGACUGCAAUCUGUACCAUAAAGGAGAAAUUCAGUCAGCAACAGCUACAAAGGUUUGAAGAGAGUUGUUUUGGUCAUCUCCUACUGAUUGAGGACCUAAAGUGGACUUCGCCAAUUGUCCACAGCUUGUUACUGAGGAAGGUUGAUUCGAAGACAGUUUCCCAAGUGAACGGGAUCAAAUUCAUCAUUGGCAAUAAGGUGAUCCAAUUCACGGCACAGCAAUUUUGCGUCGUCACAGGGCUAAGGUUUGGAAACCUUCCCUUCAUUCCGAUUGCCACUAAUGAGAACUGCUCAUUGAAAAGGAAGUACUUUGGCAACGAUAAAACUGUCAACCUUUUGGAAUUAGAAAAAGCCUUCCUCGACUACGUUGAUGCGGACGAUGUAUUGAAGCUCGGAUUUGUAUACUUUGCUGUGUUUGUGCUGUUGGACAGUGAAAAACAUGUCCACAUUGACAUGCGAUAUUUGAAGUUGGCGAAAGACCUUGAAGAGUUUGUGAAGUGUCCAUGAGGUGCUGUGUUUUAUGCCAAGACAAAUGCGUCACUUCUGAGGGCACUUUGUGUAGAUUACCAGCGAGUGAAAGUGCCCCAAAAAGCUGCGAAAAUAAAAAAAUCUGAAAAGAAAGCAAAGACAACAGCAACUAGUUGACCAAGAGAGUACCACCUCAAAGGUUUUGCCUUUGCACUACAGGUGAGCAAAUUUUCAUUCAUGUUUAAGUUAAAUUUCAUUUGUUUACAGUGAGUGACGUUUUCUUCCUCAAACCAGAUUUGGGCUUAUGAGGUAUUUCCAGUUUUGGCUGCACUACAUUUGGUGGUGCACAAAGAUAAUGCCUACAUCCCUCUUAUACUACAUUGGAGGAGCAAUAUUUCGACUCGUUUUCAUGAGCUAAUGAGCCAAGUAUUCGAGAACCGUGAGGUUAGUUAUGUUUUUAAUGAUAAUGUUAGGCAUAUAAAAAUAUAAUAAGUUUACUGAUAUGUAUAUUGUCUGUGUAAAUUGCAGGUUGAUGUGCAACUUCUCCGGCCAUCUGUAAUUGACAAGCAGCAGCCGUAAUGGACUUGGGGUGACAGUGUUGACGACACUGAAGAACUUGUUGAGUUGUUUGGCGAUGAUGCUGAACAAAAAACCAGCACUUCUACCUCUGUAGAAGAAAAAGAUGAGGAUAUUGACGAAACUGCUAGCCUUCCGUCGUCUUCUAAGGCAAGCAUUACAUUUUUUCCAAUAUAUACAUCAUAAUACCAUAGGAAAAUAACUGCUGUAUUUGGGAUAUAUUUUGUAAAUAUUGUAACAUUUGCAUUAUAACUAAAUGCAGGGUAAACUCGCGUCCCUUGAGUUACGCACUUUGAAGCGUGACUUUCAAAGGACAAAGGAUGAAUUGGCCAAAGUAGCCAGUUCUAAUCGAGCGCUUCACAACAAAGUGCAUGAGUUGGAAGAAAUGGUAUAGAAAGAGUCAUUGAAAUGUGAGAGAGUCUGCAAAAAAUAAAAAGUGUGUGGAGGAUUUCGGCAAGACCCUCGCUUCCAUGGAACACUAUUUUAAGUUGGAGAUAGAGCAGCUAAAAAAAUGAAAUAGUGGGUUGAAUGAAGGUGGUGAAGGACAUGAGGACCUCGGUAGUCCUCAUAUGAAUGAAGGAGACGACAAUGACUUGUCGCCAUUACAUGACUAUGUUAGCCGCCUACAGAACUGGCAGCAAUGGAAACAUAAGUCCCCGAUGAUGGAGCCGACCCUCGCAGCCAUGUAGUCGAAGAGCAGAAAUGGCCGCUUCAGUUCCUCACUUACAAGUGCAUGAAGCAGCUGAGCAGGCACAAUCCGAGAAGCUGCCUACCUCGGAAGAUGUGGCCGGGUGUGACGAAAUCUGCCAAAGACUAUUGUUUUUGUUAGAAGAUUGGAAAAUAACUGACAGUAUGCCAUCGGGAGGUCCGAUGAAUCCUUCAAGUAUACCCAAAGUUAAUAUGGCUGGUGAUGAAGAAGGUAGUGCGAGUGUUGAAAAAAAAAGAAGUGAAAGGUAAAUGGUGCAGAAAGAAGCACCCAGCGCAGACAUUGUUGAGUCUAUUUACUGAUCCUUUGAGGAAGAAGAGGGCGAUGAGUGUGUCAGAUGCGACUGCAACCCUGCCAUCUUUUGAUCCAUCAAAACCCCUACCCAUUGAAGAUGUGAAGGCGGUAAUAGAGUUUUGCACUACCUGAAAAAACGAUAUUAGGUUAGGAUUCUUUACCUUCGAAAUCCAAUAUUUCAUGUUAUGCUAGUAUGUAGUCAUAUAGUAAUGAGAAAAUGUAGAGUUUGCUUGAUAUACAUGUGUAUAUUUGUCAUAAACAAAGUCAGAAUUUUGAGAUGAGUACAAAAUUCACCGUUGCAAGUUUGCCUUUUGUAGUGCGGAAGUGCAAUUGGAAUCAUGUUUAGUGGGCGUUGAUUUUUUCUAUAAACUCAUCGAUGAUACGGAAUGGAUUAGCUCAAGGGUAAGAAUACACAAAUCUCUACUUAAUUACGAUAAUUCAAUUAUUUUCUCGCCUUUAUUAAGGGUACAAUUGUAUGAAAUUGUGCUGAUAUUAUAUAUGUCAACUUGCAGCACCUGGACAUGGCAACCUUUCUCAUCUAGAAAAGGCAAUUCUCUCAUUCGUUGGUAUUUGGAACUCACUAGACAACGGCAGAUUAUUGCUUGCAGGUAAACAUGUUACCAUGUUACAUUCACUGCUUCAUUUGCUUUCGGUUGUCAUUCUGUAAUAUGCCUUCAUUUCAAUGUCUGCAGCAAUUUCUAGAGCCGAUCAAAUCGACUGCCAAGAAACGUGGAUCAAAGAAGGCAGCUAUUUCGAACACCAUUGACCUUCUACCCAGCAAGCUAAACAAUAUACAUCACUAUGUACGCGGUACGUGGCAACACGGGUAUGGCCAAGCUUGGACAAAGGUCCGGAAGGUCUAUUUUCCAUAUAAUCUUCAAGGGUCCCAUUGGGUUGCAAUCGAAAUUGAUUUCGUCAGACAUACUGCAACUGUGUAUGACUCCUACGUUGGUUUUGCCAAAACUUCGAAGCUGGCACGAGUGCUGUACAAUAUGCAAUUUUAUGAAGCUUCCGAGGUUGAAGAGGUUAAGCAACAGGGGCUGAAGAUGUCAAGGUUUAUGCCAUUCUCAGUUUGCAGCAUUGGAGAUGUGCCACAACAAUGAGAUGGGUAAGCUUUGUGAAUUUAGUGCAAAAUUUUACAUAACUGUAGUUCUAAUUUCCCAACUUAUUGGCCUGACAGUACUUCUUGCGGAAUCAUGACAAUAAAAUUCAUCGAGCAUCUCAGUGCUAGGAUUUCGUUGGAUAAAGUUGACCCUUUGAAGAUCAAAUCUUACCGACUGAAGCUUGCAAUAGAGGGUUUAAGGGGAAAGGCAUAUUUAUGAGGUAAAUGUCUUAAUGUCUGUGGAUUGAGUUCAGUCUGGACUUAUGACUUGGGAAUUAACUGUGCUAAUUAAUUAUGUCAUGAACUCCUUUAUAUGAAGAUGCAGAUGUAGAUGCUUUGCUAGAGGUACUUUAUAUGGUAAUCCAGCCAUUUUGCUAGAGCUAGUUGGUUUAGUUAUCAUGUGUACGAAGGUGAAAUCAUUUCCCGGGUCUUCAGCCCUACUGAUUUUCUGUGAGGUGUAAUAUUGUACAGUCUAGAAGCAGUGGCUAAUUGCCUUACAUGGCAUACACACCGUUUCGAUUUUUUAGGUUAACUAUUUUGUACAUCUCCAUAUAUAAAUAUAGUUGCUCUUUAUGGAGGCUUGCCUUACAUGGUAUAACAGUUUGCAAUUUCUGGUCAUUUUUGUAGCCAUUGUUCACAUUUUGUCUCUGUGGUUUUGUUCGCAAUUUAUGUGAUAUAGGUAUAUUUCAUUUCCUGCACUAGGAAUCUGUUAGUGAACUUAGUGAAGCAUACAGCUUUCUUAAGAUUUCUCAAUUUAGUUUUGCCUUAGUUCCUUUUAAAUAAUUUAUGCAGCAAUUCUACUUUUCUGCUUAACAUUAUGUUGUUAUUGGAAUUUGGAACCUCAUACUGUGAUUAAGUAAUUGUGAGUGAAGCAGCAGUUGGAGAGAUGACACUGCAUUUCUGUCAGCGUUACAAGUAAGUAUCAAUUUUCUAUUGUCUUGUCAUACAUGUAUGCAUAUCCACUAAUGUAAGCUGCUAUGUCUUGUAACAGUUCAUGCUUUUAUGUGAAAGUUCUCAAUACAUUGAAUGUUGUUACAGCUGUGAUGUUUGAUGCAAUUUUGGUUAUGAACUUUUUAUUAAUUUUGGAUUAAGAAUUUGUUUGUAGAGGAAGCUUUUAUUAGUAAUCCCAUUUUUGGUGGUUUUGAAAGUGAGAGAGGAAGCUUGCUCUCUAGUUGUGGUUGUCCCUUUGUUGGGUAGAAAAUGCCUUAUUUAUAGCUCUGGAAGCUAUUCUUUUCCAAGAAACCCUAAUGGUUUCUAUCCAAUUUAGCCAAACUUUUUCCUUUCUUUCUUCUCCUUUCCUUUGACUUAUCUUAUAAUGGUAAAAAUCUCCUCUGCCCAAUCUCACAAAAUCAGGAAUUUUUGGGAGCUCAAUGCUCUCCACCCCUAUUCUCAGCCAUCCCCUUUCCUUUCUUUCCUUCCUCAUUUCAUGGCCAGAUCUGAUGAAGGAAAUAAAUGGGUAUACAUGUUGGUUCGAAUGGUGCCCCUCCUCCUGGCAGCCUGCACGCUAAAAUCCCCUAGUCUUUGCAUGCCUUUGCUUGAAAUUUGUUCCCCCCUAUGUGCUGGAACUUCCCAACAGCUCUGCGUAUGUGGACAUCCUUGCUCCCUUCAUGGCUUUUGUUUUUCAGCCAAGUGCUGAGGCUUUUGUAGGUCGAUAUUUUAGUUACAUGGGCCUUCUAUGACUAUGGGUUGGUUUAUCAAAUAAAUGGGCUAACCUCCCCAAGUGUUGGCCUAUUUUGUUGAGGUAUUGGGCUAAUUUCUCUAGGAUAUUGGGCUACUUUCUCUCUCUCUCUUUUAUGCUCACCCACAUGUUUGGGCUCCUGAAAUGGACUUGAGUUUCGAGGCUCCCAAGCAACCUGAGACUUCCAUUUCUUGGCCCAUCAAUGGGCCUCAUGACAACUUGUUACCAUCCAUACCACAACCCACUCAAGCAAACCCCGGGCAUUUGAGUAGCUUGGGCUUACUUAAGCUUGUAGCGUGGUUUAGGUGGGAAAUAGUGAUCUCCCGCUUGGCAUGACACGCUUUUUAUUAUGAUGUUUGACGGGGUAAUUAGCAUGAAUUUGUAGAGCUAGUGCAUUUUAUAAUAUUCAUCUCAAUUCCUAGCACGACGGAUUAUUCAUUUGGCAUGGCAUGUGGAGCGUGACUCGUGCAUGGCGGACUUUUGCAUGCUCCAAAUUGGGUCUUUUCUCAAUAAUGUGUCGUAUUGGGCCAGGGAUUUAUUUGGGCCCAACCGUGGAUUUUUUGGGCCUCAACAAACAGAAAAUGAUUCAUGCAUAAUCAUUAAACUCAGCGCCUCUUCGAAACUGAUUCAUGCAUAAUUAGAAAAUAAAAGUACCUUAUUAGCUGCUUUCCCUUAUAGCUUUCUCUCACAACAAUUUUUAACAAUAAGUGAUUUUCUCAUAGUUUAUCAAACGGGUUGGGCUUCCCAAAAUUUUUUAAAAAUCACUUAUCACCCCAAAAAAACAAUGCCAAACGGGCACCAAAUCAAAAUAUAAAAAAUUGGUUUUAGUGCAAAAUACGAUUUAGGCUAAAAAUGAUGGCUCAUUAAGUUAAUAUAUACUUCAUAUUAAAAUCCUAUAAAAUCAAGUUUUCUUAUUUGAUAUGUAAGGAAUGAAAGCUGCCAAAAAUUAUCUUGAGAAAAUGAUUAUUCUGAAAAAUCAAUUUUCAUACUUAGCCAAUAUUUUUACAUAAAACAAUUUUUCAAUAUGUAUGAUAUGAAUGCGUGAAGGGACCUAAGGUCAAUCUAGGUAAAAAGCCUUAUAUAUUCAAUCUACAAAGAGUUUUACAAGAAUAACCUAACUCUUACGUAUUGAAGAAAUAUUUUCUUGAAAAAGCUCUCCUUAAGACAGUACUCAUAAAGCUCCAAAGUUUGAGAGCUAGAGCCCAAAAGAAAUGCAGAUAAAGCCCAAAAUCAAAAUGACAACAGACCUCAAAAAUGAUGUAAAUGCCCUAAAAUGAGGAACAUUGCACUAAUAUAUGUCAUCUCUUAUGUCAAAUAGUUUGAGACGCCUUGGGAGGUAAAGAGAACUUUUUUAGUUUAUUAGAGAUAUUUCUGGUUUAUUGUAGUGUGUAUAUAUUUUUUUGAAGCUGAUGCAGUUCUCUUUGAUAAUGAACAUGAGUGUUUUGUAUGGUUUUAUUUAUUAACUAUGAAUUAGAAUAUUAUCGUUUCAUAUCGAUGAGUUUAUUUUGUAUAUAAUUUUUUUUAACCUUUUACACGUAGACCCCUGGAAUGAAAAUUCCUAGAUCCGCCACUGGGUAGAGCAAUACCCGUCCAAGGGUUACCUCCCAAACCUGCUUUGAAUAUGUGGUCUGUUUUUAUUAUAAAAUAUUUAUGCUGCAUUAUAAUUUAUAACGCCUUAAUUUCAUCAUAAAUUAUCAUUCAACUCAAUUGGCACAUGAGAUGGCACUAUAGGGGAAAAGUGGGUCAAACUCUCCUUCUCCUCCCUCAAGUGCACCCAGAUUUGAUUCGUGUAGGAGACAAUCUUGAUGCAACCCAAUAUAAUACUAUUCUCUCUCACUCCCCAGCGAAUAACAAAAACAAAAAAACAAAAAUCAAUUUAAUUAUAAAAUUUAACUAAAUAACUCAAAAUAAUCUCAAUUUAAUUUGACAAAAUAUAUAUAUUAUAUAGUUAUUGAUUAUAUUAUAUUACAAUCAUACAUAGCCACAUUAUAUUAGGUAUUAAUUAAAAAUUAACUAUACCAUUCAGGCUCGUCCUUGAUUAGGAAUUUUUAAAAUUCAGUAAUCUUGUACCUGCCCUUAAUUUUUUUCCAGAAAUUCUCCCCGUUAGGCUCAGGGACCUGAUGAGGCCCCAGCCUGAUUUUAAAACACUACUAGCCCUAUGGCACAUGCUCACGCAUGUGCCAAUUGAUUUUCUUUUUUCUUUUUUAUUUUAUUUUUAGAAUUAAAAAAAGAUAACAUGGGUAGUUAUGUUCUAUAAAAGUAGGACUUAUUAUCUGAUUUUGUUUUAAUUUUUAAUUUUUUAAUAUAAAAAAAUAUAAAUAUACCAUAUUAUCCUCAUUUAAUUAAUAAUUUCAAUUCUUAAUACUUGAAUUAACUUUGAAUGUUUCACCAUUCUCGCCAUUUUGCUUUAUAUAUAUAGAUAUAGAUGAACUGAACUGAACUAGAGAAAUGCUAGCAACCUUCUCUCUAACCUUAUCCUUUGGACAUUCUCCCUUUUUUGUUUGACAUGUGUCAUUCUCCUUACACUUAAAACAAUGUCAUUAAUAUAUUAUACAAUUUAACUUUUGCUUUCAAACUUUGCCCUUAUUAAAUGUAUUCAAUUUAUUCAAAAAAAUUUCACAACUUUUACCAUCUUUUAUUUAUUUAUUUUUUUAACGUCAAUUAUUUUUUAUGUUAUAAAAAACUUAAUAAGAUUGUAAGAAAGUUGUGAAAUUUUUUUGGAUAAAUGGAAUACAUUUAAUAAGGGUAAACUUGGAAAGCAAAAGUUAGCUUGUAUAAUAUAUUAAUGACAUUAUUUUAAGUGUAAGAAGAAUGACACAUGUCAAGCAAAAAAAGGAGAAAGUCCAAAGGAGAAGGUUAGAGAGAAGGUUGCUAGCAUUCCCCAAUGGAUUAAUUGGUCUAAUUUAAUUAUUUUUUUGUUUUGCAGAUGGCAGCAUUUUAUUGGUAACUUCCACCGGUCCUAGACUAGAACCGUGAGCACCAAACUUCUCCCCUGUAAUAAGUAAUUUCUCUCCCCUCUCUCAUUUCGUUCGACCUAAACCCUCUUCUUCCUCGACCAAAAGAAAAACCCUCUUCUUCUUCUGGCUUCUUCGCUCGCCUCCGCCACCGACGUCUUCAUCUGCUUCGCUCGGCUACUGUGGAGGUAAUCUCAUGGAUCCGCAGCCAGAGCCAGUCUACUACAUCUGUGGAGGUACUGAUUUUGCGUUUGUUGUUGGAGAAAGUUGGCGGGCUAGGAAAUAGAGAAGGAUUUCUGAUACUAAAUCAUUGUUUGUGUUUGCUGUAGAUUGUGGGAUGGAGAUUCCCUUGAAGCCAAACGAUGUGAUUCAGUGCCGCGAAUGCGGUUACCGGAUCUUAUACAAGAAGCGCACUCGUCGCAGUAAGUCGCCUAUCCUCAUUCUAAAUAUGUUAUAUUACCUUACCACCAUGUAUCCUUUAUUGGGAUUCUUAAAUCAACUUUUUCUUUUCUUUUUUUUCCUCAAUGAAAUUAACUUGUAUAUGUUUGAAUUUUGAAUUGUUGCAAGCAAUUUUUUUUUUUUUUUCACUUUUUUUUUUUUUUGAAAAGGUGCAUAUGCAAUUCAUCACUUGCUUGCUAUUGAAAAGUACAUAAAUUUGGUGAUUGGAAUGGUAUUGUGAGUUGAAUUUUUAAAAGCCCGCUUAAAAGCACUGUGUGUUCGUCUGGUUGCCACCCUUUUAGUUUAAGAUGUGGAUAUGCUUUACAUUUCAUGCAUUCAUGUUUAGUAAUUAGCAGCUGUUAUCUGUGCAGCACUAAUAAAAAGUUAUUACUUUCAACAGAGUCUAUCACUUGCAAGUAAAGUUAUGGGCUCUGUAGAAAAUAGGUAUGUUGAUGCCAAAUGGUGAUACUGGUGAGAGUGAAAUGAACUUUUAGUUAGUUUUUGGGAUUCUGGCUUUGAAGACAUGGUUUUUUGUGCACAUAACAGAUUGUAAUUAGCUUACACCACGAUGCACAAUGCUGUUACUGAACUUAAUUAGUGGGAUUACUAGGGCAAAGUCAAUUAAAGCAUUGCACCCAAUUAUGCUCUUUUAAUUGAGUUUGGUCUCGAAUUGCUACUAAUUAAGGUCAGUGAUUAGUUUAGCAGUAUGCAUCUUGGUGUAGGCUAAUCACAAUCUGUUGUGCGAAUAAAACAAUAGGCGCAUAUGGCUUUGGUUCCCUGCUCAUUGUUCUUCUUCCUAGAGGGUUAAACUGAUUGAUUAAAGGCAAUUGUUUGGUGUGCCAUUUUGUUCAUGUAAAGCAUUAAAUUAUGCUAGCCGUAUAGUAAAGUGCUAUAUAUAGACUCAUUUCUUUUCUCAUCUGUCAUAAUGGCAUCACUGUGUUAUACAACAGAAGUUAUAUUAAUAUGGCCAUCUUUGGAAAUACACAAAAAGGACAUACACACAAGUUGUAUUGCUGCUAUCAUUUUUUUUUUCUUUCUAUUGUAUUGUACUGUCCUUCAUGUAGCACUGUGGAAUCCCUUUUGGCUAGCAUUUUUAUGGUGCUGUGAGUCCAAUUUCCAGUACAACUGUACAAGUGUUGGUCUUGUGUUUCUUUGCUGAUUAUGUCAAUCACUCUAUCAUCUUCUAUAUAACAUUAUUCAAUGCUUGAUUUGUACGAGUCAUUGUUGUUUUUGCAGUUGUUCAGUAUGAGGCACGCUGAAGAAGGACAGAGGAGAAGCAAGCUUCUUAGAGAGUUUCAAGGGGAUUUUGUGUAAUUUUAUAUACUUCCAGUUUUCUGAAAGAUACUUGGAUUCCAAAUGAACUGAAAUUUUCCAAGUGAACUGAAAUUGCUUAUUUUGGUUGAUGGCCAAUAUUUUGUAAUAUUUUGUGAACUGAAGUUGGCCUUCACUUUCUAUUGCGGUUUCUAGUUUCUGGUUGUUGGCCAAUAUAUUGUGAACUGAAUUUGCAUAUUGUGUUAUAACUGUUACAUGUGCCUUGAUUUGUUAUGCAACCUUUUGUUAUGAGUUCGUUGUGGUACACAUGCUUACUUUGAUGCAAGUGUAACAGGCCCUGAAAUUGCUUAUCAUGUUAUGAAAUGACACUAAUGUAGUACACGUGUUUAUUAUUGAUUGGUUUUCGGCUUUUGUACUUCUUCUUCAAAGCAGCCACCUACCUCCUUCAAUUUCAUUCUCUCUGCCAGAUCGACUUCCUCUAUCUGGUUUGUCCAUCAUCAAGUUAUGAGUGUCAAUUUCAUCAUCCCUUAUAAAUCCAGCACAAUGAAGUGUUCCCUGCAUGGACAAAAUCCAAACUCAAUAGCCCACUUAUACAUUCCAAAACAACAUAAUAACAUUGAUACAAUACAAUGACAAGAUCAGUCUUACUUGUAUUGCAUCUGUCCAAAAACGUCUACCUCGAAUCCUAUUUUUCAUUUGGUGGACACCAAAAAUGUCUAUUAGUAAAAAAAUUUAGGGACAUUUUGAAAAAGGUCGAAAGCUUGACGUAUGGAGCCAAAAAGUUGGAUUUUCUUGCUUUGGUGGUCUUUGGAUUGAUGUUGCAUUUUCUUGAUAGGAUGAUCUAUUCAUGUGAGAUGAUGAUGCUUAUGGCUUCACAUGGAGUUUAUGCUCCCAACAUGUUAUUUAUAUUGUGUAGCUCUUCUUUUCAUAAGCUAUUCCAGUAUGAGUUGUCAUUGUCUUCUGCUUCAAUUUGUUAUGCUAUCUAGUUAUAGAUUUCAUAAAAAACUCUUGCUCAUGUUGUGCUUAUCUUGAUUUCAAAUGUGUCAUCUGCUCUCCUGGAUGUAGUUUCUGAAUAAAUUUUGAUAAAGUUGGAUUGGUUAAGGAGGUUCAGACAAUCAUCAUUGAACAAUUGUUGCUCAGUUAUUAUUGCUCCUCUGUAUUUUUGAAUGUCCUACUUGGUAGAGAUAUAUGUCUUUACUGUUUCUACUGGACUAAGCAGUAUGAGAAAUAAUAAUACUACGUUAUGCUCUAUCUGGAUAAAUAUUAUCCUUAAACUAUUCUGGGCGUAUGCUAGUAAAAUCUAAUUUUACGCUCUUUCGUAAAGGAAUAUAAAAACUUAUAACUUUUAAUUUUGGGGAAAAUGAAUCUAAAUAUUCCUCUUAUGUGAUCAAUUACAAAAUCAUUUGGACUGGACGACGAGACUUGGCGGUCUGGCUUAUCUUCAUGAACAUGCAAACCCUUCCAUUGUACACUGGAACAUUCAAGUUAAAGGGUCAGUAUACAAAACUACCUACCGUCGUAAAGAAAAAUUAAUUCAUUUAUUUUUUCAUAAUUAAGGGUAAUAAUAGUGUUAACCUCAAUAUAUAUAUUUUUUCAACAAAGUUCUGCACCAUGACUUUUUCAGUGAAACAAUACGAACCUAAUUAUUGUGACCUAUUCCUGAGUAAUGGGACCAGGCUUUUGAUAACUCCAGAGUAAAAUAAAUCCCCCUGAUAUAAAACAACUUUUGUUUCCAGAGCUCCAACAAGGCUUUUGAUCUCAAAAACUUCAACAACAACAUUUAAAAAGAGCAAAAACCAAAGAACCUGCAUUUUCUAUAUUGCUUGUAGAAACAUACAUAAAUUUAAUCGAAUUUCAACCCAAUGAAGGUACAUGUACAUGACUUUGUUGGUCAAUCUAUGAUGACCAUAUUAGCUUCACUACUUGCAGUAGUAGUGUUCUCCAUUCCCAUUCCCAUAAACUGUGCUGUGGAAGAUUGCCGCAGACCAUCAUUAUCAUCAUCACAGUCGAUCAAGUGGUCGAGUAAAUCAUAAUCCAUCGAGAAGUCGAGCGCAUUGACUUGGUCUUCUUCACUACCAAAAGGACUAGGCCAAUAUCCAAUAUUAUUGUCAGUGAGGACCAGGCCUUGUUGAGUCUCAUAAACAUCUGACGCCCUCUCUUGGUUACAAACUGCAUACGAUCCCAAGGCUUGUUCCGUGAAUGGUUGUGCGGUGUCCGAAAGCAAGAAAUCGCUCAUUAGGGCAUCGCCAUCACCGCCAGCAUGAAAUUGACUGACGUCAUCAGUAUUGUUUGCCCUAGCUUGGGAAGAGACCACAGUUGUUGGGUAUGCAAAAGAGAUGUCCGGCUGAGAUUGAGUGAGUCCAGUUGGCAAGUAUGAAACGCUCCCACCAACUCCAGUAGCCUCAGACAUGGGAGUGCAAUCACCGAUAAGUUCCUCAAAGCUAGUCACUUGUUGCGGCCUUUGCCUCUUAUUUUGAGAUUGUACUGGAGUGUCAGUUUCAUUAUCCUCUUCUGCAGUUCUCAACUUUCUCUUCCCCCUGUCAUUCUUUCGAAUCCGGCAUAGCACAAACUGAUUGGUUGAGUUUGGUUUGGGCUUCACCAAUGAAGGGUGAAGGCUGUACUCGUGCAUAAUCCAGCAACCGUCUUGAACAGAUUUAGGGUUUUCAUAAUGAAACCUUUUCCAUGUACCUAAAUCGUUCUCCUUAUUCUCCGGAUCACUGACUGUGGUUCCUGAGUUUUCACCUUUCCAUGUCCCGGACCCUAUCGUGCGAGCCGCGCGGGAGUCCUUGUCACUCAGGCUCUUCAAUUUGGUGAAGAAAUAAAGGUCUUCACCUUUGGCUAAGUUGUGUCCACCAUAUUCAUGCCAUAUAUCCCAUGGCUCUAUCUUACCAUAAAGAUCCAUUUCUGGAAUAACAUUUUCAUACAUAAAGGAUGUGCCACGAACCUUGUUAAGAAGAUAAUAUCCCAAUAACUGAUCAUCUCUUGGACGAAAUUUAAAACCAACUGGAAGAUUAACAGCAGACUCACAAGGUGCCAUAUAUAAGCUAUGUAGCAGGUUCCUCUUCGACUUUUGUGGAGAAGAGAAGAUUAAAGAUGAACUUGGUUUCUUGGAAUGGAAAGAAAAUGAGUAUGUAGGCUGGUUGGCAGAGAGAGGGUGUUGGGGUGAUUCUUUAAUAUAUGGUGGUGAUUCUGUAAUGAGUUUCUUCGGGUUUUGUGAGAGGCAUCUUCCUUCCAUUCCUAUAUAUAUAGGAGUAUUAGGGCAACUGGAAGCUAAAUCUUAUGCGGGGAGGAUUUGUGUUGUCAUAUCUCCAUGUUAUAAGUUGAGGAUAAAUACUGAAAAAAAUUAAUAUAAAAAUAUUUGAGAUCCGACAAUAGUGCAAAUAAAUACAAAGAGCUCUUUCCAUUAAUGCCUUUUUAUUUUUUUGUCUGGACUUAUCAAAUAUAGAAAAACAAUUGAUUUUUCAUUUCAAAAUCUCCUUUUUUAUGAACCAUUAUUUACUUAUAUCCCUUUGGUUUCUCUGUGUUUUGUUGUUCCUUUCCCAAAUAGGAUAAGUCUUGGUAUCUGGAGAUAUUUUCAUAGAUAAUGAACUACAAGUGAUGAAAUAUACAAUAUGGAUGACUGUCAAACAUCUGCAAAACGGGAUCCCCUUUUUGAAUUUUUUUAGGUGGGCUAUACGUACUAAAGAUUAUGUUUUAUUAGUUUAAAUUAACAGGUUAUGGUUUAUUCUGGUUUAACUACGGGUAUUUGUUUAAAAAAAUUAAAUAUUUGAAGUUUUUCUCCUUGGUUUAGAUUUCUCUGCAUUAGCCCUACUUCUCGACAGAUCAUGCUCAUGAUUGUUUCUGCUCUAUUUCAGUCUUAUCUUGUAAUAACAGUUAGAAUUCAUAGCUUUUGGUAUUUAGUUUUUAUGGAGAUUUGAGUGUUUUGGAGAGAAUGAGAGUUACAGAGAAAAUGCGACUAUGGAGCUGCAAUAUUGCUGAAGGUACUAUUGUUCAUUUCAUUCCAAAAUUCAAGUAUAAUCGUUAUGAGAGAGAGAAGUGAGAUGCGUCUCUAACAGAUUCACACUGAGAUUAAAUCCUAGCCUUUGAUCCUAUCAUCCUAUGAGAUGAUUCCACUUGUCCUAAUUUGACACUUAGAUCCUAGGCUAGAUAAGAGACCACUUGGACUAUGAUCCAAUGGCUCAGAUUACAUUAGGAAAUUAAAACUUAUCAAAUGAAAUUCAAAGAAUUUGUAACUUUGCCUUCAAGAUAUCAGCUCAAGGGUCACACAUCAACAAUAACAAUACAUUGGGAUUGUUGAGGCCCAAAAAAUUUAGGGUUGGGCCCAAAUAAAUUCCCAGCCCAACGCAAUGUCUUAUUAAGAAAAGAUCCGAUUUGGAGCACACGAAAGUUCGUCAUUCACUCUCGCACGAGUCAUGGCCCACAUGCCAUGCCAAAUAAAUAUGCAUUCUGUCAUGCUAAGAGUUCAAAUAAGCACUGGCUUUACGAGCCCAAGCUAAUUAUCCCGUCAAGCGUCAUAUCCCUCUUCAAAGUGACAAAAUUCAAGCAUGCCAAGCGACAUACAAUGCCAAGCAAAAAAUUAUUAUUAUUACACCUAGCCACGCUACAUGCCCGGGGCUUGCUGAGUGGGUGGAUGGUAACGAGCUUUCAUGAGGCCCAUUGAUGAGCCAAGAAAUGGAAGUUUUGGGCUACUUGGGAGCCCCAAAACUCAAACUCAUUUCUUGAGCCCAAAUAUGUGGGUAAGCAUAAAGGAGAGAAAAAAGCCCAAUACUCUAGAAGAUAUGACCAAAUACCUUAGGAAAAGCCUAGCCCAGUACCUAAUAAAAUAUCUAGCGUUGUGUUCAGCCCUUGCCAAAGCUUCAUAGCGGAGUCAACAUGAAGCCAUUGCAAAACCAGAGGGAAUUUGUACGUGUAGGAGGAAUACCCAUUAGGCAAAAGCUCUAUCCAUUCUUUUUUCCUCUGCGAGCUCUAAUAGGGAAACCAAGAAGAAAAGCAGGUGGAGCCUCACCCACAUGGAGAGGUCCAGCUGUGUAAAAACCUUGGAACCCUAUGAGACUUGUUACCUAUGCGCUCUGGUUAAGGAAAUUUCACCAAAUAGGAGUGAAUGGAAGAAAGUGAAGGAAAAGCAAGGAGGAGAUCCGAUAAGAUUAAGGGGUCGAAGUGCUUAUAAAAAGGAGGCUUCUUCUACCUAGCAAAGUCAUCAUCUAGGGUGCGACCAAGUUUUGUCAAGCAGCUGGAAAUUCACUCAAACCACACCCACUACUUCACCACUAGCUACAACACACAUCUGGAGAUUAAGCUUUAUCUCUCACCUCUGAAACCUCUGCAAUUUCGAGCCCCAUCCUUCCAUUCUCUCAUAUUUUCCCUUUUGGUAAACUCUUCCAAAGCUUGACAGAGUUUUCGUCGAGCUGCCGGAAACUACUCAACACACCUAAUAUACCCCCAUCUCUCUCUUUUCAACAAACCCACUUAGAAUCCCUUCCCUUUCUCCUUAGAAUCCCUAUUUCUCAUAAGAACUCACAGCUCUCUCUCUUUAAUGCUAAACUCAUGAUUGCUUUGCUUCCAUGCCACAAGCCUCUCAUGCCAAGCUAAGAAUUUAUCUGUAAGCGACUUUAGUUUUGCUGGUGAAGGUAACAAAGGUGCUUCUUAAGCCUCAGCUACCCUUUCGAAGCAUUCUCGGGGCCUAAUUCUUGAACUCAGACCUAGGGAAAAUUUGCACCUAGUUGCUCCUUACGGCAGCCCAGGCACACAGUAGCUGCUGGAACAAGCCCCUAUAAGGAUUCAGUUGUAACAACUGCACAAGCUUACUUGUGCACCAAGCAGCAAAUAGAAACUUGGCACGCAUGUCUCUUCCAAUGUCAUAAGGAAUUUUUAAUUGUGUUUUUCCUUCAAACAGUAAAAAUUUCAAGUAGUUCCUUUCUCCUUCUUCUUCCACUUCAAACAGAAAGGAAAAUAAGAGGUGUUAAAAUAACAAUAUUCUUUUUCUUCUAAAUGAGUAUGAAGAUCUAUUGAAGGGAAGAGACUCUUAGCUAGUUGUAUCAUGUUUGUUCUGCUACUAUAAAUUCUAAUAAUUCGCAGCUCCUACACUAUUGUUGCACAUAUAUGAAUUAUGAAAAAGUUAUGCCGUCCAAUAUGCUUGUUUUUUGUUUUUUGUUUUAAUAGAAAAAGAAAAAGAAAAAGAAAAAGAAAACUAUCUGUUAUGCUUGUUAUGUUCUCUUUAUUUUGUCAAAAAAAUUUCUUGAGUUUGGCUAUUGACAAAAACCAUAGCACUUGCACAGUCCCUGAGGGUGGGCAAGGAGGGCGAUGGCCAUGGGCCUUGCAUUUGUAGGGCCCCGAAUUAUAUAUUUUAUAUAUGUACCAAGUUGAUGAAGAAUAUGAUUUUAGAGGAGAAUAAUUUCAAUAGUUUGGCAUUUGGAGCUCCUAAAUCUGAUUACAAGUGUUUCUAAAGAGUCCAAAUGAAAAUUAUGUAAUAGAUGAACAUCAAUUGCAUGUAUUUAAGUAUUUAAUUUCCAAAAAGUAUUUCAUUGCUAAAAGUAGCAAUCAAUGAAAGAAAGCCAAUAGGGACUAGAAAUUCUUUUAUUUAUCCAAAAAUUCUUGUUAGUAGAUUAUUUAGCAAGGAAAUAUGAAAGAGUGCAAAUUAUUUGUAUCCUCAUUCUUGUUUAUUUUCAGAUUGGGGCAGCGAUUAUAUGGCCAAUACUGGAGCCGUGUUUAUUUAUCCAAAUUGUAGUUAAUUGCAUAAUUUUUUUUCCAUGUUAGUUUAUUAUAUUCAAGAGAACGAAAGAGAAAUGGGCCUCAUUUUCAUUUCUAGCCUAGGGCCACUCAAAAGUCAGGGCUGGCCCUGUCUUUAGAGUAAAUACAGUGGUCUGCAUGUAGGAAAGAAUAUGAGACUGCUUCCUUGAUAUCUGUUGAUGGCAGAAUUAUAGGAGAUGACCUCGUGGUGUUCUUUUUAUCCGGGGGACUUCUCUCUUCAGAUAGCAAUAUCAAAAAUUAGUGUUGCCGGAGAGAAAGAAAAAAAGAAGAAGCCAACUAGCCACAAAAGAGAAGAAGAAAAAAAUCACCAGAUGACAAGAGAAAGAAGAAAACUGGCGGAGAGAAAGAAGAAAAAAAUAAAGAGAGAAGAGAGAAGGAAAGAAAAGAAAAAAUAAUAAUAAAAAAAGAAAAAGGAAAGAGGAGAGAGAGAAGAGUGAACUCAUGAUGAGAAUCACACGAUAAAAAAUUCAAUUCCGUAACAAAUUCGCAUUAUUGGACUUCACAACGGAGAAGCGCCCUUAGAUAAAUGGGCUAAGCACACAAGUUGGGCUCAAAUUAUUAAUACAUAUACUUCAAAAAUACACAUCUUUACAAAAUAGGACCGCACCUAAGAGCAACUCCACCCCUUAGGGCAAAGUCUAAGGCAAGGGCAAGCUAGGGCAAGCAAGGGCUGACACUAUUCACGUGAAUAGUGUCAGCCUUGCCAUUUGUGGUUCCACCCACAAGGGCAAAGUCUAGGGCAAUUACUAUUCAUUGUACUUUAUUUCCUAUUUUUUUAUAUUUUAAAUCAUUAAUUUUGAUAAUCUUUUUAAUUAAAUUUUCGGAUAAGAUUUUUGGAUGUGAAUCUCGGUUGCCACGUGUCUUAUUCCAGAUAAAAAGAUUUGGUGUGGAAAAUGAAUUAUGUGAGUGGAGAGUAGAAAAUAUUGUAUGGAGAAGAAAUUGUAUGAAGAUUUGGUGUUGAAAGUAGAUAAAAUGGUUAGGUAUUUAUAGGGAAAAAAUACAUACAUUUUUGGUAUUUUUUAAAAAAAAAUUUCAGAAUUUUUUCGAAUUUUUUUGGAUUUUUUAAAAUUUUUUUGGCCAAAAAAAUGAGAACCGUAGGAUUUAUGAAAAAAAUCCAAUCGGAGCCACCCGGUGACGACACGUGGCAGUAGCCGUUGGAGCUGACAUCAUUGAUGACGUCAGCGCACUUCAGUCAAAUUUUUUUUACCGUUGGCGCGUGUAUUACACGUGGGUCUGUGGGAAAAACUUGAUUUUAGUGCGCUGACGUCAUCGUGACGUCAGCUCAACUCGGGCUCGAGCCCAGUCUGAUUUCGCCCUUGGGCCUGCCCGGGCUCGUGGGACCCGCAGCUUGCCCGGGCUGGAUUGCUUGCGCUGGAGCUGGACUCGGGCUCCUUUUUGCCUUUUGCCUGGGCCAGCCUCUACCGCUGGACUUGCUCUAAGGCCAUAUAUAAUGUCCUCAUUAUAGAAUUCUUGAGGGCGAAACUCCCCACCAGGACGGAGAUUUGUAAGGAAAAUAAUUAUCUUAUUACUAUUCAGCCCAUAACUAUUUUAGAUAAAUGGGCUAAGCACACCAAUUGGACUCUUUGGGAGUCACCCAUCAAACCUUUAAUAAACACUGUAUCAUAUCAGAUCUUUCAGUUUCCCGCCAUUGCAAUUUCCCACCAUUUUUUGUCUCUUUUUAAAACUGAUCAUAAAUAAAUUUUUAAUUAUUAAUUUAUUCAGAUAAAAGAUUAUUUUAUUCUUGGAAUAUUUUAUUAGUAUAAAAGUUGACUUUUUGAUCAGGAAGGAAUUUGGACAUAUCAAUUAGACCACUGCGUAUAGCACAUCGAGAUGAGUUCGUAGACACAUAGUGGACUCAAAUCCGAGUUGUAAUGAGAGAGAUACGAUUAAAAUUCAAGUAGUGGCAAAAUCGUAGUUUUUCGAAAUUGGUUUUUAAAAACCAGAUUUUUCCCUCUCUCUGGGCGCGCUCUCUCUCCUCACUCUCGACUCCAAUCUCUCUCUCUUCGAUUCUCUCUGCUCAGGUCACGGCAAGAGCCGGCGCUGGUCUUGUUCCAACCGGCUCGACCUCACCGUCCAAACCCACCAGUUUUCCCUGCCGGAAAACUCCAAUCCUACCGGCGGUGACGACUGGUUUUCUCCGGUUUUUCCCGGCGUCGCCACCGCGUUUCCGGCGAGCUUCUCCGUCGAACCAGGUAUGGUUUCUCACCUAUUCUUCAAGCUGUAGCUGCCUGUUGGGUAGGAUUGGAUCCAAUUUUGCGGUUAGAGUUCCGUAUUGGAACCUAGGUUUUGGCCGGUUUCUCUCUCCACUCUUCUCUUCUGUAAUUACGUUACCAUUCUCUCUGCGCGCUCGGAGCAAUGAUGGCAGAGACUCCCAAGAGAGGCCUGCAAUCCCCUAAGAAAUCCAAGCGUUUCAACCCCAAACCCUCGCCUUCUCUCACUACUCCAACUCCACAAACCCUGACCACUCCUCGCCGGUCGGCGCGCCGAGCCUUGCUACAGUCCGAUUCCCCCGCCCCUCAGAAACUCUUCGAAGAUUCGACUAAGAAAACCUUGAGAAAAGAUGCGACGGCUGGAACAUUGAACUCCCAGCAAAAUGAUUCGCCCAAAACACGAAGAAAGGGGGAAAUUCCAAAAACCCCAAAAUCUGCAGGGAAGGGCAAGAAAUCGAAGUGUAAAGAGGAGGGAAAUUUGACUGAGGUUGAAGUUGCAUUCUCUCCAGAGACGCCAGGGCAAUCUGAGACUAAGAAGAGGAAGAGGGACGAGGAGAGCAAGGUAGUUACACGCUCGAGGGCCUCGAAAAAUGUCAACUUUGAGAAGAACAAGGCAGUAUCAAGGAGACGGGUUUAUUAUAAGAAGGUUGUGUAUGAUGGGGGUGAAUUUGAGGUCGGGGAUAAUGUUUAUGUGAGGAGGAGAGAGGAUGCAAGCUCGGAUGACGAAUUGGUUGAAGUGGAUGAAUGUAGGGUGUGCUUUAAGUCUGGGAAAGCUGUAAUGAUCGAGUGUGAUGAUUGUUUAGGUGGGUUCCAUUUGAAAUGCUUGAAACCUCCAUUGAAGGAGGUUCCUGAAGGAGAUUGGAUAUGUGGGUUUUGUGAUGCUCGCAAAUUGGGAAGGGAAGUCAAGCUUCCGACACCACCAGAAGGGAAGAAAAGGGUUAGAAUGUUGAGGGAGAGGCUUCUCUCGAGCGAUUUAUGGGCUGCCCACAUUGAAAGGUAGAUGUUUAAUUUGGUUUAAUUUUGUUUAUGGUGCAAGUGUGUGCUGUUAUUUUGGUUGUAAUGUACGUGGCCUUGGUUUGUGCUUUUGAAUUUGUGCAGUAUAUGGAAAGAAGUAGAUGGUAUCUAUUGGUGUCGAGUACGUUGGUAUAUAAUCCCGGAAGAGACUGUGGCUGGAAGACAACCUCAUAAUUUGAGGCGAGAAAUUUAUCGCACAAAUGAUUUUGCUGACAUUGAGGUGAUAGAUGACAUCUAAUCGAUUAUUUGUCUACUAGAAGAAUAAAUGGUUAUAUAGCUGUGGUUGCUUUAUCCCAUAGAAAUGUUCCCUCUGUUUGAAUAAAUUUGUCAUGAUAGGACCUUGUUGUUUUUCCGCAUGAAAGAAAUCAGAAUCACAUGAAGAAAUAGCGAGACGUCCUACUUGUUUUAUUCAAUUGUUCGUUUUAUAUUUUCUAGUAAAGGAUCCUUGCAAUUCUUCUAAAAAAAUGUAGUGAACCCUUGCAAUUGUUAAUUAGAGCAACCAAGCCAAAAACAUUCAUGGCAUAGUUUUGGAUCAGAUAUUAUGGUGAAAAGAGGUAUAUCUUGCCAUCCUUCAGUUUGUAACUGUAAUAUUUCAUAUAUUUACAGAUGGAGUCUAUUCUUCGACAUUGUUUUGUCAUGAAUCCCAAAGAAUAUGCCAAAGCGAAUGAAGGGGAUGAUGUUUAUUUGUGUGAAUAUGAAUAUGAUAUUCAUUGGCACAGUUUCAAGCGUCUUGCUGAGAUUGAUAAUGGUGAAGUGGUAAGCGUUUCUGGAAAUGAGACUCAGCAUUUGAAAAUUCUUCAAAAAUUUCAAAUGGAUUAAAUUGAGUUGAAUUUAUGGGGUUUAACUAUUUGGUAGGAUGAUGAUGGAGCUGAAAGCGAUGAAGAUUGGAAACUUAGCAAAGACUCAGGCUCUGAUACAGAAGAAGAAAUGGACUAUGACGAGGAGAGCAUAAAAAAUAUACUAGCCAAACCAUCUAGAGCUCAUGAACUGGCUGCAGUAUGGACACUAUCUUCUAAUUCUAUCUCAUACUUGUGGCUUUAGUUUGUUUACUUCCCCAAAUUGAACUAGUCAAUUCUGUAUCUACAGAAUUCACAGAAGGGGCGGUUCUUUGGACUUCAGAAGAUAGGAGUUAAGAAAAUCCCAGAGCAUGUAAGAUGCCACAAGCAGACUGAUCUUGAAAGAGCAAAGGCAGCACUUCUGUUGGCAUCAUUGCCUAAGUCUUUACCUUGCAGGGAUAAGUAUGUGAGAAUCAGUUCAUUAAAGGUUUUCUUGAUCUGCGUUACUGUAACAUUGUAAUCAUGGAGACCUGCUUGUGUGCAGAGAAAUGUUGGAGAUAACUGCAUUUAUCAAAGAUGCCAUCUCUGAUGAUAAAUGUCUGGGACGUUGCCUGUACAUUCAUGGUGUUCCUGGAACUGGCAAGGUACGGUCUGUGGUUGUGUUUAUAAAUAGGUAGCUACAUUGUUUCAGAUAGGCUGUAAAUUUCAUUUAUGUACUUUUCAUGGAUAAAAUGAGUUUUAUUUAUUCCUUUUGUAAUAUCUGUGUAACUGCAGACAAUGAGUGUACUAGCAGUAAUGAGGAAUCUAAGAACUGAAGUUGAUGCAGGAAGUAUAAGACCCUACUCUUUUGUGGAGAUAAAUGGUCUAAAGUUGGCAUCACCAGAGAAUAUUUAUAGGGUAAACACAUAUUUAUAUUUGAUGUUCUAUGCUUAUCAUGAUGGCAUGCAUUGCUGCCUUGUAACACACGUGUUUGCACAGGUUAUAUAUGAAGCAUUAAGUGGGCACAGAGUUAAUUGGAAGAAGGCUCUCCACUUGCUAAAUGAACGAUUUUCUGAAGGAAAGAAAAUUGGCAAAGAGGAUGACAAGCCUUGCAUUCUUCUCAUUGAUGAACUUGAUCUUCUUCUGACCAGAAACCAGUCGGUAACCCUUUUUUCUUCUAUCAGUUGGUACCUUCUGCAUUUUAUGAUGUGACUAUUUUUUAAAAACUAUUCCAGUUUUGUGUUAUAUAUAAUAUAGUUGUUACUACCCAUGAUCUUGAAAUAGUCAAAAUUACAUACUUGUAGUGUUUUUUUGGUUUCAGGUUCUUUACAACAUUCUUGACUGGCCUACUAAGCCACACUCAAAGUUAGUUGUAAUAGGUGUGCUUUUAUUUAUUUUCAGUAGGCAUCCUCGUCAAAUGAUUUUUGUAUUCUUUUAUCUCAAAACGAAAUAGAAAAAACAAUGAUGAUGACUAUGAGAUUGUUAAUGAUUGCAUCAUUAACUGUUUGUAAUGAAAUACAUGUUCAGGCAUAGCAAAUACCAUGGAUCUUCCUGAGAAGUUGCUUCCUCGUAUUUCAAGUCGUAUGGGAAUCGAAAGGCUUUGCUUUGGCCCCUAUAAUUACCAACAGCUUCAAGAGAUAGUUUCUAGUCGUCUUAAAGGAAUUAAUGCCUUUAAAGAACAAGCUAUAGAAUAUGCUUCAAGAAAGGUUAGCUGCAUGUUAACUGUUUCAUCAUAAAAUUGAUUUUCUUUUGUCUUUUUUCUAAUAGUUAUUAUUUGGCCAUAGUGGAUGAGCGCAUUGGAAACUCCAUCUCUGAUAGUAUUUGAACAUAUAUUCAGGUAGCAGCUAUUUCAGGAGAUGCCCGUCGUGCAUUGGAGAUAUGCAGGCGUGCAGCAGAAAUCACAGAUUAUCGACUUAAGAAGCUAAUCUCAAAUUCUAAUAAUGCUUUUGAAGGUAUAGACUUCAACCACAACCCCUUUAAAGUUGGAAACUUGAUUUGAACAAUCCUUAUUUUGUUAAUGUUUUGGUAAUCUGUCCUAUUCUCCUUCCACUUCAUUGAAACUGUAUCACCGUAAGUUUCAAUUGCUGGAAUUAUGUAGUAGACAGAAAUAUUUUUGUUUGGUUUUAUUUCUGUCAAUGGUCAUGCACCCGCGGGAAAGAUGUUUUCUGUUAGUCAUAUUUCACACUUUUUAGCUAUUUCUUGCGAUUGAUUGCUUUAAUUUAGUUCAGAUUAAUGACUAAUUUUGGCUUCUAGUUUCCACUCACCACAUCAACAGAACAUAGAGUAUAUAAGUUAACCUUCCAUGAACAUCACUUGAUAUUGAGGUUUGACAUGGCUCCAUAUUGGGACUUCCUCAGAAUAUUGACACUUUGUUCUGAUGUGGUGCCAACUUGCCCAGUUGCAUCUUUAUUUAACAUCAUGGUGUAGACUAUUGAUGCAUUAUUUUGAUUUGUUAUUUAACAUCAUAUUGAUUCUAGUUUGUAACUUUUAUUUUUGUGCUUUUGUUUUCAGUUUUAUGUUAGUGAAACAUUUUACAUUUUAGGAUUACUUGAAAAAUCCAGAAUGCGUUCUGUCAAAGCAAGCUUUAAACUAUACUUCGUAGAGAAAUGUUCUCUUGCCAGACAAUCUGGCAGCGUAAAAUGCUUAUGUUGCAAGACUCUGAAUUUAGGCCAUUUAUUAGGUUGGUUCUUGUCUUAGUGUGUUAUCCAAAUUCACAAUCUAGCAACAUAAGCAUCAUUAGAGUAGUUUAGAAUAUUACUUUUGUCCGAAAAAAAAAAAAACAUGGCCUUUCAUUGGCAAAGAAUCAACUGGUCCCAUAAUGAGAGUUUGUGUCAUAGAAGAGCUGGUUUAAAUAUCAAAUAAUACAUGUUUUGUUUUUUUGUUCUGUUUUUGGUAUUGGUUUUGUUUCAUUUUCUUUUAUUUGAAAAAAAUGAAAAUUAAGCAGCCUUUAAACCAGUAUUCUUUUUUGGUCAACCAAGGAAUUAGAAAUGUCAACUUCUCUUCUUUCCUGUAUCCUGAAGUUUCAAAAGAAAUACUCUGUUACUACAUUGGUAUUAUUAAGCACCAGCAUCUCAUGUAGCUUAAACUCUAUGUGCUUGCUUUGUUUAGGAGCGUUAUUAUCUUGCUUUGAGGCUUUAAUUCUUGACACUUACAGGAUUUAUAUGUACCUGCUUUGCAGGAAAAUCACUUGUUGGAAUGGCAGAGGUUGAAGCAGCCAUACAAGAAAUGUUCCAGGCACCUCAUAUUCAAGUGAGUCAGAUUAUAUCUUACAGUCAUGAUAAAAAAUGAUUUCUGUUGGUGAAACUUCGUUUAUUUAAAUGGUAUGUUACAUCUUAGAAGACAUAAUCAAUACUCUUGAGUGAGGCAUAUGAUGCAGUGAUUACUACCUUAGUAUGCAUUCCUAAUAUGAAAUACAUGAGAUCCAGAUAGCUACAUAGUUUUUUGGUCGAGUAACAAAGAUGAAAAUGGUGUCAGUUGGAGUUUGCUAACUCUUAUAAGUGCCAUUCUUAAAAGGAGUAGCAUGGGGAAAAAUGGCUUUCAGGACCCAAAUUAUCUUUUAAAGUAGUGAAUUUCUGCACUAGUAGCAUUCAACUCCAUACAACUUUAGCUGCAUAAAUUGUUAUUGGGUUGAAAGGAAGUUUUGUUUAUCUAUGUUGUAUCUGGAAGAACAAAAAUUUUUUUUUUAAUAAAAAUUCUCUCUACCUUCUUCAGAGAUAUAUUAAUGCUAAUUCUUUUCUUUGUUUUUUCCUGGCAGGUGAUGAAAACUUCUUCCAGGCUGAGUAAAAUAUUUUUGACUGCCAUGGUGUAUGAACUCUACAAAACAGGAAUGGGGGAAACUACUUUCGAAAAGGUGAACUUCUCAAGAAUUUUCCUGAACAAUGUGUGCAUUUACUUUUUUUGUAUCAUACACUCAGAGUAACUUCGGUUUAAAUAAUAGUAUUUCACACUGGAGGUGAUGAUUAUUUUUGGGCCGCAGGCUUGCAUUGAAAUGCUGACUAAAAGAAUACUUAUUGUUCUUGACUGCUAUACUGCAUCUCAACUACAAACCAGAUUAUUUUUAUUAUGGUUCACCAGUUUCUUUGAUGCCUUCACUGUAUCUAGCUCUGGAAUUUUAAGAUUAAUUGAUAUGUAAUAGUGUUUUCAUUGAAGUUAUGUUUUUCCUUGCAGUUGGCAAUGACAGUCUCAUGCCUCUGUACAAGCAACGGAGAAGCAUUUCCUGGACAUGACAUGCUAUUAAAAAUUGGGUAAGACAUGCGAUGAUACUAAUAACUUGCUAUAUGCAUGUGUAGAAACAUAGUCUAUUGAUCUCCUCUGGUCCUUGUUGUCUUGUCAAAUGGGAGUGUUCUGAACCUGAAGAGUGGCACUAGUUUUGGCUUUUGACUAAGAAAAUAUUGAGUGUUAUAUAAAAUGACUGCUUUCAUUUCUUUUGUACUUUGCACAUACAAUUUUAGGUGAUGGCCCCUCUUCAUUUUAUGUUCUCUUUGAUGCGGAUGUCAGGUUUCUUUUUUAAAUGGCUUUACUCUUAUGAUGUCCAUUUUCGAGUGCUGUUAUUUGUGUCUGCAAUUGCCUUUCUGGAGAAUAGUUAGUGAGAACGAUUAGUGGUUAAUUUCUGGAGUUGAUACUAACUUUAUAUAAGCAUGGAUUAUUUAAUAUCUGAAUUGUACAUUUUUGGCAGUUGUAAACUUGGGGAGUGCAGAAUUGUUUUAUGUGAAUCGGGAGCAAAGCAUAGGUUGCAGAAGCUGCAGCUCAAUUUUCCAAGGUUAGUUUUCUGUCCAGCUCUUGACAUCAUCCCUCCCCCAAAAGUGAUUUCUAUUAGAAUUCUGUUUAAUCCAGCUACUUUGAACUUUGGAUUUGAUGGUUCACCCUUUCAUGCAACUGCAUUACCAUCAGAAGAAAACCUUGGACUAUUCUGUGACCUCAUAUGAUUUUAUGUCUCUCUUUCAGCGACGAUGUCGCAUUUGCACUCAAGGACAGCAAGGAGCUACCUUGGUUGGCCAAGUAUCUAUGAUUCUUCUAGAUUCAAUCAUUUUCGAUUCUUCAUUCAAAAGAAGAGUUUUGACCCUCAUUCUUCAUUUGUUUCAAUUGCUACAUUCUCGUCAUAAAUUUAUGUCACUUCCAAUUGCGAUAUCACUAUCUUUAUUUUCCUCCUAAUAAAUUAUUAUAUCACAUUUGAGACUUUGCGAAAUUUUAGCAGAACAUACUUUAAGCAUCUUUAUUUAUUUAUUUUGGCGAAACAUAAUAUGAAAUAAACAAUUAAAAUCUAAACUUUAUAAAAUAAAAUUAUAAAAAAAAAAAAAACUAAUUAAAAUCAAGUCUUGAAGGUUGAAACCGCGCGCUCGAGCAACCUGGUAAACUGUCAAUUGCAGAAAAGACUAGCUCCUUCCAAGCAUUGAAUUGCCAUUAUGCUAUGAUCCCUGCUGGAGUAGAAUAAAAAUUAGACUUAAUUGAAUUCCAAUUAAAACAAUAAAACUAAAUAACAUCUAACACUGUUAAUAAUAAAGUGAAUGUGGGUGAGAUGUGUUUCCCAAGUGAGGGAAACAUACCACCACCGGCGGUGUUCCCUUUGUUUAAUAGGGUUGGAAGUUUCCGAACGAAGGCCCGAAUACCAUGUUUAGCGGUGAUCCCGAAUAGCUCAGGGGCUUGGUCAGAUCGAUUAAAAGGUUGAGGAGAAGACAGAGUGGAAUUGCAUGCAUGAAUAUUGAUAGAAAUAAUGGAAGAGAAUAAAAGGAUGAAAAUGAAACAGCCAUGUUGGAUUGGGUGAUGAAACUGCACUAGCAUGUUUCUUCGUGAAUGCGCCAUGUCUUUUUGGAAGAUUUAUUUUGCCGACAGACAGCUCGAUUGUAUAUAUUUUUUUUGGGGUUCUUAUAUCUAGGUCUAAAAUGAUUAGCUGUCAUUGGAUUUAGUCCAUGCAUUUUUGGUUUUAGAUGUAGGUCAUUUGACUUUUAUUACUCUUUUUAUUAUGUCGAUUUUACCAUUUGAGAUACAUAAGAAAAACAUUGAAAAUCUAAAUUUAAUGAAUUAUUUACUUGUAAUUAAAUUUCAAGUUUUUAAUUUAGAAUUCUUUCAUUGAUAAUAUUUACCUAAUAUAUGGGUAAAAUACAAAUUAAUCAAUUGAAGUAAAGGCCCACAUAUUAUACUAAUCAAUUAGGCAAGCACUUACAUUAAACUAUGUACCUAACAUACAGGUAAAUAGUGUUCUUAUUAGCAUAAAAAAAAAUUUAGUGAUAAAUCGUGUUACCUAUAAGUCAUGAACAUAAAUUAGAAUACUACCUAUAAGUUAGGAACAUAAAUUAGAAGACUACCUAUAAGUCAGAUACAAAAAUAGACAAAUAAAAUUGUAUGUUGCCUAUAAAAAUGUACAUAAAAUACUAUUAUUCAUUGUCUAAAAUAGGAAAAAACAAAUAUAUACCUAUGCAAUAGGCAAUAUGACAAUAUACCUACACCAUAGGAUAAUUUAUCUACAAGAGUAUAUACUAUACCUCUACCAUAGGGCGAACAAAAAUAAAAAUAAUGGCAUAUAAAUUCUCAUCUUACUCAUUUUAGACAAUAGGGAUAUAAUAGGAACAAAAAAAUUUAAAUACAAAUCAGUUAAAUACAAAAGUUUGAAUCAACAUGUUAAAGAUGGAAUGUAAUCUACGUGGCAAACUAGUCAAGGGACUUGUAUCAAUAAACAAUAAUUCGAGGACUAGACCCAAUUAUUGGUUGGAUUUUUGAACCUCUAUCAAAUUUUCUAUAUUUUUUUUAUGCUACUGGUUUGUAUGUAGAAGCAGCAAGUUGAAGAGUGGGUUGGGGGCAAUUACUUUAAGUAUAAAAAAAUAUUUUUAGUUAUUGGAGUUAGGUUUGAAAACAAUUUUGUUGACCGUAAUUUUAAUUGAGUUCCACUAUUUUCACUCCCUAAUUCUAUUUCUGUAUAUACCUUAUUUUAAAAUUUUGGCUAAAUUGUAACGGUUCUUCGACUAUGACCCAACUUCAGUUUUCGUCCCUCAUGUUGCAAAAUUGUUAUGAUCAUCCCUCAUGUUUAAAAUUAGCUUGAAUUAUGAGAGAGUGGAAGGAUGGGGACCGUGGGGUGGCUAUGAUGGGCAGUUGUUGAAGUCUAGUAGUUUGGUUAAGGGGCGGAGCCAGAAUUCAAUGUCUGGGAGCCAUAAGCUGAAAUUUUAUCAUUGUUUCUUAUUAUUAUCACCUUCCAUUUAUUAUACAUAUACUGAAAGAUAUGUACAAGAAAUUUCUUUUAGUUUUAUUUAAAGUUAAGUCUUUAUUAAGUGAAAGGUGAAAGUACAAUUUUACCCAUGCAAGCGCGCAUCACAUGCACUCAAAUUGACAUAAUUGAGGAAUAUGACUUAAUUUAUUAACCACUACAAAUGCGAUGAUGAAAUUGGAAAAAGUAGAAUAACAAAAACAAUGUUUUUUUAUCGUUAAUUUAAACCCAAUAAAAAUGUUGAAACUUUGAUAAGAAGGUAAAACAUCACCGAGAAAGUGGAAAACACUUACAACAAUAUAAUACAAAUUGCAAGGCCUCGUUGUGUGUGAUGGACUUGUUGACUUGGAAAAUAUUGUGUUACAGGGAAUUUGACAAGAAGUUUCAAAUUUGAAAUGACUUAAAAGAGAUUUCAUUGGGUGGUGCCAAACAUACUUUUUGUCCAUUCUUUUUCUCUUUUUCCUUUCCUCUUGACUUCCUCAUUUUCCCAUUCUCUUUGCUUUCCCUUCAGCAUUGUCUUCUUCUCUGUUUCUUCAGCUCAUUUAUAGCGUAAUUGCUAAAAUAUGAAUAUGGUUUGAAUGUAUUAAGUUGAGUUUUAUUCUUCUCCAUAAGGAGGUAUAUAUAAGAGUUUACAUGUACUAUACAAGGAAUUAGAUACAGUAAAGAAUUAGGAAAGUAUCUCCUAAUUAUACAAUGAUUUAUCAACUAUAUAAAAAUAGGAAAGUAAAUUCCUUAAUUAAUCAAGGAAGUAAAUCUCCUUGAUUAAUUAGGAGACUCACGUCAACACUCCUCCUUAAGUUGGUGCAUAUAUGUCACCAAUGCCCAACUUGGUAAGUGAGUCAUAAAAUACUCUUCCACAAACAGCUUUGGUUAAGAUAUCAUGCCAAUUGAUCUUCUGAUUUUACGAAUGGUAGGUGGAUGAUCUUCUUCUCAAGUUUUUCUUUGAUAAAAUGUCUAUCCAUCUCAACAUAUUUAGUUCGAUCGUGUUGAAUUGGAUUAUGGGCAAUAUCGAUGGCUGACUUGUUAUCACAAUGUAACUCCAUUGACUUUUUUGGCUUGAACCCCAAUUAUGUUAAUAGUCUUCUUAUCCAUAGUAAUUCACAAACUCAUUGAGCCAUUCCUCGAUACUCUGCUUCAGCACUAGAUCGAGAAACUACAUUUUGUUUCUUACUCCACCAAGUGACUAGGUUACCUCUCACAAAAGUGAAGUAACCUGAAGUAGAACAUUUGUCAGUAAUAGAGCCAGCCCAAUCAACAUCUGUAUAUCCAACAACUUCGAGAUCUCUAUUUUUGGAGAACGUUAACCCUUUCUCAGGUGCUGACUUUAAGUAUCUUAAGAUCCAAUCAACUGCAUUCCUAUGGGAGACACAGGGUGAAUGCAUAAACUGACUAACCACACUUACAGCAUAUGCAAUAUCUGGUCUUGUGUGAGCUAAAUAUAUCAACCUUCCAACAAGGCGUUGAUACUGUUCCUUAUUGGUUGGUUCUUGAUCCAUGUCUUCACAUAACUUGUGAUUCAUCUCAAUGGGUGUAGCAAAUGAGAAAAUGAGGAAGUUUGAUGGUGCAAAGAAGGCAGAUGCUAAGAAGUACAGAAGUUUGGUUGGUAGUUUUUUGUAUCUUACGGCAACUAGACCAGAUAUUAUGUUUGCUGCAAGUUUACUUUCACAUUAUAUGCAAGAGCCAAGUCAGAUUCAUUUUAGAGCUGCAAAAAGGGUGUUGAGAUACUUGCAAGGCACACUUGAUUAUGGAAUUUUGUUUACGGCAGUAGAAAAAUCAAGGCUUAUUGAUUACACAAACAGUGAUUGGGCAGAAUGUCUUGACAAUAUGAAGAGCACGUCAGCCUAUGUUUUUUCACUUGGUUUCGGCAUAUGUUCAUGGGCAUCAAAGAAGCAAAAUGUGUUGACACAAUCUACUGCUGAAGCAUAGUACAUUGCAGCAGCUAAAGCAGCAUCACAAGCUGUAUGGCUUAGAAGGAUACUUGAAGACAUUGGCGAAAAGCAAGAAGGCGGCACCAAAUUAUAUUGUGACAACAAAUCAGCCAUUGCCAUUGGGAAAAAUCCAGUGAGUCAUGAUCGUACAAAGCACAUUGCCAUCAAAUACCAUUUCAUUCGAGAGUCAAUUGAGAAAGGUGAAGUUGCACUUGAAUACUGCAAGACAGAGGAGCAGUUGGCAGACAUACUCACCAAGGCACUUCCACAAGAGAAGUUUUGCUAUUUAAGAGAGCUCAUUGGAGUUAUGAAGAAAGUCCAUUAAGGGGGAGUGUUGGAAUUAAUGCACUUCCUUCAUUCUCUAGAAUAUCUCUAUUUAUUGCAGUAGCUAUAGCUGUCCUUAAUUAAUUUGGUAGAGUUCCUAUGCAAUGUCUUUUAGGUUCUUUAGGAAGUAUUCUCUAGAAUAUUUGUUCUCUUUUUAAAAAGCCUUUGAGCUUAUCAUUGUAAACACAAGUUAAGUGAAUCAGAAUACAAAGAGCUCUGCUGAAGCAACUCAUAUUUUUAGCACCUCAUAUUCCAUCACAAAACAACACAAUCUGACAGCAACAAAGAGCAUGACAAGGGGGAGAAGGCUCAGUCUUCAAUAGAGAGCAUAAGAAGGAGAAAGGGCCCAAUCUUCAACAGAGAGCAUUACAUGGAGAAAGAAAUGCAUGGCUCAAUCUUCAACAGAGAGCUAGACACGGAGAGAGUGAAAGAUAAAGGCUCAUCAAUGAGCAGAGAGCUUAACAGGGAGCGUUGAAAAAUAAAAGGAAAUGGCAGCGGCAGAGAGAGAAGAAAAAUUACUGAUUAUAAAAGGGAGGAGAAGAUGGAGAACUAUACAGAAGCAAACACCCUUUCGGGCGAGGAGAGCCAACAACUCUCAAUGUUGGCCAAUGAAGGAUCGCUAAUUGGCGUUAGCCAUUAGCUCUGAUACCAUGAAAGAUUUGAUGAUUCAAUGAUAUUUUCCUUGAUUGAUUCAUCUUCAUAUAGGAGGUAUUUAUACAAGAUUAAUAAUAAUAAACUAAGAGAGAAUACAAAGUGGUACAUGGUGGAUGCAACUAAUACAAACAUAAAACUAAGACAGCGGUGGAUAAUGAGUUGGUGGAUUGGUAGAUUGGUGGAUAACAUGUUCUCUAAUAUAUAUAUAUAUAUAUAUAUAUAUAUAUAUAUAUAUGGGGGCGGAUCCGUGGCACUACGUUUUUGACACAAGUUUUGACAUAAUUUUUGGGCCAUUAGAUUACUCCACUUUUAAUGGUUAAGAUUAAAUAUUACAUGGUAAGUAGUUUUAAUUUUUUUUAAUAGACAAUCAUUAAUUUUAUUCUCUCUCAUAAAAAUAAAAGGAAAUUUUUCUCUCUCCAACUUUUUUGCUGGAAGACGUAAUCUCUCCUGCCUCUUUAAUCUCAAAUAUUUAUUAUGGUCUAAUAAAUAAAGAAUCUCACCAAAAACUAAAUACCCAAACCCCACAUUUGCACGUCUCUCUCUCUCUCUCUCUCUCUCUCUCUCUCUCUCUCUCUCUCUCUCUCUCUCUCUCUCUCUCAGUUUUUGCCUUCUUCGUUGGGAGAAAAGCUUUGCUCCAGGUACAUAUUUCAAUUUUCGAUUUUCUUGAUCAGAUUUGGUUUAUUUUAAUUUUAUUUUUGUUGGAAUUAAACUAGAAUCUCUAGAUUAGGAAUUUAAGGAAUUAAUAGUUUCCAAGGGGAUUAAGUUUAUUUCUUAGGUAUCUAUGAUUAAGCUAUUCAUUUCAAUUUGUUUCAAAUUGUUGGUAGGAUUUCUUAUUUUGAGGGUUUGAUUUAGGGAUUUUAAUCUUCUCAUAUAUGAAAAUUUUGACUAUUACUUUUUUUUUUUUGUCCCGAUUAAUAGGGACAGAAUACAAGGAGAAAAUUUGAUGCAACACCAACUUGCUUCAACCUCCUCCCUCUUUGGGGUUGGUUCUAGAAAUUGAUGGAUUACCUGUGCAUUGACAUAUGGAAUUACAGUUUAUGAAUUGUCUUUGCUGGGCUGUCCAAAAUGAGUGUUUCUUCAAAUGGCCUCAACACCCUGGUUGUACUCUGCUCCCAUGUGGUCCUAUGUAUGUUUGGUUGUUAGUUUUGGGUUUUUGCCCACGGGUGGCUUUUAUGAAAGUUCAUUUUUCUGAUUUUGCUGUGGUUGUCACUGGGAAGAAAGAGCUGCUUGAGUUUACAGCCCAACCUUUUUUAUUACUAUGAUUUCACCUAUGGAAGGUGAUCUGCUGUAGAAGAUUAUUUGAUGAGGAAGAUUUCAUUCGUCUACGUGUUAUAUGUGUAUGAAAAACAAAAAUUGUUUAUUCACCGUAGUAAAGUGAUUAAUUUCCUUAAUUAGAAUAACAAGUUUUACACAAGUUCAUUGCAAAGUCCAUCCAUUGAUUUUUGCCUUUUUUUUUUCCUGAAGACAGAGACUGCCAUCUGAAAUCAUUUAAGUGGGCACCUGCAAUAUUUUACUAUCACGAAACACCCAUAAACAACGGAUUAAGAACAGUUUUGAAACACAUUGUGUAUCAAAUAGUACGUAAACAUUCCUGAUACAAGAUAUCAUAAUCCAAAAAGCAUAUAUUCAUAUAAUUUGUCUAUGUAAUGCCACAUAUACGGAGAUAACAAGACCAAUGAUCACCAUUGCAACAAGAGCUUCCCCCUGAUGAACAUAAUAGACUAUUCCUGAUGCAAGACAAGAUCAAAAUACACAAAUGAGCAUAAAUUAAAGUAAAAGAAAAGAAAAUUGAUCACAACUUUAAAAAAACAAAACUCACCAUUAACAAUAUUCUUGGUCAUCACUCUCCAUAUCUUGGCACAAAUCUUCUGACUCUUCAUUGCCUAAAUUUAGAUUCAUAAGAAUUAAAUUAAACAUAAGCUUUUGACCUUACUAUUAGAAUAUAAAAAAACAAAAAAACAAAGUGAACCAACUUACAUAGAUUUGUUGAUUCAUUCUUUCUUCUUUUCAGAUUUGAUGGACAAUUUCUUUUGUCAUGUUGGGCUAUCUUUUUGCAUAAUGCACACUUUCUUUUCUUCUUGUUUUGAGCCAACUCAAUACCACUUUUUAGCCUUUUUGAACCGCUAAUAUUGUCCUUCUUUCUACCCUUAGUUUGUGAGAUAUUAGGGUCCAAAAGCAACAAUUGAGAGGAAUCAAUAUUAGUACUACAUGGAUCACCUGUGGUUGAGGAAGGAAUUGUUGCAUGCUGAGUAGAAUUGUCUGACAGUUUCUUGGACAAUUCAUUUAGAGCUUCGAUAAAAGUUGUGUAUGCCUCAUUUGAAGAUGCUGCAAUGCAAGCCAACUUUGUUGCUUGAUGACACAUAUGGCUAAGUCGCAAAGCCUCUGAUUCUUCUUUACCAUCAUUUGUCACCAAACUUUUAAAAUCCAUUAUCCUAAAUUUGUUUGCUUCUUGUCUCCAUCUUGGAAGAAUAAAAUGGUCAGGUAGUGUAUCUAUAUCAAGGCGAACAAAUACUUUCAACAAAUGUCGACAAAGUAUUCCAACAAACUCAAAAUUUUGGCAUUCACACAUACCUUUGUAUGUUUGCAAAUUUAACUUCACCACAAACUCUUCAUGCUCUCCAAGUUUUGUUUUCACUAGGUAUGCAUGAUAUUCGUCGUCACAUGGAAUUUCUUCAACUUUGUAGAGAGUAACUUUACUCCAUUCAUCCUUAAACUUGUUGAAAACAUUUCUAGUGUAAAACUUUGCUGCAUGUUUCAAAAGGAAUUCUCCUUCAUUCACAAUGCGAUACUUGUGUUCUGAUUCAAAAUCUUCAUCACUUUCUCUAUCCAUGAUCCUCUUUAGUGCUUGCUCAUAUUUGACAACAAACUCUCUAAGAUUUGUUGUCGGUGUGACGAAUCCAUCAAAAAAAGAAUUAAUACCCUCACUACGUCCAGUAGUGUUCAUUCCUGCAAAAAAUAUGCCACGAUUAUAAACAGGAACCCAAGAAGAACGUAUAUCAUAUAAACUAUUCAACCAGUCAUCAUUAGCCAAUUCACAUUCUUUCAUCAAUUCCUUCCACUUUUCUUCAAAUUCCUCUAUCUUGUAUGUUGACCGAAUACAUUUCUUCAUCUGAAUUUUGAAUUUGGACUUCUUGAAGUACACAUGUGACAAUUUUUCUGCAAACUUCUUUUUAAUAUGCCAGAGGCAUAACCGAUGGCGAGUGUUAGGAAAAAUCUUGGCAAUUGCUCCUUUCAUUGCUAAGUCUUGAUCAGUAAUAAUGGAAACUGGAUGACGUCCUCCCAUUGCUUCAAGCCAUGUCUCAAACAACCACAAAAAUGUCACCUCUGUCUCAUCUUGUAAAAGUGCACAUCCAAAUUGUAUUGAUUGCAAAUGGUGGUUUACUCCUGUGAAUGGUGCAAAUGGCAUAUCAUACUUGUUUGUCCUAUAGGUUGUGUCAAAUGUGACUACAUCUCCAAAAUAGUUGUACGCCAUGCGUGAUCGAGCAUCCACCCAAAAGAAAUUAGCUGCCCUUCCGUUUUCAUCACAUUGAAUGGCAUAAAAAAAUUGAGGAUUCUCAGCUUGCUUCUUCCUAAAGUAAGUAAGGACUGACUGUGCAUCACCUCCAUCCAGUUGUCUAUGCCGGACAUUUCUCAAGUGGUUAUAACAAUCUCUAUUGUUAAAACCAAUAUGCGGGCCACCAAAGAUUGAAGGAACUUUUGCAAUUGGCAAAUUUUCUUCAUGAAAUGUUUCAGUCAGAAUUUUAGCUGCUUUCGGCAUAACCCUAUUUGACUUCAUUUUCAUUCUUCUUUCCGGUGUAACUGGCUUGUGAUUGUGAGAGUCUUGGAAACUUGAAACUUUCCAUUUGUUUGACCAUCUAUCAAGCUUAAUUCUCAUACUUGCUUUGCAUCCACAUUUCACUGUAGAACAAUUUUUACCCGUUCUCUUCAUAUUCUCAAUCUCAUUUAUGUCUUUCUCAUCAUUCUCUUCUAAAGCCUUCUGUGAUGUAUUUUUGGGCACGUAUUUUCCUUCAUGUGCACAAACAAAUUGUCUACUCGUUACCUCAUCUAAACGCCUUCUUGUCUUGGAGGAAGAUCGAGUUCUAAUCCAGAAUCCCUCUUGUCGGCCAUACUCUUCAUAAUAGUUUCUUGCUUCUUCCAUUGUGUCAAAUACCAUCCCUGAAUAAGGCGCUUUUAAUUGUGUCACUUUCUUUUUUGGAGUACUUGUUUCACCAUUCUCCACUUGAAUUAUCUCCUCUACCUAUUGAACAUAUAUUAAUCAUUCUUAACGAUGCAACUUAGAAACAUAUUAUACAUAUGUUAAACUUUCAUAUUGACACAAGAUGAAAUAUAAUGGAAUAAACUUUCAUACUGAUUUUAAAAAAUAAUUCUUAUGUUAAAAACAAUCAUUAAUGGCACUACGAAAUAUUUUUUAACAUAAGAAUUCUUAAUGGCCCAAUAAUUCAGCAAUCCUAAGAUCGUAUAAACUUUCAUAUAACAUCAUAUUUAUAAAAAAUAAAAUAUAAAAAAUUCAGCAAUUCUAAUUGUCUACAGGAAGAGCUACAACAAAGAUUAAAAAAAAUAAAAAAAUAGAAAAAUAAAAUCUCAGAUGAAGGUAACAUACCAAAGAUAUGCACUGAGAGUUGGAGGAAAUAUCUUGUGUGCGCUCCAACAUUUUGAUGAGGCAAUAUUGUAUUCAGAUAUGAGAAAUUGCUUUGACAUAAAAGAACUAUACUGAAGAUGAAUUCAUGGUUGCGUAUAUGCUGUGCAUGAAGAAGGAUGAAGAAGGAUAAACUGAAAAGAGUCCUUAUUAGACCUUAAUAAAUAUUUGAGAUUAAAGAGGAGAGAGAGAGAGAGAGAGAGAGAGAGAGAGAGAGAGAGAGAGAGAGAGAGAGAGAGAGAGAGAGAGAGGCGUGCGAAUGUGGGGUUUGGGUAUUUAGUUUUUGGUGAGAUUCUUUAUUUAUUAGAUCCUAAUAAAUAUUUGAGAUUAAAGAGGCAGGAGAGAUUACGUCUUCCAGCAAAAAGGUUGGAGAGAGAAAAAUUUCCUUUUAUUUUUAUGAGAGAGAAUAAAAUUAAUGAUUGUCUAUUUAAAAAAAAUUAAAACUACUUGCCAUGUAAUAUUUAAUCUCAACCAUUAAAAGUGGAGUAAUCUAAUGGCCCAAAAAUUGUGUCAAAACUUGUGUCAAAAACGUAGUGCCACGGAUCCGCCCCCUAUAUAUAUAUAUAUGGUAAUCAACUAUAUUGGAAAUUUGACUAUAUUCUACGUACAGUGUACGUCGGUUCGAAACCAAACAAUUUAGUUCAUUCACAAUCGCAUUCGAUCUAAUAUAAAUUGAAAUGUGAUUUUUUCAUUCCGAUCCAAUCAUAUUAAAUGUUUAAAUUCAAUUCAAUCUGAUCCAAUUAAUAUUGAAUUGGACUGGAUUGGAUGACCGAUUUUGAUAAUGAAAAAAGACAAUAAUUAAAUAUUAAAUAUUUAUCCUUAAGUUUAAUCUAAUCAAACAUAUUAAUAGACGUAAAUGUAAAAUAUAAAUGAAAUACUUUUAAAAAGAAAAUUAUUUUGAUUAUAUAAUAUAUUAAACAUAACUUCAUCAAAUGACUUAAAAUAUUACAAAUACCUACAGGAACAAAAUAAGCAUAAAACUAACCAUAUUGGAUUGAAUUUGAUUGGAUUCUAUAAGUAAAUUCGUCAUCCGAUCCAAUCAUUAAGGAAUAGAGUCGCGAGGGUUUUGCUUUGUGUUAAAAUACCUUUAUGCCCAUUCACGUGCGAUGCACAUGUCUGUUUGACAGAUUGUCCUACAUAUUGGCUAACAUAUGUAAAUAUAGGGGACUAAAUUAGCCAAAUUAAAAACAUAGAGACUAAAUUGGCUUAAUGGGUAAACACGGGGACUAAAUUAGCCAAAUUAGAGACUAAAUUGGCAAAUACAGGGACUAAAUUAGCCAAAUCAAAAACAUAGUGACUAAAUUGGCUUAAUGGGUAAAACAAAAGGACUAUUUUGACUUUUAAGCCUUUAAUAAAUUCAAUAAUAGUCACAUUUUAGGGCAAGAAGAAAUCAAACCCCAACAAUUAAUAGCUGAAAAUACAUAAAAAUACUUAAACAAGUUUCUAAACUUUCUCUGCAUCCUUAUGAUCAUAGAGCCUAUCAUGCACGCACUUUUUUCAUCACACAGAGCCUAUCUUGUACAUUGUUUAGGAAUUGGAAAUAUGCAUCUCUCCACGUCUUUUUUAGCAUUAAAGGACCACAAAAUCCACCAAGUCCUACGAUGAAGCCAAGCACAACCGAAGUAUGAACCAACGAAAGUUGGGGCUCAUUCUCCAUAUCUUGGCUAUUACGGUGCAUUAGAGGACACACAUUCCGAAGAGGGGCACCACAAAGUUUCGGAUUCCCCUCAAAUGCAGAGACAUCAAAGCUUUGGAGCUGAGUGCCUUUGGGUAUUGGCCCUUCAAGAUUAUUGUACGAGACAUUCAAAAAGGACAAGAAAUUAAGGCUCGUCAAUGAUGGUGGGAUUUCUCCGGACAAGUGGUUCAUUGAAAGAUCCAACGUCUCCAACUUUUUCAGGUUGGAUAUUUUGUCGGGAAUGUUUCCAGAGAAAUUGUUGUCGUCAAGAUUUAAUGUAUGAAGAAGGACCAAUUGGCUGAUCUCAGUUGGUAUAUUCCCACUGAUGCUAUUUUUGUGUAGGUGUAUAGCUGGUGGAAAGAAAGAAAGGGAACUGUACUGCAAAAAUUCUGCAUCACUUGCUGGUUUGACGAAGAAAGGCAAUUGGAGAUAAGUAUGAUCUACUUGAGCUGCAGUUUGUUCAGACACCAACAUUGGUAAUUUGCAAAGUUGCUUUGGAAGCUCACCUGAAAUUCGGUUGUUGCCCAAGUUUAUGUGAAAGAGGCUUCGAAAAUUCCCUAACCAUGUUGGAACUGAGUCUGUGAAUCUAUUAGAGGACAAAUCCAAGACCUCGAGCUUUUUUAUUUUGGAUAACCAUACAGGUAAGGCACCAGUGAGCUGACAACCACGGAAAGACAAAAUACCAAGAUUUUGGAAUCCAUCAACACCAACGAUGCCAUCACCAUUUGGCAUUUCUUCACCUAUAAAAUUGUUUGAAAGGAUUAGAACCUUCAGACUUUUGCAGCCCAUCAGUAUAUUAAGUGCCCUUGUGAUAUUGGACAAUCUGCUCGCAGAAAGCGAGAGGAAGGACAAAGAUUUCAGUGAAAGAAUCUCAGGUUGUAUUUGUCCGUCUAAGUCAUUUAAGCUCAGCCGAAGUGCUUUCAGGGACUUGCAUGAGUAAAGGCUAGUUGGGAAGACACCAGUGAAUUGAUUACUCAUAAUGUCAAGUUUAGUAAGGCGACUAAGUUUGGAGAAAUCAAGUAUGGAGAGCUUUCCUACAAAAUGGUUGAAUCCGAGGUUCAAUUCUCUAAGGUUUGUGCAAUUCAACAAAGACGGGGGUAGAGAACCUGUUAGAUUGUUGAAAUGAAGAAGAAUGAGUUUCAAUUUGGAGAGCUUGCCCAUAUUCGUCGGGAGCAUGCCACUGAAUUGAUUAACAUAUAGUUCAAGGAUUGUGAGGUUGGUGAGGUUGACAAUUUCAUCACUAAUGUCUCCAUGAAGCGCAUUGCUAGGUAACGAGAUUUCUUCAAGUGUGGUAGCAUUAUAGAUAUCUUCUGGAAGUGGUCCAGAGAGCCUAUUGUAACCAGCACGAAAAACCUGUAGUUCGGAACACUUCCCUAGUCCACCAGAAAUAUUGCUGCUGAAUUUAUUGAUGGAAAAAUCCAACAGCCUAAUCAGGGUAGAAGAAUGUAGACAUAUAGAGGAUGGGAUAGAACCUGAGAAGGUGUUGUUCUUGACAUUGAAACUAGUCAAAUUCCUAGCUCGUCGGAAGAAUGAUGAUGGAAUCGCACCAUGGAAGUUAUUGUUGGACAAGUCCACCAUGCGAGUGCUGGAUGGAAUGAAAAGUGGUAGCUCUCCAAACAGACGAUUAUAGCUCAAAUCAAGGAUCUCAAGACAAUUUAAGGACAAGAAGAAACGGGGUUCAAGUGAACCGUAGAGUGAAUUGUGAGAGAGGUUCAAAAGAGAGAGAUACGUGAGAUUUUCAAGUGAGGGAAAAAUACCUCCGUUGAGAUUGAGCCCUGAUCUGGAGGGCAAGUCCAAAUCUGUGACCCAACCGUCGUGAUCACAGGUGAUGCCCUCCCAAUGGCAACAAUCAAUGGAAGUCCAGUUCAAAGAAGGAGAAGACAGUGUGAGAGCAAAGGACAAGAGAGAGCUACGUUGAGUUUCAUUGCAUGCAUAAUUUGUGGACAUAAUGGAGGACAAUAAGAGGAAGAAAAGGAGGCCACGAGCCAUUUGAUGGUAAGGGAUAUUCUCUACUUGCAUGUUUCUGUGAUGUAUUUGCUUAUAUUAUGUGUAUUUAGAUUUCACAGGUUUGUAUUUAUAAUGGGGAAAAUUUAUAAGAGUUUGAAGCAAUGCAACUAAAAAGCAUAAUGUCUAUACAUCAAUAUAUAUUGAACGACUCAGAACAUCUCCUAACUAACUGAGAAAAUGGUAAUUGCCAAAAAAAUAAAAAUAAAAAAAAUACUACACUAAUUAUAUUCAGGAAAAUAUGUGCUUAGCUUGACAAUCGACAGUAUUUGGAGUCAAUUAGACUUUAAAAUAAGAGUUCCGGUCCUCCCACGCAGCUCUCGAGAGCCAGUGAGGUCUGUAUUGGAAGUCUCUCUAUGACGGGUAGGAAAACUUGUAGUCUGUAUUGGAAGUCUCUCUUUGACGGCUAGGAAAACUCUUGUAUGGCUCUCGAGAGCUGCAUGGGAUGACCAGAACUCUUAUUUUAAAGUCUAAUUGACUUCAAAUAUGUCGAUUGUCAAGCUGAGCACAUAUUUUCCUGAAAUAUAAUUAUGGUAAUGGAAAAUAUUUCAGAUAUAGGAUUAGACGAUACAAGUCUUUUCUCUCAUAAUCAGCGAACUUCUUGUUGAGAUAGUUGACUGUCAAUUAAAUGCAUUAAUUUUUAGGUUUGAAAUGCAAAACAUUUGGUUGAUUUUUUUGUUUUUGGUUAAUAGUUCAAACUACGUUUGGUUGAACUUUUUGUUUUUGGUUAAUAGUUCAAACUACUUGAUACGUUUUGUUGAAAAGUUGUAAUUGUAAGAUACGGAAGAAAAGUUGUAAAAGCCAAGCCUUUGUACACCUACAAAGUCAUAAGUCGCUUCACCAUUACUAGUUCUAUAGUCUGCCAUUCAAGUAUAUUAUAGACUUUGUACACCCAAUUAAUGAGGUCUUCGCUUCGGUUUUCUUUUGUGGUAAAAUCUCUCUUCGACGUAUAUAUUGAUCGGUUUGAAGAAUAUGUGGCUGUGGUUGUUUCCCACUUUAUCAGUUUGUAAGCGACGUUUUGAAGUUUCAUUUCAAGCUAAAUUUAAAAAAAGAAAUACGAAUUCUUUGUUAUUGGCUUUAAUUGCUCCUAAGUCCUAGCACUCUGAUUUGCUCCAAUAUAUAAACACAAACCUGCAGACAAUCUAAAUCUAUCAAAAACCAGACACAUUCAAGAAGAAAUAAACAUGCUACUGCAGUCUGCUCUCCCACUGUCUCAUGGCUUCCUUUUCAUCCUCUUGUUCUCUUCCAUUAUUUCUACAAAUAUUCAUGCAUGCAACCAAACUGAAUGCAGAACCCCCAUGUCCUUCUCCCCCAAUACGUCUUCUCAUCCUAUAAAUUGGACUUCCCUUAGUUCUUUCCAUUUAGUGGGCAUCCCUCAUCGUCAACAAGGUCGGCUUCUAGAUGCAGGAGACACCAGUAAAGGCGGUAAUUUUCCCCCACUUAAGAAACAUAUUUCACCCACAAUUUAUAAUUUAGAUCAAUGGAAUUUGAUUGCUUGGGUCCAAAAGUAUUGUAUAUGAACAUGGCAUCCCGACGUGAUGUUAUCGAUUCACACAAAUUUAGAAUAUGUUACUUAUGAGUCACCACAUGUUAUAAUUUGAAUGAAUUGGUAACGUGCCACAUGGUGUUAUAACUAAACACAAUUCUUCAUAUCUUUUUAUUUUUUAGGAUUAAAUACUUUUUGGUUAUUGGGUUUUAUAUGAAAAUUCAAUUUGGUCACUGAGAAAAAAAUUUAGCCAAAUUUGUCAUUGUGUUUCUCAAAGUACACAAUUUAUAGACAUUCGCAUGGUUUUAUAUAUACUAAUCCAUUGUCUGGUUUUAUUACUUUGAGCAGGGGUCAUUGGAAAUAGGAGUUAGAUUUCAUGGAUGCAAGCUUUUUCAUUGUGGAUCUCCAUUUUGGUGGCGCUCCACAAUAUAUCACGUUACUCGGUUUCAAGAGUUUAUUCGAAUUGUAUCUUCAUAUAUUUUAGAAUGCUCCAUCAAUCUUUUCAGCGACACCUUCACUCUCCAUAUCUGCAGGCAAACGCGUGAAUAAGCCUUAAUGCAUCUAUAAAAAAAUACAUACAUUAGUACCAACUUAUUUAUUUACUUCCAAUCUCAGCAGCCUCAGAAAUUGGCCAAGAGAUUAUCUUGUAUCCAAGCUUGAUGAAUCAAUGAUAACUUGGGCUUUACGUAAUCCAUCUCCCAAAUCAAACUACUUUGAUUGCACUUUACCUCAUAUGAUUUUUCAGUCUUUUUAAUAUAAUAGCUUGCAGGCAUCAUAUAUUUACAAAUUAGAAAUCAUAUGAGGUAAAGCCUAGUAGGUGUUGGGGUAUAUCAGAAAAGGCCUCGGUACUAUUAGUAGUGGAACCAUUCAUAAGGCCUCGGUGCUAUUAGUAGUGGAACCAUUCAUUAUAUGUUGUAUUUUAUUUAGUCAAUUUUUCAAUUGUGAGACUUUAUACCCUUCAACAGAAAACUACCACCAUCUGCGCUUUACAUCAUGCAACUUCUUUCUGUAGGGACAAGUACAGGUUAUAUAUACAACUAUGAUGUCAUACAUAAUUUAGGCUGACCUAUCUUAACAAGAAUCUAAAGCUUAACAAACAUCUAUUAGAAGAUGGAGCAACAUCAAACUAAACUCAAAUAUAACCCAUCACAUCCAUCAUAUUGACAACAAAUUGAAAACUUCUUCCAGUUAAAGGUGCUCCUAUCAUUUAUCUUGUGGUGUGAAUAGAGAAUAAGGGUUUCUUCACAUACAUGAAGUUAGGUAAAGACUGCAGUUCUUAAGCUAUAAAAGAGAUGAUGUUAACAGAAAACAUACUUGUCAACACUUUGAACAGCUAUUGCAGUUGAAUACACAAUAGGUGCCCAACCAAGAACACGAAGCUUUUCCCUAACAUCCUGCUCAUAGUAUGUUGCAGUAUGCUGGUUUUUAUUCGGUAUGGUAUCCCAUUUGUUUACAACUAUCAGGCAGCCUUUACCUUCUCUUUCUAUCCUAAGAGAUACACAAGAAAUAUACAUGUGGAAAAGAAAACAUCUCAUUAAUCAAAAUUCCAAGAUGCCAAUAUUGCUUGAAGAAAUUUCGAGACGCAUAUUAUAUGAUCAAAGCUUAAAAAAAUGUCUUGGAAGAAAAAAAAGAGGCUAAGUUUUCACUAUUACUCAUUCUUCUAUGAGUUAUUAGAUAAUAAACUAUAAACUAAAUACUACAAAUAUGAAUAUCUUUAGCAUCAAAGAGCUUUCAUAAGAACUGGACCAAAUAUAUAUAGUUGAAAGUUUUCUAAAACAUGACAACUUUUUUUGCUAUCUUUUCAGUGAACACUAGUAAAAAAAAACCCCUUGCGCGACCAAAUUUUGCGCGACGAAAAACUAUUCGUCGCUCAAAGUCACUUUGCACGACGAAACUUGAAACUUUGUCACUCAAAGUCUUGCGCGACCAAAUUUUGCUCGACGAAAAAUAAUUCGUCGCGCAAAGUCACUUCGCGCGACAAACUUUUACGCGACGACAAUACAUCGUCGCUCAAAGUCUUGCGCGACCAACUUUGCGCGACGAAAAAUAAUUCAUUGCUCAAAGUGACUUUGAGCGACGAAAAGUAAACUUCGUCGCGCAAAGUCCUUAUAAAAAUAAAUAAAAUAUUUUUUAAAAUCUUUGCAUGACGUAAUCCAAACAUUUUGUCACUUAAACCAAUUUAUUUUUGUUUUUUUAUUUUGUAUGCAUAACACUUAAGAAAUUAAACGGUAUAUAUAUUUAUUAAGUAGCUUUAAAUUUAUUAUUUUAGAUCGGAUCAGAUUUUUAUUAGAAAAAUAUAUUAUUGUUGUUCGGAUUGAGUUUUGUUAGAAAAUAUAUAUUUUAAAUUGACGAUCGAAUAGUUCAUUGUAUUCAUAUAGGGUCAAGGAGUGUAGCGGUAAAAAAUCAUCAAAAUCGGAGUUAAAAUAACCGUUAAAUCGUAAUUUUUCAUUAUAACCGUCGAAAAGUUUUGUCCCAUUACUUGAUCUCUGAAUGUUUAUUUUUUCCGAUUUUUGGCGUAUAUGAUCUCGAAGUAUAAACAAACAAGUUUGACGGUUGGAUCGUUGAAACUAGUUUUUUUGAAUGCAUAUGCCAUCAAAACAAUAUAUUCACUAACAAUUAAGAGUUUAUUUAUACUUUCGUUAAAUAUAACAUAAGAUUUUGUGGUAUCCACUAGUGUAAAUAUUUUAAAUUGAAGAUCAAAUUUAGUCAUUGUAUUCAUAUAGGGUCAAGGAGUGUAGCUGUAAAAAAUCAUCAAAAUCGGAGUUAAAAUAACCGUUGAAUCAUGAUUUUUCAUUUAUAACCGUCGAAAAGUUUUGUCCCGUUACUUGAUCUAUGAAUGUUUAUUUUUUCCGAUUUUUGGCAUACAUGAUCUCGAAGUAUAAACAAACAAGUUUGACGGUUGGAUCGUUGAAACUAGUUUCGUAGAAUGUGUAUGCCAUCAAAACAAUAUAUUCACUAACAAUUAAGAGUUUAUUUAUAUUUUCGUUAAAUAUAACAUAAGAUUUUGUGGUAUCCACUAGUGUAAAUAUUUUAAAUUGAAGAUCAAAUUCAGUCAUUGUAUUCAUAUAGGGUCAAGGAGUGUAGCUGUAAAAAAUCAUCAAAGUCGGAGUUAAAAUAACCGUUAAAUCAUGAUUUUUUAUUUAUAACUGUCAAAAAGUUUUGUCCCGUUACUUGAUCUAUGAAUGUUUAUUUUUUUUAUUUUUGGCGUAUAUGAUCUCAAAGUAUAAAAAAACAAGUUUGACGGUUGGAUCGUUGAAACUAGUUUCGUAGAAUGCAUAUGCCAUCAAAACAAUAUAUUCACUAACAAUUAAGAGUUUAUUUAUACUUUCGUUAAAUAUAACAUAAGAUUUUGUGGUAUCCACUAGUGCAAAUGUUUUAAAUUGAAGAUCAAAUUCAGUCAUUGUACUCAUAUAGGGUCAAGGAGUGUAGCUGUAAAAAAAUCAUCAAAAUCGGAGUUAAAAUAACCGUUGAAUCAUGAUUUUUCAUUUAUAACUAUCGAAAAGUUUUAUCCCGUUACUAGAUCUCUGAAUAUUUAUUUUUUGCGAUUUUUGGAGUAUACGAUCUUGAAGUAUAUACAAACAAGUCUUACGGUUGGAUCGUUGAAUGGUGUGUGUAUAUAUAUAUAUAUAUAUUUAUUAAGUAGCUUUAAAUUUAUUUAUUUUGUACGUAUAACACUUAAGAAAUUGAAUAGUAUAUAUAUUUAUUAAGUAGCUUUCACCUUUAUUAUAUUUUAAAUCAUAAAAUAAAUUUUUUUAUUUUUUAUUAUUCAAAACAAUUAUUUUUAUAAAUAUUGUGCUACGUUUUCGUCUCUCAAAAGUUUGCGCGACCAACAGUUCGUCGUGCAAAACUCAAAAAAUUUGGGUGAGUACCAAAAAUGGGACGCGGGUUUUUAAAAUAAAAAAAAAACUUUAGACUUUGCGCGACCAAUAUUUUUUGUCGCUCAAAACUUUGCGCGACCAAUAUAUAUUUUUCAUCGCGCCAAAAUUUGGCGGGUACCAAAAAUGGGACGCGGGACUUUUUUUAUAUAAUUGUUUUAGACUUUGCCGACCAAUAUGUACUUUUCGUCGCGCAAAAAUUUAAAAAUUUUGGCGGGUACCAAAAAUGGGAUGCGGGAAUUUUUUUUAGACUUUGCGCGACCAAUUUUCCUAUAUUCGUCGCGCAAAGUUAAAUUUUUGGCGGGUACCAAAAAUGGGAUGUGGGAAUUUUUUUUUAAAAAAAUAAAUUUUUUAGACUUUGCGCGACCAAUUUUCCUAUAUUCGUCGCGCAAAGUUAAAUUUUGGCGGGUACCAAAAAUGGGAUGCGAGAAUUUUUUUUUUUUAAAUAAUUUUUUUUAGACUUUGCGCGACCAAUAUGUAUUUUUCGUCGCGCAAAGUUAAAUUUUGGCGGGUACCAAAAAUGGGAUGCGGGAAUUUUUUUUUUAAAAAAAAUUUUGUCGCUCAAAACUUUGCGAGACCAAUAUGUUUCGUCGCGCAAAACUUUGCGCGACCAACAAUAUGUUUCGUCGCGCAAAGUGAUACGAUUUUUAAAACCAAAAUAACUCCUCCACCAUUUUCUCAAUGCCUUUCUCUACUCUUACCUCUCCUCUCUCUUUCCCUCUCCCCAAAUUCCACCCUUUCUCUCACACUCACUCCUCUCACUUAAUCUCUCAUAUCUCUCUUCACUAUCUCUCACUCUCACUCACUCUCUCAUCUAUCUUUUCACUAUCUCUCACUCUCUCAUCUCUCUAUCACUAUCUUAUCUAAUUCUCUCACACUCACUUCUCCCUCUCAUUCUCACUCACUCUCAAUCUUGCCAAAAGGUAUAUUCUCUCCAAAUUUGAAAUUUUUUUCAUUAAUAUGUGUUUUUGGAGUUAGUUUUGAGUUUGUGUGGGGUUUGGGGUUGAGUAUAGGGGAGAUAUUGGAGUUUGGGUUGGAUUUGUGGUAUAACAAUUUUAGGGGAGAUUAUGCAUUCUUUUUGUUGUUGUUGUUGUUAUAUGACCAUAUUUGUUUUUUUGUAGGUAAUCAUCGAGACUUUGAUGGCUAAAGUUGAGGAUUAGGAAGCUAUCAAAAGAUUUCAUCCGCCACUACCACCACAAUACGCUUCUAUCUUCCAAGCAAACAUCCUUUUUUUCCCCUUAGCUACCUUAAACUUGUGCAUAAGCUCUUGAGCUAUCAUUAUAUUAUCAGUUAUAUGGCGGCCUGGCACAAAACUACUUGAUUGGGACUAAUCAAGUUGGGCAAAAUAGUGCGCAGACGAGAAACCAAAAUCUUAGAGAUGACUUUAUACAAGGUGCAGCACAAACUGAUUGGUCUAAACUGAACCAUAGAGUGAGGAUUCUCCACCUUUGGCACCAAAGUAAUUAAAGUGACAUUAAGUUCCAUAGGGAAACUACUCUUCUGAAAAGCUUCACACACCAUAGUAUAUAUAUCAGGAGCACACAAGUCCCACUGAUGCUGAUAAAAACAAGCAGGAAACCCAUCAACACCAGGGGCCUUAAGACCACCAAUACCAAAUACAUUAUCCUUCACUUCCAAAAAAUCAAUUUUUUUCACCAAGGAAGAAAUCUCACCAUCAGUGACUGAAGGGGAAAAACAGGGAAGACUCACAUUAAUAGCAGCUUGAGCAGGAGCAAAGAGUUUGGAAAAGAAACCCACAACCAAAUCUCUAAUACCUGCAGCAUCCUCCACCCAAACCCCUUCAUUAUCCUUUAAUCGUUCAAUUCUAUUUCUCCUCCGUCUAAUUAUAGUUGUGAGAUGAAAAAACUUAGUAUUUCUAUCCCCUUCCUGAAGCCAUCUCAACCUGGAUUUCUAAUGCCAAAACAGAGCUUCUUGAUCCAGAAUAGAAUUAAACUUAUCGUGCAAUUGCACUUCCAAAUUACUCAGAAAAGAAUUGGGCCCCUUACAAAGGGCUCUCUGGAUCCCAGACAACCUAGCCAACACCCCUGCUUUCUUUUGUCUAAGAUGCCCAAACACAUUUUUAUUCCACAACUUAAGGGGCUCAACAAAAGCACAAGACUUAUUGAAAGCAGAGCCAGAACAGCCCAACCAAUUCUCGGAAACAAACUAACUGAACUGAGCAUGCUUCAACCACAUUGCCUCAAACUGAAAUGGCCGCAAAUGAGGAGUAUACAUAAUUGAAGACUGCAAGUAAAUCUUAAUUGGACUGUGAUCAGAUUUAGUUCAAGGCAAGUGCCUCACAUAAGCUUCAGCAAACACACGCCUCCAAAGAAUGUUACAAACAGCCCUGUCAAGCCUUUCCAAGAUCCUUUUGUUAGUCCAAGUGUACUUAGGGCCAGUGAAGUGCAAAUCACACAUUUCAUUCUCAUCAAACCAAGCUUUGAAACCUCUUAAACGACCAGAGGAACUCCACCUAACUUGUCAUCAAAAUGAAGCAAAUCGUUGAAAUCCCCAGCCAAGAGCCAAGGCAUAUCAUGACAGCUAGUGACGAAAUUAAGAUAAUCCCAGAGUUAAGCCCUUUUAACCUCACAAGGCUUAGCAUAAAUAGCUGAAAAGAGCCAAGGAGACUGCCCAGGCCAAGAAACACACGCAGAGAUAGCUUGAUCAUGAGUACCAAUGAUCUCCACAUUCACCUUGGAAUCAUCCCAAAGCAGCCAUAGUCCCCCAAAAAAACCCACAGGAUCAACAAUCUCAAAACAAGGAAAACCCAAAGACUUAACCAUUGACACAGCUUUGGAGCCACUUAUCCUUGGCUCACACAAAUAAAAUCUCCAUAUGAUGAACACGAAUCAAUUCCAUCAUAUUAUUCCUAAACUUAGUGCCUGAAGCACCCCUUGCAUUCCAACAAAGAAUAUUCAUAAAAACAAUCAAUAAAGGUGAAUAACCUAAGGGCUAACCCUUAACAGUCAAAAUUCAUAUCUUCACCUGUGGUGAAGGUACUAUCUGCCAACGCCUCAUUAGGUCCACAUGACUUGCAGCCAGGUCCACUUUCUCUGUUGGAAUCAAGCCCUCCUGAGCAGAAGCAGCCAGAGAAUCAACAUCUACAUCGAUAUCCACCUCUUCCUCAGUAUCAGAACAAUUAGUGGCUAUCUUGGGUGGUCGAUGGCCAAAGUGAUAGACCCCUGUAGCCCGAUACGCAUCUUGACCAUUCGUCCAAAUAUUCAAUUGGUCAGUCAAAGAUAUUUUCCCACCAAAUUUCUUACCCUCAUAAACCAGAUUACUUUUGUUCACCAACUGUCCAACUUUAGAAUAGCUAGCAUCCUUCACCUUAUCAACAGUAGCCUGCACUUUCCCCUUUUCCUUUCAUAUUAGAAAUGUCAUUCAGGACAGUUCUAGCUUUACCAAGAUUAGUCUUAGACUUGGUCCAAACUUUUGAUCCCUUUCCAGCAUCUUUAACUUAUGAUCCCAACUACUCUGUGCAAGUUUGAGUAGCCUCAACCCUCUCAGCCCUACCAUCAAUCCCAAAAUUCUCAUCCACCUGUCUCAAAGCAUCAAAUCUAGAACCCGUAUUUCGACCUCCCUUGCCUCCAACUUCCUGAGUCACACCUUUAGAUCUCCGUCGAGCUGGAACAUUCAUCCAUGGCCCAAGCAAAUUCUCAGUAAAAGCAUUAAUACCUUCUUUCCCCAUUACAGUAUCACCUUCUACCAAACCAUCAUCACCCAAAGUGGAUCCAUCACCAGUCUUCUCCACAGUGGCAGCAUCUGGCACAUCACAGUGCUCCCUUUUGUGACCAUAUCGACCACACAUAUAACAAAUGUCCGGAAAGCCUUCAUACUCCACAUUGUACCAAACAUUGUUAAUUUGGACAAAAGCCUCAAGAGGCCGAGACAAGUCCAACUCUACACAAAGUCGUGCAAAUUUCCCCCGAUUCUGAGAAGUAGUGAGAGCAUCAAUCUUCAGCAACUUCCCCAACAAAUUCCCAAUUCUUUUCAAAGCUCAUACAUCGAAACACUCCAGUUGAAUCGCAGAGACACGAAUCCAAGCGGCCAUUCGAGUGAUCUUCGCAGUAGCAGGACAAAACCCAGGCCUCCAUUUCUGCAUAACCAAAUACUGGCCAGCGAUGAUCCAUGGUCCCCUAGUGAAAACGAAAUUAAUAUCCUCCUCAAGCUCAAAGCGAACCACAAAGUAAUCAUUGACCAAAUCAACUAGUUUCCACCCUCCAAUUAGGCUCCACUUUUGUUGAAGUCGAGCAUGGAGAUAGUUGUAGGUAUGUGAUCUCCCAAGGAGUUUGAUAAUAAGAGCAUUCUGCCAAGGUCUGCAGAGACGAUCCAUGGCGCGAUCCAAAAACUGGAUGCACGGCCCACGAUCACCACGAGAAAUAGUCACAUCCUCAUCGUCAUUCAAACCCUCAUAUUCU